rnacentral:lncRNA from 1 species
GUAUGUCAACUUGGAUAACAGUGAAAGUUCAGAAGGGACUUGACCAGAAAAGACAGAGGUAGAGAGGUCAAGAUGAGUAAGGCUUGGAAAAUUCCUAAUGCUAGUAGGAAUUUGAGAGUAAUUGAAGUUAUUGUCAGUGAGGUUUAACCUUUGAAGAUGAACAAGGCGGAAGAGGCUGCUGUUGCUGUUGAUAGUGUUGGGACUUAAAAAGGCUUCACUACUUUGGAGAUGUUUAUCUCACAAAGAAGAAUGAAAUGCAGCGGAAUUGAUAGGCAAGAGAAAGAACACUCAAAGUGUUAUACAAAUUUUUUUUAUUCUCACACAAACUUAGUACAAGAGGAAACACUCAAACACUCUCACACUUCUUGCUCUCUUACUUGCUCUCACUUCUUCUUAGUUCUUGCUUCACAACUCACACACAUACACCUAUUUAUAGGCAUGUUUGCCGACCUAUGCCAUCACUAGAGUUUUCUAGUGUAUGAACAUGCACAUACUACACCAACCUAGGCAUUUGCUAGAUUAUUCUAGCUUGUUAUGCAUGCCACCGACAUGGGCAUUACAUAAUAACCUAUACAUUUAUGAUGGUUCUAGCCUUUUCUACAUACAAACCAUUUUUCUAGAUUUUCUUAAACUUUUCCAACUUUCUACCUUCUUUGCUAGAGUUUUCUAGCAUUUUCUCAUUGGUUUUGGGUUGGAUCACUUGUCUUGGGCCUAAGACAAGAUUACUAUUCAACAUCCCCCCUUAAUCUUGUCUUGUGACGCCGAUUGAGUUUCUCAGUCUGACAAAGUCUUCUUGCCUAAGUGGUUUGGUAAAUAUGUCGGCGACUUGGUCUUGUGACUUCACGUAUUCCACUUGCACAUCCUUUCUUGCAAUGCACUCUCUUAUGUAGUGAUAACGAGUAUCUAUGUGCUUGCUUCUGUCAUGGAAUACUGGAUUCUUUGUUAGGGCUAUUGCAGACUUGUUGUCGACAUAGAUCUCUGUUGGUUCUUCUUGUGGCAUGCUUAAUUCUUUUAGCAAGUUUCUCAGCCAAAUUGCAUGGCAGACACAUGAAGUAGCAGCUACGUAUUCAGCUUCGCAGGUAGAGAGAGUGACAAUCGGUUGCUUCUUCGACAUCCAUGUGAAUGCAGUGUCUCCCAUGAAGAACACAAAUCCAGUAGUGCUUUUUCUAUCAUCGGAAUCUCCUGCCCAAUCAUUGUCGCUAUAUCCAGCAAGUUUGUAGUUAUCAGAACUUGAAUAGAAUAAGCCAAAGUUAACAGUACCUUUAAGGUAUCGAAGAAUUCUUUUGGCUGUCUUCAGAUGUGUAGUUGUGGGAUUCUCCAUGUAGCGACUGACUAAUCCGACGGCAUAGAGAAUAUCUGGUCUUGUGCAAGUCAAGUAACGCAAGCUUCCAACUAAACUCUUGAAAAAUGUUGGAUCUACACUUUCUCCUUCGUCAUGCUUGGUUAGUUUGACUCCGCACUCCACUGGCGUGUUUAUGGGCUUGCAGUCGUCCAUUUUGAACUUUUUCAGUAUCUCUUUUGUGUAGCUUUCUUGGGAGAUGAAAAUACCUUCUUCGUUCUGCUUGACUUCAAUGCCUAGGUAGUAUGCCAUCAACCCGAUGUCCGUCAUCUCGAAUUCUUUGGUCAUCACUCUCUUGAACUCUUCAAACAUGCUUGGAUUACUUCCGGUGAAGAUUAGAUCAUCCACAUAUAAGCACACAAUCAAAAUAUCUCCAUCUUUGACUUUGACGUAGAGAGCAUGUUCAUGAGGGCACUUGGUGAAGUUGUUCUCAUGGAAGUACUUGUCAAUGCGACUAUUCCAUGCUCGUGGCGCUUGUUUUAACCCAUAGAGGGCUUUCUUCAACUUCAAAACUUUAUCUUCAUGCCCUUUGAUUUCAUAGCCUGAUGGUUGCUGAAUGUAGACUUCUUCUUCAAGGACUCCAUUUAGGAAAGCGGACUUCACAUCCAUUUGUUGAAUCUUCCAUCUGUUUUGAGCUGCCAACGAAAUUAGUAAUCGUAUAGUUUCCAACCGAGCAACAGGUGCAAAUACCUCAUCAUAGUCGAUUCCGGCUCUUUGACUAUAGCCCUUCGCCACUAAUCUCGCCUUGUAUCUUUCGACCUCUCCAUUGGCAUUUUUCUUUGUCUUGUACACCCACUUGACUCCGAUGGCUUUGUGUCCUUUCGGAAGAAUAGCGAGUUCCCAUGUAUCAUUCUUCUGGAUUGCUUCAAUUUCUUCAUCCAUUGCUUUCCUCCACUUAGUAUCUUGCACUGCUUCUUGGAAGUCAACUGGUUCACAAUCAGCAAAGAGACAGAAAAGUGUAGGAUUAUCGAGUCUUUCAGCUACCUCAUAAAGAUCUCGUAGACUUCUUGUGCGUGGUACUUCUCUUUCAUUUAGACUCCCACUUGGUGAUGCUGAUGCUGGUGAAUUUCCAUGAUUGGUUGAUGUUGGUGAAGCAGGUGGAGUAGUGGAUUCUUGUUGAACUUCUCUUGCUUGCUCCAUCGUCCCUUGUUCAUUCUUUUCUUCAAAUUGAGGAAAGAAGCUGAGAUCACUUGCAUGAGAGCUAAAAUCCCAUUCUCCUUCUUCGUCGAACGUCACGUCUCGACUGAUCAUCGUCUUCCCAUUGUUUGGAUUAUACAACUUGUAGCCUUUUGAAUUUGAGUCAUAGCCGAUGAAGAUGAACUUCUCACUUUUGUCGUCGAGUUUGGUUCUCCUCUCGUCUGGUACAUGUACAUGGGCUAUGCUUCCAAAAACUCUUAGAUGGGAGAUACCUGGCUUUCUUCCACUCCAUGCUUCUUGUGGAGUCUUUCCCCACACACUUCUUGUUGGAGACCGAUUGGAUAGGUAGACAGCACAUGCUACAGCUUCUGCCCAUAACUCUUUAGGUAAUCUCUUACUUUUGAGCAUACUUCGAGCCAUGUCGAGGAUAGUUCGAUUUUUUCUUUCCGCCACACCAUUUUGUUGAGGGGAUCUUGGAACUGUCAAAGGUCGACGAAUUCCAUUUUCUUCACAAAACUCUUGAAAUUCCUUCGAAGUGAAUUCUCCUCCUCGAUCAGAUCUCAUGGCUUUGAUCUUGCAACCACUUUCUUUUUCUACAGCGACUUUGAACUUCUUGAAUGCUCCAAAGACUUCUGAUUCUGCUUCAAGAAAUACACCCAGGUUUUCCUUGAAAAAUCAUCAAUGAAGAGAAGGAAAUAAUUAUUUUUACCCAAAGAGCUUGGUUUUAUUGGGCCGCACACAUCGGUGUGAAUGAGCUCAAGUGGCUUCUGGGUUCUUGUGGUCGACUCCUUUGGAAAGCUUUUCCUGAACUGUUUCCCAAGUAAACAUCCUUCACAAACUUGAUUAGGGUGGCUGAUGCACGGUAAGCCUCUCACCAUCUCCUUCUUAGAUAAUAACUCCAAUCCCCCAAAGUUAAGAUGCCCAAAACGAAGAUGCCAAAGCCAAGAUAUGUCUUUGUAACAAAUCUUGAGACACUUUGUAACAUCGUUUUGAAUGUCCAUGGGAAACAUCCUAUUCUUUGACAUUUUCGCCUUGGCAAUUAAUCUUCCUUUGUCAUCUCUAAGAAAAAGGAUAUAAUUUUUCGUAUGAAAAUCAUAACCUUUUUCUAAGAGUUGACCCAAACUCAAAAUGUUGCUUUUCAUAUUGGGCACGUAGUAGACAUUUGAAAUUAAUUGGUGACCGCCAUUUUUCAAGGGAAUAAGGAUGUUACCUUUUCCUUUUACAGGUAUUUUGGAUUCGUCUCCAAAAGAAACGUUGCCACUCACUGAUUCAUUGAGCUCUACGAACACGCUUCUUCUUCCACACAUGUGGUUGCUGGCGCCGGUGUCAAGAUACCAUGUAUAGUCUUGGUCUUUAUCAUUGUUCUUGCAUGCUAGUAGCACAAUGCCAUUCUCUUCUUUAUCUUCUUUCACAUAAUUGACCUUUUCAUCAGGUCUGUUGCUUGGAGCUCUACAUUCCCAAGCAUAAUGCCCGAACUUUUGACAAUUGUAGCAUUGAACUUGAGAUUUUUCAUACCUCAAAUUUGAGCGCCCUCUUCCACGACCUUUUGUUGAGCUUUCUCCUCUAUCGUAGUUGCUUUGGUUGUUGAAGUUCCAACCACGUCCACGUCCAUAUCCACGCCCACGUCCGCGACCUUGGCCACGACUUCUUUCGUAUUGGCUUCUCUCGUUGUCGAAGCUUCCUUCUUUCUUCUUUGGCUGAACAUGUGUCUUGAGGAGCUGCUCAUCAUUCCCUUGCCUCUUCUUAUGUUUCUCUUCAUAUGCUUGUAGCGAACCCAUUAAUUGCUCUAUACUAAUUUCUUCCAAGUUCUUUGUUUCUUCAAUCGUCACGACAAUGUGCUCGAACUUGGGGUCCAACGAGCGUAGUAUCUUCUCCAUAAUUCUAACAUCUUCUAACUUUUCUCCGUUUCUUUUUAAUUGAUUGGAAACGGCUAAGACUUUUGAAAAAUAAUCAGAGAUUGAUUCAGACCCUUUCAUUUGUAGAGAUUCGAACUCACCUCUUAGUACUUGAAGACGAACCUUUUUCACUUGUUCGGCUCCUUUGUAAGAGGUUUGAAGCUUCUCCCAUGCUUGCUUGGCAGAGGUUGCACUCGAGACUUUCUCAAAGCCAUUGUCAUCUAAUGCUUGGUAGAUGAGGUAGAGAGCCUUCUUGUCUCUCUUUCUUGAAUCUUUCAAACUCUCCUUCUGGGGUUGGGACAGAGUAGCUUCAUCUUCUGGCUCAGUGUAGCCUUUCUCCACGACUUCCCAUACAUCAUGUGCUCCCAAAAGGGCCUUCAUUUUGAUACUCCAAUUAUCGAAGUUGUUGUUGUCGAGCACUGGAACUUGGAAGGCUGCCAUAGCGUUGCUAGCCAUAGCUCUGAUACCACUUUGUUGGGACUUAAAAAGGCUUCACUACUUUCACAAAGAAGAAUGAAAUGCAGCGGAAUUGAUAGGCAAGAGAAAGAACACUCAAAGUGUUAUACAAAUUUUUUUUAUUCUCACACAAACUUAGUACAAGAGGAAACACUCAAACACUCUCACACUUCUUGCUCUCUUACUUGCUCUCACUUCUUCUUAGUUCUUGCUUCACAACUCACACACAUACACCUAUUUAUAGGCAUGUUUGCCGACCUAUGCCAUCACUAGAGUUUUCUAGUGUAUGAACAUGCACAUACUACACCAACCUAGGCAUUUGCUAGAUUAUUCUAGCUUGUUAUGCAUGCCACCGACAUGGGCAUUACAUAAUAACCUAUACAUUUAUGAUGGUUCUAGCCUUUUCUACAUACAAACCAUUUUUCUAGAUUUUCUUAAACUUUUCCAACUUUCUACCUUCUUUGCUAGAGUUUUCUAGCAUUUUCUCAUUGGUUUUGGGUUGGAUCACUUGUCUUGGGCCUAAGACAAGAUUACUAUUCAACAGAUAGAGCCGUGGAGACAGCUGCUACCAAGAUCUAGGCCAAUCACAUGACCCGUCUUCUCAUCACACUUGACACCUUCCCAUGAGCAGCAGGUGCUAUUUCCUCCUUCAGCUGGUUUCCAUGAUGAAACCUUUGGAUAAGCAUCGGGAGAUCUAGAAGCAGAUUUGUCAAUAGUAAAGCUGUCUCUGAAUUGCAGCAGGGCGGACUUCUCCUCAUCAGGGCAAGAUGGAUACUGCUUCUGCGAAGAGUAGGAAGAGUUAGCAAUAACCACAUGAUGAAACAGCAACAAAACUAGUACUGGUUUUGAAAUGCGAAUGGUGGAGAUAUCAAGAAACCCCAUGACAACAAUAUUUUGAUUUUUUUUUUUUUUUUUUUUUUUGCACUCUUAGCUAUGUAUGGAGUGGAAAGUGAUACAACUAUUUAUAGACUGGCAUCAGCAUAAAAUUCUUCCGCAAAUUAAUCUCUAAAAAGUGAUGGAGAUGGGUGUAAUGAGGACAAGUGCAUCGUAUCUUCUACAUGUAUAAAAGAUGCUCUUGACUAAUUUAUUCGUGAGUUAAUUUUUGAAGUCAAGUCUUCCAACUUUUGAGAUGGUGUGAAAUUAGAAGUUAGACAAAUGAGCAGCACCAUAAAAGAAAAAAAAAAUAUUUGCAUACACACAUAUAGUUUAUCGCAUGAGUUCCUUCUGUAAGGGUUUAUGGUAUUUGUAUUGACACUCUUGUAAGGUUUUAUCAUAUUUGUAUGCCCAAUUGCAAGACUUAUCAACUUUGUAUUUGGGUACUUCUAAAUGUGUUGGACCUUCAUGCUUGAAAUCUUCAUUAAAAUAUGUGUAAUUUGUAUUGGAAUACAAAAUUAAACAAAAAAAAAUGUUAACGGGUGACUCAUGAGCUUAAUAGGUUGAGUUUGAGUGACUCAUUAAUUUAACGAGUCGGGUGUGGGUCACUCAUUAGCUUAAAGGUUCAGGUGAAACCCGACUCAAACCCAAUAAACCUGACUUGUUUAUAGGUUACCAGCAUAUAGUAAGGGGGAUGAAAGUUUCGAACUCUCAACAACAAAUUAAGACAUUAGAGUCAUUAGAUUCAAUUCUUGCAUUGGCUUGAAGUGGGAUGGAUUUGAAGCCAUAACUUUUCAUUCGAUAUCCAAUUUCUUCAUCAUUAGGACUUUCAAACUCCUAGCAUAUAUUAAGUCAAGAGUGCAGGUGUAACGAAAUUUUUCGUGUUGGAUUUGGUCUAUGUUGCAUUUUUCAAACCACAAGCCCUUUUUUCAUCAGAAAAGAAAUAUCUCAUUAACUCAAGAGAAAGCAAGGAAGAGAGAUACUUCCACUUGGAGUUGAAGCCCCAAGCCCCAACCAUAGGAAAACUGCAGAAAAACGUAUUUGGCUCAAUUCUAAUUUUCAUUCAUUCUCAAAUGUACAAUAUAUAUUAAAUACAAAUAUAUAGAUUAUUUACAAAUGCACGCCAUUUACUCUUGUGUGGUGCUAUCCACACACCCAUUUUUACCUGUCACACACCACUCCCAAUUUUCGGACGUCGGGCCAUGUGAAUGGUAGAAGAUCAAUGUACAAAAAUUAACAAGUGUGUGUAUGAAAUAAAAUGGGGUGUGUGAAUAGCAUUAGGAGAAAUUAGAUUCAAAUCCUUCAUUUUCCUACUCCAUUGAUUAAAACCUUAUUCCUUUUCAAUUUUUGAUCAACGUCGUUGGAUAUUAAUAAUAUCAUUAAUUAUUUCAAUAAUAAUUUUUUUAAAUAUAUUCCUUUAGUGUUAAAAAUGUUACAAUUAAUAUAUUUAUAUUUAUGGCUAAAUUUUUUAUCAUAUAUUUUUAUUUUUAGUUUGUAACCAUUUUUAAUUUGCAAACCUUUUUUAAUUUGUACCAAUUUUCUUUUCAAUUUUAAUUUGUACCCAUAUAUUAAUUUCUUUUUGUGCCCAUAUUUUUUAAAGUUUUAUUUGUAUUUGUGUCCAUGUGUUUACCAUCACGUGACAUUGUAUAAUUAAUCAAUAAUAGAAAAAUUACAUAUGGUAUAUUUAUGUUUUAUGGCUAAACUUUGUAUCAUAUAUUUAUAUUUUUAGUUUGUACCCACUUUUAAUUUGCAACCUUUUUUUUAAAUUUGUUGUAUUUUCUUUUUAGUUUUAAUUUGUACCCAUGUAUUUUUUUUUUUUGCACCCAUAUUUUUAAAAAUUUCAUUUGUACACAUAAUUUUUUAAUUUUUUAUCUGUACCCUAAUUUAUUUAUACUGUACCCAUUCUUCUUUAUUAAUGUACCACUUUGUUAUAUGUGAAAUGUACCAAUUUGUUUUGUAAAAUGUACCAAUUUUUUUAACACUAUGGAUACAUUAAUUCUUUUGCCAUUUAUUAUUUGUUAUUGUUACAUAGUUUUUAUCCAUUUAUUCAUCAAAAUGUUUGAAUUUUUCAUUGUAGCCGUUUCUAAUAAUAUUAUAAUGAGGGAUUUUAAAUUUAUAGGAUUAUAAAUCUUAUAAAAUAUCAAACAAUUAAUGUCAAAACUAUAAAAAUAUAAAUAUUAAUAGUCAUAUAAUGAGAUGUGCAAAGUCAAUGGACUUUGAUCAAACUUUGAAUACCAUUAAGGUUUUAGUUAAAAAGUGUUAGAGAUUAGAGACCCCAUCCAAAGUAUCUCAUAACAUUAUCCUUACUCUUUCAUACAAUUAGCGUAAUGCAAAAAAGUCAACGAACCCAUGUAGAAGAUUUAAUGAGUCGAAUUGUUCAAUGAACCAAACCCAUGUAGAAGAUUUAAUGAGUCGAAUUGUUCAAUGAACCAAAUUAACUAACACUGCCCCUCAAGUUUUGUUGGGUAAAAGCUUAGGCGCUCAAAGCUUACUUUUACCUGACGGAAUGAUUUCAUCUCAGAAGGUGUUUUCUUAUAGUGAUACCAAUUAACUCCAUGACAAUAAUCUUUUUAAUUAUUUUACGGAGUAAUUAGGUUUUCAUCCUUAUUGUUACUACUCUAUUGAUUAAAACCUUAUUACUUUUCAAUUUUUGAUCAAGGUCCUUUGUAUUAAUAAUAUCAUUAAUUAUUUCAAUAAUAAAAUAUUUUUUAUUUCUAAAUAUAUUCAUUUAAUAUUAAAAAUGUUACAAUUAGUAUAUUUAUAUUUAUGGCUAAAUUUUUUAUCAUAUAUUUUUAUUUUUAGUUUGUACCCAUUUUUAAUUUGCAACCCUUUUUUAAUUUGUACCAAUUUUCCUUUCAAUUUUAAUUUGUACCCAUAUAUUAAUUUCUUUUUGUGCCCAUAUUUUUUAAAGUUUUAUUUGUAUUGUACCCAUAUUUUUUUAUUUAUUUGUACCCAUUUUUAUUUUUGCUAAAUGUACCCAUUUUGAAGAAUGUACCCAUGUUUUGAUACAAUAAUUUUUUGGUUAUUUUUUAUGAAUGUACCCAUGUUUACACACACACACAAUAGUAUAUUUAUAUUUUAAUAUUUGUAAUCCCACAAAUUAUGUUUUUUAUUUAAAAUCUCAUUACUAUAAACAACUAUAAAUUUUAAUUUUUAAUUUAAAAAAUAUAGUAACGUACAUAGAAAUAAAUUAUCAAUUAAUUUUAGGGACUUGGAUCAAAAAUUGAAAACCAACAAAGUUUCAGUCAAAGAUUAUUCAUAACUAGGGACCGCAUCCAAAGUCUCCUUUAUUUUAUUUUUUCACUCUUAGCUAUGUAUGGAGGUACAAAGUGACAUAACUAUUUGUAGACUGGCAUCAAUAUAAAAUGAUUCUGCAAUAUGAUUUCUAAAAAGUGAUAGAGACCGGUGUAAAGGGGACAAGUGCAUCGCAUUUCUUCUACAUGCAUAAGAAGAGAUACUCUUGACUAAUUGAUUCAUGAAUUAACUUUUGAAGUCGUCUUCAACUUUUAAAAUAGCGUGAAAUCAGAAGUCAAAAAAAUAAGCAGCACCAUACAAGAAACAAGGCUUGAUGACGCAGCACUAGCGUAGAAGGAUUAAAAAUAUAAAUCCUUGAAGAAACAAAGUUUUUGGAACCCACCAGUUUGAUAGAAACUCUAAAAGGAUAAUUUGAUUAAUUGAUGAGUUGAUGAUUACAAUGGAUAACACCCAUGACUUAAAUAAGUCAUUUACAACACUUUUGGACAACUCAAAAGGCUUAGAGAAUUAAAACGAAAGUAAAUGACAUUAAUCGGACGACAAUUGAAAAGUCCAAACUUAUUACAAACUUUAUUUUUCGGUUUUGGAAGCCACAGUCACAAGAGUUGGCAAGCUCCGCACACAACCGAAGGACAUAGUUAGCUUAUUGAUUACUCAGCCUGCGUGCCACGAAUGCUUGGUAGUUUUUAAGGUCAACAAUUGUACAUUUGAGAAUGAAGGAAAAGUACAAUUGAGCCAAAUAUGUUCUUCUACAGUUUUCCUAUGGUUGGGGCCUCAACUCCAACUCGAAGUAUUUCUCCUCUUCCUUGCUUUCUCUUGAGUUAAUGAGAUAUUCCUUUUCUGAUGAGAAAAGGACUUGCAGUUUGAAAAAUGCAACAUAGACUAAAUCCAACAUGAUAAAUUUCGUUACACCCGCACUCUUGACUUAAUAUAUGUUAGGAGUUUGAAAGUCCUAAAAUGAUGAAGAAAUUGGGUAUCGAAUAAAAAUUUCGGGCCUCAAAUCCAUUGCACUUCAAACCACUGCAGGAAUUGAAAUAGAUGACUCUAAUGCCUUAAUUUGAUGCUGAGAGUCUGAAACUUUCAUCUCCUUUACUAUCUGCUGGUAACCUGUAAAUGGGUCCCGUUUAUUAGGUUUGGAUCGUGUUUCACCUGACCCGUUAAGCUAAUUAGUCACCCCCAACUCGUUAAGCUAAUGAGUCAUCCAAACUCAACCUACUAAGCUCAUGAGUCACAUGUUAACAUCAUUUUUUAUUUUUUUUUAAAUUUUGCAUUCCAAUACAAAUUACACAUUUUUUAAUUAAGAUUUCGAGCAUGAAGGUCCAACACAUUUAGAAGUACCCAAAUGCAAAGUUGAUAAGUCUUGCAAUUAGCCAUAUAAAUAUGAUAAAACCUUAUAAGAGUGUCAAUACAAAUAUCAUAAACCCUUACGGAAGGAACUCAUGAGAUCAACUAUAAAUGUGUUACAUAUAUGCAAAAAUUAACUUCUUUUUUUUCCUGUUUUUUGCGGAAAAAUUUUCAAACCUAACAUGUGGACAAACAACGGGAUGACGUGGAGCGAAUGUGACUACUGAGAUAUUAUGGUGGAACCUCAACUUCUUAAACAGAAACCCAUUAAUUGUAGAAGAAUCGUGUCUAUCAAGUGUCGAAGAGUCAUAUCAACCAAGUAAGACUAGUGGAUGGCGUUUCUUUGAUGAGAAAAGAACUUGCAGUAGUUUGAAAAAAUCAACAUAGACCAAAACCAAAGCACAAGUUCCACACAUAGGCCCGUAUCCACUCCACCGGUCGAAUUAAAACCUAAUUACUAUAUUUGGUUGCAUUCAUUAUUUUAAGAAUCGUCCGUGUAUAAGAGUCGUAUCAAACAAAUAAGACUAUAGUGGAUGGCGUUUCUCUCUUACUUGACGUUAACAAGAAUAUGUACACUUCCUAGAGACAUAUGUAGUUGGAGGAGGUUUCCCCAUGGUUGGGGCCUCAACUCCAAGUCGAAGUAUUGUCUCUUCCUUGCUUUCCCUUGAGUUAAUGAGUUACUGAGAUAUUUCUUUUCUGAUGAGAAAAGAACUUGCAGUUUGAAAAUAUCAACAUAGACCAAAACCAAAGCACAAGUUCCACACAUAGACCAGUAUCCACUCCACCGGUCGAAUUAAAACCUAAUUACUAUGUUUGGUUGCAUUCAUUAUUUGUUUAGUCUUGUCGACUUUAAGAAAAGAAGGAGUAAUUCAGUCAAUCUACACUACUCUUAAAUCCUUCUGUGCCACAUGAUCUUAGGUUACUUUCCUAUUAUUUAGGAGGGUUUACGAUUGCUUUCAUGUUUGUUAAGAAUUGCGUCUUUAUAAAUACACCAUGUAACUUCGCUCGAGUUGAGUUUGGUAAGAUGUAGUCAUUUUGUGUUAUGUAUCAAUUUUAGCAAAGUUUUGUAAUCAAUCGGUUUGUACUUCUUUUUCUCUUUCCUUCAUUUAUUUAUUUUUUACACACUUGCUCUCCAACCAUUAAUCUGGAUCUUGAGGUCGAAGAUCAGAUGGUUGAGGUCAAGUUAAGUGAUGUAAGACAAGAUAUGAGUCACUUCCUAUGAAGAAAUAUAAAUAAAAUAAAAUGUUUCAAGAGAAGAAGAAUUAAAAUUGAAAAAUAUUGGAUUCAAUAAAUAUGGAGAAAAGGCAGCAAGAAAUAUUCCGAUGUCAUAGGAAGGAACACGUCUCGAUCUUCGGGUUCUAAAGCCUGAAGACAAGGCUGCUAGUUCUGCGAAGUUCAAAUAUCAAAUUUGGCUUUCAAUGUGCCGAAUGUAGUAACCUGUAACACCUCACUUCGCCGAGAAGGUUGAUGAAAUGACCUCUACCAACAAGGACUUAAAAAUCCUUGUCGACCGAGACUUGGAUAGGUAAUCAAUCGGCCGACAAGUAGUGCUGCUUAUCCAAACUGAAGGUGCUCAUUGAUCGGCUGAUUCUAUGGCUCCAGUGUUGUUUAUCCAAACUGAAGAUGUCGUUGGUUGCCUUCACAAUGCUGUUUAUCCAAACUGAAGAUGUGUCGGUGAGAAAAAGAAAAUAAAAAUCUCAAGGUUGUUGAGAGGUUUCGCGUAGAGCGAGAGUUUGCGUAAGGUAGUUUGUGUGUUGAAUUGGAGAAGCCCUUGAAUGAUGCACUCCCUUCUCUAUUUAUAUCAGCGAGAACCCCUAUGGCCGAACUAGAAAUAUAUUAGGAUUAGAACUCCUUAAACCAAUUUGAUUAAACUUCGACCAAUCCUAAUCUUCAUAGGACUUUGAACCAAACCUUCAAACAAACUAGGUUCAUCUCCUAAUACCAAGUACUUUAGCUUUGAGACUCCUUAUUAUACCAGGAUUCAACUACUUCACCUUUAUUCGAAAUAAUCCUCUUCGUAGCAGGAUUCGGCUAACCUCGACAGGGCCGGCCCAUGACAAGAUUCUAAAUAAAAACCAUUGGGCCGAGAAUAUUUCUGAGCUCAGCCCAAAAUAUCAUUUUGGGUCCAAACAUUGGUCCAUUGCUUCUGAGGUCCUCGGCCUAAAAAUUCUGGCUGAGCCUCGACCUUGAAAAAGUGAAAUCAAACCUUUAGUAUAUCUUCGAAAGACAACGAAAAAUCUCAAAUAUUCUACCCACUCAGGUGCAUUUAUGAAGCACGAUUGCACGAUCUUAAUUUGUCAGAUGCUCUGCCACGUGGUGAUUCCUCAGCUUACUCGUCUGCCAUUAAUAAUGACAUUUGAAACGUGCAACCAUCGAAACGUCUCUUCACCAUUAAAUUUGCUGUCAUAUGCAAACGUGCAUCCUCAAUCCAUGAGUUCUUCGGUCUUCGGUCUCUUCACCUGGAUUCUUUGAAUAUCCAUCAUGAUUACAAAAUCCUCUGGUCAAUUUUACCCCCUAAGAACUAUUGAUCUUCCUCCCAAAACACCUAUAAAUACUCAGUUUUCCUUCAUUCAUACCUUACGCUUUUAAAAAUCUCAAAUCUCAUUGCCACUUGCUCUCAAUACUAGAAAAACCAACCUUCCUUUGAAACCUAUAAAACCUUCAUCUUCUUCAAUGGCUGCCAAUACUUUCAUCACCAAGUUGGUCGAGGAAUGCACUAAAUGCCAAAGCAUCACUAAUCGAAACACUAUCAAAACCAUCUGAUUUGAGGAUGAGCCAAAUGCUUCCCACUAAACCCUCGGUCCAUUGUUCAAAGACGAUGUUCCAGAAGUGAUCAUCGAAAUGCUCAAGGAGCAUUGCUUGAAACCCUUAUUCCAAGGGUAUGAUUGGUCGAAAUGGGAAUUGGCCAAACCCCAAGGCGUUUGGCCUUCGAUCACUGCGGCCUAGGUUGCCUGGUUCACUCAGAUGGAGCCACAUUUCGGCGACGAAUGGAAAGCUCUAGGCAUUUUUUAUGUCAUUAAACUCUCGACCAUCGAGAUGAGCUUAGAUCGAGAGCUCGUGAUGGCUGCUUUGAGCUUCUGGUGCUCGGCCACCAAUACGAUGGUUCUCCCCCUCGGCCCCUUGGCCCAACAGUGAUGGACAUCACAACCAUACUUGGCACCUCUCCUACCGGCCUCCCAGUCGACAAGUCUCUCUCCGGGUAUCAAUUUGACCUGGACCUGAAAACCAUUUUCGAGGAGCAUGCCAUUGAAUCCCUGACAAAGGAAAACCAAAAGCUGUCGAAGGAAGAUGCGUAUAAACUACAUAAAAAAUUCUUCAACUAUAACACCCUAAUCACUCACUUCACUGGCUCGAGAGGGGAAAAUCUUAAAAAGGGUGAACACGGGGCCUUCUUAUUCUACUGGUACAACAAAUAUAUAUAUUGUGCCAAGUCAAAUAAAUGCUUGGCUGAGAAUAUGCCUAUUGCCGAAGCCUUGGCUAGCGGUCAUGUCCUGGCCCUUAGUCCGGCCGUUCUUGCUAACCUCACCAAAACGGCCCGUUCUGGGUUUUUCAGCUCUGGUUGCAGGUCUAUUUCUCUGCGUUGCGGCCAGACCUUGCAAGUUUCAACUCUUCCGAAGCCAUAGGCCUUGAGCUGGCCUCACGACCCAUUCUUUCCCACUUGGCCAAAGAGAUCUUCAAAUAUUUCUUUGGCCUAAAAGACCUGUCGGACGACGAAUUCCAUAUUUGCCAUCGCCGAGCGUACCCCCCUUCCAUCAUCCUUCAACAUUGGCAUGGAAAGAUGUCGACGAAGCUGAUCUCCAAAAUUUCUAGGGGUCAUUUAUCAUCACUCGCAACCUGCCCUAUGGUUGCAAGGCUCGACGAGGAAGCUGGGAAGUUUAUCACCCAAACUUCUUGGCUCGUCAACUGGGUUUUCUUCAAGGAUGCCAUAUGCCAUUCCUUACUUCUCUUUCCCUCUUGAGCCGAGAACGCUUCUUCGGCUCUUCAGAGAGGGAGUGUGAAGUAGCUAAGAAGGAUUUCAAGGAGUGGUGUGCCAAAUUCAGUCUUCGACUGAAAACUCCAGAAUCCCGUUAUGCUAGCAUCUUUGCCGAUUGGUGGGAUACCUAUACUAAGGAUUUCUUCAGAACUUCGGCUGAGGAAAUCUCACAAAAGCUUUUUGGCGACGACCCCAAAAAAACUCUCGCCCUAAAAUCCAGAGAAAUGGCCCAAGGUAUAUAGCUUUCCUUUUUAUUUUUCUUACUUUUUUAUUUCGGACUUCUUUUUUAUUCAAGCUCAGUGUUUUUAGGUGAUUGGGAUGGCCACGGCUAAGAAAAAACUUACCACUCCCAUGAGGAAAACUGCAACUGUCGCACUAACCCCAUCAAGCAAACGAUUUCGUCCGAAUGCCGAGACGGUUGAUGAAGCUCCCCGGGCGAGAAAAUGUGUUAAGAAAUUGGCAAAGAAAGGGGAACAAGAGAUCCAUGUUAUCUUUAGCCAAACCAUGGGAGCAACUACUCCCAGUGCCUUUCUCAUUUCCCCUGCUGUCAAGGUCUCGGCCAUGGUGUAGGGAGACUUAGUGAUUGAGCUGGUCACCAAUCCGGCUGUCGAAUAGCCUACAACUUCAACACUGGCCGCUGCUCACGUCGAAGUCAGCCUGGCGGUUGCUACCCCGAAGAGAGCAACUUUUGUAGCAAAAAAAAAUCUCCCCCCGAAUCCAAAAAAAGCUUCAACAAUCAUCCUAGAAUAAGAGGUAUAAAAUUUUAUAAUGUUCUUUUUAUCUCGAACUCAUUGUCUAACGACUAAUCCAUUGUCUAGGAGGAUGAAAGUGAAGGGCCCCUACUGGUAAAACAUCCUCAACCAGCCGAAUUGCCGACUAUCACUUCUCAACUGGCAGUCGAGGCGGUGGAUCAAGCCGAUGCUCCCACAGCUGAAGCAGGUUUGGGUUAUGAAACACCACUCCAUGUCGAGCCAGAAGCAACAGCCGAGAUGCCGAUUCAUCUCUAGGACCAGAAUCUCAAUAUCCCUCCCCAGGAUGUUACUUUAACCUUUGUAAGAACCGUUACCAUGUCCCAUUUUCAAUUCCUAACCUUUGAAUUAUGAACCAAGAGCAACCAUGAAAAUGCCAGGUGCCUUAUCGUUCAUUUCACCGAUAAUUUUACGCGUCAAAUGGUGUUAUUUAUAUUUCUUGGUUGCUUCAAUGGCCAUCGAAUGUAGAUAGCCUCUAGCUGAUAUGGCCGAGGUCUCAUCUCGACAGGUCUAUCAUAACUUCUUUAUCUGAUAUUCUUUUGGACUCUUCUUUACUAACUUCUUCUUUGUGCAGCUUCAUGGGAAGUCGAGCUCGACGCUCUCCUCUUGAGUACUUCUGGAGUAGCCGGGCUUUCUGUUGCGUCGACCGAGCCUUCAGUAAUCGCGGUCGAAUCCAAUACCUUCGUCAAGUUUCAGGAACUUCUAUCCCUUUUAGCCUCACAAGUCCUUUAAUGUAAAGGCAUCGACUCUGUAGAAUAAUGCUUGAACGAUCUUGUAGCCGAUGGCUUGUUGAGCACCGAAAGUGUCGUCCACUUAUCCAAUAUCCUGGAGCGGACCCGACAAUACUUCGCCACUUUUGAAAGGGCUCUCCGAGCUGAGGAUAACCUUAAGUCUAUAAAGGCAGCUCAUGAUGCUAGCCAACCGAAGGUUGAAGCUAUAAAAGCAAAGAAGACUCGACUGGUUGACCUUGAUCGUCAGAUCGCCAAACUCCAGCGUCAAAGGUCGAUCGUCGCUUCAGAGCUCGAGAAAGAUUUUGAGGCGAAUAAGUCCAUCCUGACAGACCACAUAGCCAACUCAAAGCGGAUACAACAACUGCAGCUUGAUAAAAGAACAAGACAAACCGAAGUUACAAUGGGUGAAGUAAGGUGGUUGGAACUGAAAGCCGCUCUUAAAGCCUUCCUUCCUUCGACCCCUUAGGAUUUUGGCCUUAUUAACCAACUGUUGGAUUCUUUUUGUAAUUCUUGUUUGUAAGCCUUUUUGCAAAAUUAAUGAAACAAAACUUUUAUUCUCGCAUUUCCCAUUGAUUAGUAGUUUAUGAAUUAGACCAGUUCGAUCUUUAAGGUGGUAUGUCCCCAUGCCGAGAACUUUAUAGAAGACAAACGGUCCUUCCCAAUUCGGCGACCAUUUCCCAAAUUUGGGAUCUUUCAUCCCUACGGGUAACACGAUUUGCCAUACUAACUCUUCCUCGUCGAACGUUUUUUGUUUGACUUGUUGAUUAUAGGCUUGCUCGGCAAUCUUUUUUUGCACCACCAAUAAAUUAUAAGCAUCAAGUCGAGCAACCUCAAAGUCUUCUAACUCUUGUCUCAUGGACUGAUUGUAUUCAGCACUGAACAAACUACUUUGUUCAAUUACUCGUAAUGAGUUUAUACUUAACUCAACUGGUAGCAUCGCAUCGUGCCCAUAAGUUAACACGUAAAGGGUCUCCUUGGUUGCUGAUCGAGGUGAAGUUUGAUAAGCCCAUAAUACCUCAUUUAAUUUCAAAUGCCACAUGCCAGGCCUUUCUUCUAUCAUAUUUUCAAGAAUACUGAUUAAAAUCUUAUUACUUGCUUCGGCCUGUCCAUUUACCUGUGAGUAAAACGGCGGGGACUGUUCCAGUUAAAUUUUUAAACUCGCUGUGUACUUUUUGAAUCUGUUAGAUGUAAAGAUUGUACCGUUAUCCGUUAUGAUUAUUUUUGGUAUGCCGAAUUUGGUUACGAUAUUUUCUUCCCUAAAAUUACAAACUUCUUUAGACGUUAACUCGGCGUAUGACUUUGCUUCGACCCAUUUGGUGAGGUAGUCUGUUACAACAAGUAUCCACACAUGCUUAGCUGACUCGGAAGACGGCGUAAUUUUACCGAUUACGUCUAUGGCCCAUCCUCUGAACGGCCAGGGUUUGGUGACUAAGUGAAGUAAUUCGGCCGGGACUUUUUGUAUAGGCUUAUGAAUUUGACACUGUACACAUCCUUGUACGCACUCAAUACAAUCCUUCAAUAUACUUGGCCAAAGAAUCUUGAGUCCAGAUUGAUGAGCUCCGUAAAUUCCUUCGUGUACUUCUGUAAUUUCUUAAGCAGCCUCCUGUGGGCUGAGUCACAAUAACAAUAAACCAUCAUCACCCUUCCAGUACAACUUAUUCUGGUACAACACGUAAUUUAAGGCAUGGACCCUUGUCUUGCGGUCGUGUUUGUCACUGGGGUUAUCGAGAUAUCACAUGAUUGAUCUUCUUCAGUCGUCUGGUAAUGUCUUAACAGCACACACAUCUGCAGGAUCUCCUCGUUCUAACAACGAAGGUAAGGAAAUCACUCGUGUACGGAUCAAGUAGCUGUGUUGGAGAACUUAUUGAUUAACCAAGGCUGGGUGCGAUUGUCGUACUACAGGUAUAGCCCGGCCUAGCUCGCCCCCAGGAGUUAUGCUCCGAAGGCUAUUUGAGCCAGUUCGUCUGCGUCGGUGUUUCAAACACGGAAGAUGUGUUUGAAUGUGAUACCGUCGAACAACUCGGCCAAAUAAUUGGCAACCAUGUGAUAAGGCAACAGAGUACAACUCAUGCAACGGAAAGUUUCAUUGAGUUAGUUAAUCACAAGUUUCGAAUCGCUAAGGACGAGUAUGCGGGUUGCCCUCAAGUUGUGAAAGAUGCUGAGGUCGAUGAUAAGGGCUGCGUAUUCGGCCUGAUUAUUUGUACAAUCAAAAUCAAGCUUAAGAGAAAAAUACUAGCGGUGUUGAUCUCGACCGAAGUACAACUCGGUAUAAAAGACGAACUAGUUUGACUUUUAACAGCUGGGUUUAUUCGGACCUCUCGAUACGUCGAGUGGCUGGCCAAUAUCGUCCUGGUGCUAAAGAAGAAUGGUGCCCUACGCAUCUGUAUCGAUUUUCGUAAUCUGAACCUAGCAACGCCCAAAGAUGAAUACCCGAUGCCGAUCUUCGAUUUGUUAAUUGACGCCGCAGCAUACCACGAGAUCUUAUCUUUUAUGGAUGGGCAUGCUGGUUAUAACCAAAUUUUCAUCGCCGAAGCUGAUGUCCAUAAAACCACUUUUCGUUGCCUCGGGGCACUCGGCACAUACAAAUGGGUCGUCAUGCCCUUUGGCCUUAAGAACGCCGGUGCCACAUACCAACGAGCUAUAAACACUAUUUUCCAUGAUUUAAUUGGUACCAUCGUCGAAGUCUACAUCGACGAUGUGAUAAUCAAAUCAGCACGUCAGCAGACACAUUUGGAUGACCUCCGUUAGUUGUUCCUGCGCAUGCACUGGCAUAAUCUUAAGAUAAAUCCUGCCAAAUGUGCUUUUGGCGUCUCAGCCUGAAAUUUUUUAGGAUUCCUCGUCCAUCACCGUGGUAUUGAGAUGGACGACAACAAGGCUCACGCAAUCAUUAAUGCUCCACCCCAAACGACUAAGAAACAACUACAAUCAUUGCUCGGCAAGUUCAAGUUUCUCCGUCGAUUUAUUGCCAAUUCAGACGGGAAAAUGAAAGCAUUCUCCAUGCUUUUGAAACUUAAGGACUCCAACACCUUCGAAUGGCGUUCAGAACACCAAGAGGCAUUUACACAGGUCAAGGUCUCCUUAACAGUUUUGCAUGUCCUCGUCCCACCACGACGGGGCCGACCUCUUAAGCUAUAUAUCUCGGCGGCUGAAGAAUCCAUCGGAUGCCUUCUUGCACAAGACAAUGACGCUGGGCAAGAAUAGGUCAUUUUUUACCUUAGCCGAAAUCUCAAUCCACUAGAGAUUAAUUACUCUGUUGUCGAGAAGUUUUGUCUUUUGUUAGUUUUUCGCUGCGUCAAAACUCAGACAUUAUAUGCUCCCAUCAGUCACUCAAGUCAUCACCCAGGCCGAUGUCAUUCGUUACAUGCUUACUCGGCCGAUCGUAAAAGGCCGAAUUGGCAAGUGGACGAUGGCUCUCUCUGAGUUUAGCUUGCAAUAUGUGCCCCAGAAAGCUGUCAAAGGUCAUGCUUUGGCCGAUUUUUUGGCCCAACACCUUUCCUCGUAUGAGUUCGGGGGCAAUGACGUUGACAUCGGAAUGGUGGCAAUACGUGGUAAUUACUGAACGAUGUAAUUUUAUGGUUCCAGUACUUCAGUCUCGGCUAGCGUUGGGAUUGUUAUUCAAUCCCCCACUCAUAAUCGUUGGUAUUUUUCUCUCGAGCUUGAUUUCAAUUGUACGAAUAAUCAAGCCGAAUACGAAGCCCUUGUCAUCUACCUCAGUAUACUACACGAUUUACGGGUAACUCAUGUCCUUGUUCUUGGUGACUCUGAACUUGUCAUCUACCUCGAUGUACUUUUCGUUGCAUGAGUUGUACUCUGGCGCUUUACCAUAUGGUUGCCAGCUAUUUGGCCGAAUCUUUCGACGGUGUUACUUUCAAACACAUUUCACGAGUUCAUAACACUGAUGCCGACGAAUUAGCUCAAAUAGCCUCCAGAGCACAACUCAUGGGGGGCAAAUUAGGCCGAGAAAUACCUGUGUCACGACAAGCACAUUCGGCCUUAAUUAAUCAGUAAGUUCUCCAACGUGAUUGCGUGAUCCGUACACGAGUUAUGUCCUUGCCUUCGUUGUUAGAACGGAAGGACACUGUUGAGGUUUGUGUUGUCGAUGCAUUACCAGACGAUUGAAGAAGGACAAUUAUGCGAUACAUUGAUAACCCUAACGAAAAAUAUGAUCGACAGACAAGGGCUUAUGCCACAAACUACGUAUUAUACCAGAAGGAGUUGUAUUGAAAAGGUGAGGAUGGGUUACUGCUGUUAUGCCUCGGCCCACAUGAAACUGCUCAAGCAAUGGCAGAAGUACAUGAAGGAAUUUGCGGAGCUCACCAAUCUAGAUGAAAAAUGCAUUGGCUGCUUCAGCAGCAUGGCUAGUUCUAGCCAAGUAUUCUGAAUGAUUGUAUUGAGUACGCAAAGGGUACAGUGUCAAAUCCAUAGGCCUAUACAGAGAGUUCUGGUCGAAUCACUACAUUCGGUCACCAAACCAUGGCCGUUUCGAGGAUGGGCCAUGGAUGUAAUCGGGAAAAUCACACCAUCUUCUGGUGCAACCAAACAUGCGUGGAUACUCGUUGCAACAGACUACUUCACCAAAUGGGUCGAAGCCAAGUCAUAUGCCAAGCUAACCUCUAAAGAAGUUUGUAAUUUCGUUGAAGAAAACAUUGUGACUAGAUUCGGCGUGCCAGAAACAAUCAUAAUAGAUAAUGGUACGAUCUUUACAUCCGACAGGUUUAAGGAAUAUUCGGUGAAUCUAAGGAUUCGACUCGAGCAAUCUACGUCGUAUUAUCGCAGGCAAAUGGACAAGCCGAAGCAAGUAAUAAGGUUCUAAUCGGUAUUCUCGAAAAGAUGAUAAAAGAAAGGCCGGGUAUAUGGCAUUUAAAGAUAAAUGAAGCGUUAUGGGCUUAUCAAACUUCUUUACGGACAGCCACUGGAACGACUCCAUAUGGUUUGACUUAUGGAAACAACGUAAUGUUGCCAGUCGAGUUAAGUAUAAACUCGUUGCGAGUAAUUGAACAAAGUAGUUUGUUUAGCGCCGAGUACAGUUGGGCCAUGAGACAAGAGUUAGAAAAUUUAGAAGAAGCUCGGCUUAAUGCUUAUAACUUAUUAGUGGCACAAAAGAAGAUCGCCGAGGGAGAGUUGGUUUGGCAAACCAUACUACCCGUAGGAAUUAAAGACCCUAGGUUUGGCAAGUGGUUGCCAAAUUGGGAAGGGCCAUUUGUUAUUCAUAAGGUUCUCGGUAAGGGAGCAUACCAUCUUAGGGAUAAAACUAGUGUAGUUCACAAGUUGCCAAUCAAUGACAGGUUUUAAAAAAAUACUAUCCAGUCACAUGGGAGAUUCCGGAAUAAAAGUUCUUUUCAUUAAGUUCGCAAAAAGUUGUACAAAUGGAGUGGGGCGAUCAGUUAUAAUCAAAUACUUCUAGGAUGAUGAAGGUAGGAGAGAUUCAAGAAUGGCCUUCAACUCUAAUUACCGCACCUCGCUCAUCUUGACCUCAGCUUGCCGAUUCCUCUUGUCCAUCUUCAGCUGCUCGACCCGCUUCACGCUAGUUGCAUAGUCAGUUAAGCAAGACUUGCCGCUCGACUCAAAAUCUUUUGCAAGCUCGGAAGCAAUUGCCGACCUUAGAUUUUUGAGUUCGGCAAUUUGACGGUCAAGGUCGGCGAGGGUCUUUUUUUUCGCCUUUAAAACUUUGACUUAUGAACGAAGAGCAUCUCGAGCAACUAUUGCAGCUUUCAAGUCGUCUUCAGCCCGAAGAGCUUUCUCAAAAAUACCAAAAUAUUCUUGGGUUCAUUCCAAGGUAGAAGACGCUUGAGUGAUAGCUUCAGUGCUCAAUUGACCAUCAGUUGCGAGAUCGUUCAAACAUGCACCCACUGAAUCGAAGCCCUGGCAUACGAGAACUUGUGUAGCUACCGAAGAGCCAGCCACCCCUGAAGUACUCGAUAAGAGAGCAUUGAACUCGACUUCCCAUAAAGGCUGCACACGAAAAGAAUUUAAGCGAAAAGAAAAUCAUAAAAGAAUGUAGUAGAAAGAGUUUAUUUUAGACAUGCCGAGAUGAAACUUUGGCCAUGUCUCUUGGUUCGUUGCUUGAACCUAAAGAGCUUAAUGGCCGAGCCUAGUGUUUUAGACUGCUUCUUAAUUCACGCGGCCGAUGAAGGUUAUCUACGUUCGACGGCCACUGAGGUGGCCAGGAAAUAUAGAUAACACCCUUCGGCGCAUAGAAUUUUCAGUGAAAUGAAUAACUGGGCACCUGACAUUUAAUAUUUUUCUCGGUUCAGACUCAUUAUAAUACAAUUGACAAGAGAAAUUAGUCGAGCCUUACAAAAGUCGAAGUCGCUUCUUGAAAGGGAAUGUCGAGGUCUUGGUCCUGCGAGUGAACUAGAGUUUCUGACAUCGCUUCAGGCUCAAUGAAAGGCCUUUUUCCACGAUCGACUGUAGGAGGAUUGACCUGAUCGGUCGCCUCAACCAUAAGGGGAAGAUCAAUGGAAGGAGGUUUGGUUGGUCGAGAACGACUCGCCAGCGGAAUCUCAUCACUCUCGUCAUCCUAAAACAAAAGAAUUGUUAGUACUUUUGAAUUUAAAGAGUGAAGGGAGUUGCCAGUAUAAUCAUACCUCUUCUAAAAUGAUCAUUGAUUAUUUUGGAUUCUUGGGGAGAUUCUUCCCGAUCGAAGGGGUUGCCUCCCCUAGGACGGGUGCUACAGUCUGCCCCGAAGUUGCAGGCGUAUCGACCAGCGGUACAACAACUGGUUUGACCACGACCUCGAUGACCUCAGGGGCCAGGUGAGCUUGGGGUGUCAGGUUGGUUGGAGUUGGCCGUUUCUCCGUUGAGGCUUGGACAACAGGAACAGGAGGAGAGGCACUAGGAGUGGUCGCUUCGGAAGUGUGGUUGGAGAUAACGUGAAUCUCCCGUGCUUCUUUCUUCGCCAAUUUCUUGAUGCGUUUUGUGGGGCGAGGGGCUUCACCUGCCGUCUUGGUGUCAGGACGAGGCCGUUUGCUCGGUGCGUUUUGUGCGGUGGUUUUAGAUUUCUUGGAGGAAGGGGCCAGUUUUUUCUUGGCCACAGCUGGGGCGAUCACGUCUGCCUGUUUCAAUACUCGACCGCCUGAGAAAGCGAAAUCUAAUUAGUAAAAUCGAUUAAGUGUUUGAAGAAUAAAGGUAAAGAUAAUUGUAUACCCUGGGGCGUCUCUUUGGAUUGAGAGGCAAAAGUUUUUUCGGGUCGGUCACCAAAAAUUUUGUUGACUACGUUUUCGACUGAAGCACCAAAAAAGUUGUGGGUAUAUUCUUCCCACCAAUCGUCGAAGGUGUCGAUGCCGAGAGAUUCAAGAACAGUUGGUCGAAGGCGGAAUUUCUUGCACCGUUCCUGAAACUCCUUCUCGGUGUCUUUGCACUUCCUUUCUGAGGAACCAGAGAGGCGUCAUUGGCUUAAAAGGGAGUGGGAAGUAAGUAGAGGCACCGGGCAACCUUGGAGGUAGUUAAGCUGUGGGGUAGCAAAGUGGCGGUGGUAGACUUCCCAACUUGCUCGGCGAGCAUCGCAACUGAGCGCAAGGUCGUGAGUUAACACGAACGAACCCCAGUUUUGACGAAAACCAGCAUCUUCGCUUUCAUUCUAGGUUGAUGUGGGAAGUCUGAUGGAGUGAGGGUAUUCCUGACAACGACAUAUCAAAAAUUCAUCGUCAGAGAAGAUGUUUAGGCCAAAGAAGUGUUUGAAGACUUCGUCAGCUCAGUGAGGAGGCACUGGUCGAGGAGCCAACUGAUGGCCGAGUGCUACAGUGGACUGAAGGUUGGGGAUUUCUGGCCGAAGUGUGGAGAAAUAAACCUGCAGCCAGAGUUAGAAUACCCAGAGAGGUCCAUUCUGGUACGGGUCGAUCUUGGUGGCGGUCGUUUCAGCCAGGUAGCGUAGAAGGUUGGCAAGGAUAGCCGGACUGAGCACCAGAGAAUGACCACUAGCCAGGGCUUCCACCACGGUAUUUUUUCGACCAAACACUUAUUCGACUUGGUACAACAGAUAAACUUGUUGUACCGGUAAAAUAGGAAAGCCUCGUGCUCGCCCCUCCGCAGACUCACCUCCUCUCGGCCAGCAAAAUGGAGGAUGAGGGUGUUGUAGUUAAGAAAAUUCUUAUGCAACUUCUGAACUUCCUCUUUUGAAGGCUCUUGACCUUCUUGUCUCAACGUCUCGACUGCUCGUUCGUUGAAUAGUACCUUGAGGUCGAGGUUUGAUGAGCAUCCAAUAAGGGCAGCGUCUAUUGGAAUGCCAGAAUGAGGAGUCCUGAGGAUAGCCGAGAUGUCGAGGAUGGUGGGGGUGAUAGGGCCGAACGGAAGGACCAUGGUGUUGGUGGCCAAGCACCAGAGGCUUAGAGCUGACAUAAGGAGUUCUUUAUCCAUGGUAAUCUCCAUGGUCGAAACCUUAAUGGCGUCGUGGAUGCUGAGAGCCUCCCAUUCUUUACCAAAGAAUUUUUCCUUUCGUACUACCCAGGCCGCCCAGUUCGCUUUGGUCGAAGGCCAGACUCAUUGAGGCUUUGUCAGGCACCACUUCGACCAAUCAAAUCCUUGCAGCAAAUGUGCCAGGCAAUGUUCUUUGAAUAGGUUGGUGAUGGACAAUGGCACUGCGUCUUUAAAUAGUGGUCCCAGGAUUUGAUGAGUAGUGUUUAGUAGGCCUGGCAAUUGCUGACACGACCCGAUAACCCGACAUGACACGACACGAAAUUAACAUGUGUUCGGGUCGACACGAUAACGAAUCGGGUCGAUAUCGGGUAACUUGAUAAGAACCUGUUAAGAUAAUGGGUUGGUUCGAGUAUACACAUGGGUAACACGAUACACGAUAUGCAAAAUAUUAAUUUUAUAACCCUAAAAAAAAUACUAUAAUAAUUAUAUAUAUUAAAUUAACAAUUUUAUCAUUCAAUUUAUUAAGUGUUAUAUGUACAAAAUAAAUAAAUUUAAAUCUACUUAAUAAAUAUAUAUAUAUAUAUAUAUAUAUCAUUGAACUUGAUGGGAUACGAAUUCUACGAAACUAAUUUCAACGAUCUAACCAUCAAACUUGUUUGUAUAUGCUUCGAGAUCGCAUCAACAAAAAAUUAAAAAAAACAAACAUUCAGAGAUCAAGUAACGGGACAAAACUUUUCGACGGUUAUCAAUGAAAAAUCACGAUUUAAUGGUUAUUUUAACUCUGAUUUUGAUGAUGUUUUACAGCUACACUCGUUGACCCUAUAUGAAUACAAUGAAUGAACUCGAUCUUCAAUUUAAAAUAUUUACACUAAUGGAUACCACAAAAUCUUAUGUUAUACUUAAUGAAAGUUUGAAUAAACUCUUAAGUGUUAGUUAAUCUAUUGUUUUGAUGGGAUAUGCAUUAUACGAAACUAGUUUCAACAAUCCAACCGUCAAACAUAUUUGUAUAUACUUUGAGAUCGCAUGCGCCAAAAAUUGCAAAAAAUAAACAUUCAGAGAUUAAGUAAAGGGACAAAACUUUCCGACGGUUAUAAACGAAAAAUCACAAUUUAACAGUUAUUUUAACUCCGAUUUUGAUGAUUUUUUACAGCUACACUCCUUGAUCCUAUAUGAAUACAAUGAAUGAAUUCGAUCUUCAAUUUAAAAUAUCGACACUAGUGGAUACCACAAAAUCUUAUAUUAUAUUUAAUGAAAGUAUAAAUAAACUCUAAGUGUUAGUGAAUCUAUCAUUUUGAUGGGAUACGUAUUCUACGAAACUAAUUUUAACGAUUCAACCAUUAAACUUGUUUGUGUAUGGUUCAAGAUUGCAUACGCUAAAAGUCACAAAAAAUAAACAUUCAGAGAUCAAGUAACAGGAGAAAAUUUUUCGACGGUUAUCAACGAAAAAUCAUGAUUUAACGGUUAUUUUAACUCCGAUUUUGAUGAUUUUUUAUAGCUACAUUCCUUGACCCUAUACGAAUACAAUGAAUGAACUCGAUCUUCAAUUUAAAAUAUAUUACUCUAGUGGAUAUCACUAAAUCUUAUGUUAUACUUAAUGAAAGUAAGAAUAAACUCUUAAGUGUUAGUGAAUCUAUUGUUUUGAUGCGAUACGCAUUCUACGAAACUAGUUUCAACGAUCCAACCGUCAAACAUGUUUAUAUAUACUUCGAGAUCACAUACGCCAAAGAUUGCAGAAAACAAACAUUCAGAGAUCAAGUAACGGGACAAAAUUGUUCGACGGUUACCAACGAAAAAUCACGAUUUAACGAUUUUUUAACUCCGAUUUUGAUGAUUUUUUACAGCUACUCUCCUUGACCCUAUAUGAAUACAAUGAAUGAACUUGAUCUUCAAUUUAAAAUAUUCACACUAGUGGAUACCACAAAAUCUUAUGUUAUACUUAAUGAAAGUAUGAAUAAACUCUUAAGUGUUAGUGAAUCUAUUGUUUUGAUGGGAUACACAUUUUACGAAACUAGUUUCAACGAUCCAACCGUCAAACAUGAUUGUAUAUACUUUGAGAUCGAAUACGCCAAAAAUUGCAAAAAAUAAACAUUCAGAGAUCAAGUAACGGGACAAAAAUUUUCGACGAUUCUAAACAAAAAAUCACAAUUUAAAAGUUAUUUUAACUCCGAUUUUGAUGAUUUUUUAUAGCUACACUCCUUGACCCUAUAUGAAUACAAUGAAUGAAUUCAAUCUUCAAUUUAAAAUAUUGACACCAGAGGAUACCACAAAAUCUUAUGUUAUACUUAAUGAAAGAUAAAUAAAUUCUAGAGUAAAAGAUUGUUUACUACCCUCAUGUUUCGUGGUUUUCAACAUUUAGUACAUCAAGUUUUUUUUCAACCCAGAGUCAUACCUAAAGUGUAAAUUUUGGGACAGUCUCAUACAUCCGUUAGUCAAACUAUUUAGUUUUCUGUUAACUGAUAACGUGGCGCCCACGUGGACAAUGACUGGGCGCCACGUGUCAUUAAAAAUAUUAAUAUAAAAAAACCGAAUCUGGGAAGAAGAAGAAGAAGAAGAAGAAGAAGAAGAAGAAGAAGAAGAAAAAAACACGAAUCUGGGAAGAAGAAGAAAAAGAAGAAGAAGAAGAAAAAGAAAAUAAAAAGAAGAAGAAGAAAAAAAAAACCGAAUCUGGGAAGAAGAAGAAAAAAAAAAACCGAAUCUGGGAAGAAGGAAACCCGGAAGAAGAAGAAUGAGGAGGAAGAAGAAGAAGAAGAAGAAAAGAAAAGAAAGGAAAAGAAAAACGAAUCUGGGAAUGGGAAGAAGAAGAAGAAGGAGGAGGAAGAAGAAGAAGAAGAAAAGAAAAAAAAAAAAAACCGAAUAUGGGAAGAAGAAGAAGAAAGAGAGGAAAAAAAAAGAAAAGAAGCUAGGGAGGGUGCGGGUUGCAGGAAAGAAAUUUUUUUUUUAAUUUAUAUUUUUAAUAUUUUUAAUGACACGUGGCGCCCAGUCAUUGUCCACGUGGGUGCCACGUCAUCAGUUAACGGAAAACUUAACAAUUUGACUAAUGGAUGUAUGAGACUGUCCCAAAAUUUACACUUUAGGUAUGACUCUUGAAUGAAAAAAACUUGAUCUACCAAAUGUUGAAAACCACGAAACAUGAGGGUAGUAAACAGAGUUUAACCCUAAAUUCUAAGUGUUAGUGAAUCUAUCGUUUUGAUGGGAUACACAUUAUAUGAAACUAACCGUCAAACUUGUUUGUGUAUGCUUCAAGAUUGCAUACGCUAAAAGUCACAAAAAAUAAACAUUCACAGAUCAAGUAACAGAACAAAACUUUUCAAUGGUUAUCAACGAAAAAUUAUGAUUUAAAGGUUAUUUUAACUCCGAUUUUGAUGAUUUUUUUAUAGCUACACUCCUUGACCCUAUACGAAUACAAUGAAUGAACUCGAUCUUCAAUUUAAAAUAUUUACACUAGUGGAUACCACAAAAUCUUAUGUUAUACUUAAUGAAAGUAUGAAUAAACUCUUAAGUGUUAGUGAAUCUAUUGUUUUGAUAGGAUACGCAUUCUACGAAACUAGUUUCAACGAUCCAACACAUUUUACAAAACUAGUUUCAACGAUCCAACCGUCAAACAUGAUUGUAUAUACUUUGAGAUCGAAUACGCCAAAAAUUGCAAAAAACAAACAUUCAGAGAUCAAGUAACGGGACAAAAAAUUUUGACGGUUAUCAACGAAAAAUCAUGAUUUAACGGUUAUUUUAACUCCGAUUUUGAUGAUUUUUUACAACUACACUUCUUGACCCUAUAAGAAUACAAUGAAUGAAUUCAAUCUUCAAUUUAAGAUAUUUACACUAGUGGAUACCACAAAAUCUUAUGUUAUACUUAUUGAAAGUAUAAAUAUACUCUAAGUGUUAGUGAAUCUAUUGUUUUGAUGGGAUACGCAUUCUACGAAACUAAUUUCAACGAUCCAACCAUCAAACUUGUUUGUAUAUGCUUCAAGAUCGCAUACGCCAAAAAUCGCAAAAAACAAACAUUCAAAUAUAAAGUAACGGGACAAAACUUUUCGACGGUUAUCAACUAAAAAUCACGAUUUAACGGUUAUUUUAACUCUGAUUUUGAUGAUGUUUUAUAGCUACACUCCUUAACCCUACAUGAAUACAAUGAAUGAAUUUGAUCUUCAAUUUAAAAUAUUUACACUAGUGGAUACCACAAAAUCUUAUGCCAUGAUGAUUGAUGAAAAUUGAGGAUUUUGUAAAAGGAAUAACAUGCAAGCUUUGAGUUCCAUUGGCAAGGUUUAAACUUUUGAGAAAGGCUUCACAACCUUGAAAGCAAAAACUUUUUCAUUUUGCGUAUCCUUGCACAUUUAAUAUUUUGUAAUAGACUAGUAGUGUAUGGAUGUUUGUUUAUUAGGCUCUUAUUUUCGAGUGUAGAUGUAGUACUUAAACGACAAAUGUGUUUUAAUGUUUUGAAGUAAUAUUUAUGUGGCAAUGUGUGGUAUGUGCAAAUUUGAGAAGAAAAAAAAUAUUUUUCUUAACAAGUCUUAAUGGGUCAUAACAGGUCGGGUCACUUUACCCAUUGGGUAAAGUGACCCGACCUGUUAAGGAUCCGUUGAGAUAACGGGUGUGACACGACACGACCCGUUAAGAUAACAGGUAUUACACGAAAACAACACGAACACGAUAGACACGACCCGUUUACCAGGCUUAGUGUUUAGGUCACUCUCGAAGUGCAAAGUCUUGAUGGCGUUCCGAUCGAUGAAGUCCUUGCACUUGUUGCUCUCGUUGGAGAGCUGGGAGAUGAAGGAGGCCAUUGAAGAAGGCUUAAAGAUUUCUGAGAUGAAAGCUUGGGAUUUUCUAGGUUUUGAAAGUUUUGAAAGCAAAGUGGCAAGGAAGUUUCAAGGGUUUUGGAAAGCGUAAGGUACAAAUGGAAAGGAUUCGGGUAUUUAUAGGCAUUUGGGAAGGAAGGCUAAACGUUUGAUUUUCAAAAUUAUGGAUAGAAUCAAGCGGGAAAGUUGCUAAUCAUUGUAGAUAUUCAAAGAAUCUAGGCGAAAAGACCAAGGUUUUCGCUGUUCGAGGACGCACGAUUGCGUGUUGCGGCGGGUUUAGUGCAAGAGAGACAUUUAGGCGGUCGCAUGUUUUUGAGGGUCAUGAUUAAGGCCUGCUAGGUUAACCAGGGGACCAACAUGUGGCAGGACGGUUGGGAGAAUCGAGAUCGUGGGUUUAUGUCUCAUAAAUGCGUAUGGUGGUAUUUCUCAAGAGGAUUCAGUGUUUGUCUUUAGGUCAGUUUCGCUUCUUCAAGGUCGAGGCUCGAACCAAGGAGGGUAGGUCGAGGACCUCAGAAUCGAGGGGGCAAUGUUUGGGCCCAAAAUAUUGGUUUGGGCUGAGUUUAGAAUUGUUUUCGACCAGAGGCCAUACUUAAGAGUAGCUGGGGGUCAUCCGACUUAUGGGCCACAUAGCCAAGGUCGGCCGUGUCUUAUUAGGAAUCCAUGGGUAGUUGAAUCCUGAUAUGAGAAGGAGUUUCAACAGGAUCAGGAUGUUGAAGUUUGGGAUUGAAUGCGGCCUGAUAAGGGGGUUGAGUUCAAAGUCCUAGUAUGAGUAGGACUUGCCGAUAUAAGGUUGGAUCGGGGGAAGGAGUUCUAAUCCGAGUAUGGUUGUGAUUUGAUCGGAAGCAGGUUGACUACUAUAAAUAGAGGGAGAAGGACAUCAUUAAGGCUCUCUCCAAUUCAACACACAAACUGCCCUGCGCAAACCUUCGCUUUCGCGAAACCUCUCAACAACCUUGAGAUUUUAAUUUUCUUUUUCCGUCGACACAUCUUCAGUUUGGAUAAACAGCACUGUGAAGGCAACCGGUGGUACCUUCAGUUUGGAUAAACAACAUUGUCGUUGUAGAACCAGUCGACCACGGAACACCUUAAGUUUGGAUAAACAGCACUGUGUCGAGGUCGACUGGUUAUCUAUCCAAGUCUCGAUCGAAAAAUACUUUCGGGUCUUUAUUGGCAAAGGUCAUCUCAUUAGCCUUUUCGGCGGGGUGAGGUGUUACAGUUUACUAGGGCUCGGCACAUUGAACGCCGAGUUACUUUAUGAUUGGAUACUCACAAGUAGGUUUUAGAGUUCGGCAUUCUGACGGCCGAACCACGUUCACCAUCAAGACAUAUAUUUGUUUUGAGUAUCUGUGCCCCUAUACAUUGGUGUUGAUUCGGCGUGCUUAUACUCUUACGAAUAUAAUCACUGUGACCGAAUCCGACGCUGACGAUUUGUGAACUUCGCAGAACUAGCAGCCUUGUUUUCAAGCUCUAGAACCCGAAGGCUGAAAGUGUUCCUUCCUCGACCACAAUCACAAGAUUGAGAAGUCAGUAGCGCACCCGACGCAACAUCAACAUAUUUUACUCCUCGGCCGAGCUUGGCUGACGAGUUGGCACGCCCCGCAUCAACCAAAUGACGUAGUUAGCUCACUAGUUACUCGGCCUGCGCGCCACAUAGAUUUGGUAGUUUUUAGGGUCAACAACGACAUAUAUGCACCAACUUGAGCGGGAGUGUUGACUUUUGUGUAUAUUCAUGUAAUCUUGGAAUUCUUAGCAUAGUAUGAUUGCAUGUAAUUAUUUCUUUCCUUAUUGAAAUGAUUGUAACAUCCUAUAAAUUUCUCUUUGAGAGAUAAAUAGACACACAAUACUAUUCCAAAAGCAUUCUUUUCUAAUAUAAAGUCUAAACUAAUCUAAAGUAUUCUUAUGAACAAAUAAUGAAUGCAGCUAAACAUCAAUCAAUCAUUGUUGUCAUGUCAUGUUUUUGCAACUUGCAAAGAAAGAACCAUCCAUAAUAAUUAACCGGUGUAGUGGAUACUGGCCUAUCUGCGUGGAACUUGUGCUUUGGUUUUGGUCUAUGUUGUUUUUUUCAAACUGCAAAUUCAUUUCUCAUUAGAAAAGAAAUAUCUCAUUAACUCAUUAACUCAAGGGAAAGCAAGGAGGAGAUAAUACUUCGGCUUGGAGAUGAGGCCCCAACAAUAGGGACACCUCCUCCAACUACAUAUGUCUCUAGGAAGUGUAGAUAUUCUUCUUGACGUCAAGUAGGAGAGAAACGCCAUCCACUAUAAUCGUACUUGUUUGAUAGGACUCUUCUACACUUGGAGGAUUCUUCUACGUUUAUUAAUUGUAUGUUAGAUUAAGAAUAUAAUUUCAUGUAAGAAUACACGAUUUAAUGCCUGGUCAUGGAUUAAGUCAUUUUUUUUUAGAUAAAGAAUGACGACCUUUAGCAUUGGCAUAGUAAUUGAAUAAAAAUUGCCCUCAUGCUUGCCCCUAAAGUACUAUUGUUGAUCUUGUGUAGUUGCAAAUAUUUAAUUGUGUUUGGUUUUAUCUGUUUUGUAUGUACUCUGAUCAUACAUAAGUAAACAUUCGUCCAAAGACAGUUUGAUUAGCAGAUUAUAACUCAAGUAGUUAAGAGCAUUCAGUUCUGCACUUGAGAUCCAUGAUUCAUUCCACCCUUCCCAAUGUCAAUCAUACAAUAAGGAAAGAUAUCGUCUCCGGAUCUCUUCCUCUAAAACCAUCAAAUCAAGUGAUUUGAGCCCUUAAAAUUUGAUCCAACGACUAAAAACAAAGAUCCCUUUUAAAAGUUAUAACAAUUUUAGCCGUUGGAUCAAAUUUUAAGGGUCCGGAUCACUUGAUUUGGUGAUUUUGGUGGAAGAGAUUCGGAGAGGAUCUCUUUCCAAUGAAUAAAUAAAGUUGACCAGUUCCAUCUGAUCUUUGAUGGUAUGCACCAUGUUCUGAAACAUAUAGUACAACCCAUUAAAAAUGAUGAAGAUCAAUGGUUUGAGGCCAAGUGUUAAAAACUGCAGAUUGACUAUUCUGUGUUCUAAAGUCAAGUCAAGAAGUCUUGAUCAAUAACGACAUGCAACAACAUAUUAAUUCGAUUGCAAAAAUUUCAUCUUUGUUGUAAAUAGUAUAAUAAUGUAUGCCCACAUGCAUACAGUAGACAUAUCAUAUGCUUAAUAGGGUUUUUGUUUGUUUCCAUGGUGAUGCUCUAUAAAUAGAGCUUUACGAACGUUCAACUGAGUAGAGAGAAAAGGAAGAGAAAAAUAUCUAAUAGUAAUAAUAUACAUUACUUCCUCUGCAACAGCUUGUAUUGGUAUAAUACUCUGCAACUGCUUCAUUCCUAUCCCGAAUAAAGGUUAUCUUUCUAUAACUUUUACAUUUUUAUAACACGUUAUCAGCACGAGUCUCUAAGUAUAACCAUGUCUCAUUUACAUUCACUAAACAAUAAAGGAAAUCAUUCUCUCAUUUCUCUCCGCCGAACGAAAAAAAAAAAAAUGUUUCCUCUAAGGUUUUUCCUGUUCAUCUUCUUCAUCUGCCUCAACUGCGUGAUAUAUCCUCGCGACGAACUAUUUGCUCCAUGCCUGCUCGUAGUUCUCCAACUAGCGGUUACAUACAUCUUUGAUUACUUGUUUGGUUUGGAUAUUGAUUACUAACAUAAUAUUUAUAUUGAUUUUACUGCAAUCCAAGAUGGUGCGGUACAAUCGCCCACCUUGAACUGCAAAUUUCAUCUUACUGCGAUCCAAGAUGGUGCGGUAUCAUCGCCUAUCUUGGACUGCAGAUCUACUUUUACUGCAAAUUUCAGGUGCAGCGGUAUAAUCGCCCUCCUUGCUCUUCAAAUUUAAAUUUACCUGUUAUUUAAUUUUACUGCAAAUAAAGGUGGAGCGGUAUAAUCGCCCUCCUUGCUCUUCAAAUUUAAAUUUACCUGUUAUUUAAUUUUACUGCAAAUUUCAGGUGGAGCGGUAUAAUCGCCCUCCUUGCUCUUCAAAUUUAAAUUUACCUGUUAUUUAAUUUUACUGCAAAUUUCAGGUGGAGCGGUAUAAUCGCCCUCCUUGCUCUUCAAAUUUAAAUUUACCUGUUAUUUAAUUUUACUGCAAAUUUCAGGUGGAGCGGUAUAAUCGCCCUCCUUGCUCUUCAAAUUUAAAUUUACUUGUUAUUUAAUUUCAUUGCAAUUUUAGGUGGUGCGGUAUAAUCGCCCUCCUUGUUCUCCAAAUUUAAAUUUACUUGUUGUUUAAUUUCAUUGCAAUUUUAGGUGGUGCAGUAUAAUCGCCCACCCUGCUCUGCGUAUUUCAAUUUUCUUGCUACUUGAGUGGUGUGGAAUAAUCGCCCAUUCCAUGUUACAUUCUUUCAAUGAGAAUGGUGCGGUACAAUCGCCCUUCUCAUUCACCCUGAAAAUCUCGAGCCAGAAGUUUCGAGUGCUUAUCAUUUUGGCCUGAAGAUCAAAAUGAAAAAUUUGUAAGAACCAGAAGUUCUAACAUCACAUUCCUCUAGGAAUACAUAUUACUACAAGUUCUUACACAUCUCAUUUUCUUUCAGAAAAGAAAAUGACGAACUUGGCUAAGCUUGAAUAUGCUGCCCUGGACAUUACCGGGAAGAAUUACCUUACUUGGGUACUUGAUACCAAGAUCCAUCUGGAAGCAGGGAAUCUUGGAGAUACCAUCAGGGAAGAAAGCAGCUCAUCUUCUCAAAAUCGGGCGAAGGCUAUGAUCUUUAUUCGCCGCCAUCUUGAUGAGGCACUAAAGAGUGAGUACUUAACGGUUGAAGAUCCGUUAGCUCUCUGGGAGGCCUUACGAAGCAGAUAUAAUCACCAGACAACGGUGAUUCUUCCAAAAGCUCGCUAUGAGUGGUCUCACCUGAGAAUUCAGGAUUUCAAAUCAGUGGCGGAGUACAAUUCUGCGUUGUUCAGGAUUACCUCUCAGAUGAAGCUCUGUGGGGAUACCAUUACUGAUGAAAUAUUGCUGGAAAAGACUUACAGCACAUUUCAUGCCAAUAACGUGCUCCUGCAGCAGCAGUAUAGAGCGCGAGGCUACACUGAAUACAACCAGCUGAUAUCUGUGCUCCUGGUAGCUGAACAGAACAAUGAGCUCCUGAUGAAAAACCAUAAUUCCCGACCUACUGGAUCUGCACCAUUCCCAGAAGUAAAUGAUACUUCCCUCGAAGUGAACGCCACAUCCUCUGGUGGUAAUUAUCAUAAACAAGGACGUGGCCACAAACGAGGUCGAUGGAAUAAGAAAGGCAAGAACCAUGGUGGUCAGUUUCACAACCAGGUUCAGAGGCAUAAUUCUGGCCCGAGCUUCAAAAAUGUGAAUCGUCACAAAGGCAAAGCUAACAUGACCAAUGCUCCCAGGAACUCUGAAGGAGCUUGCCAUAGGUGUGGUGGCAAUGGGCAUUGGGUGCGAACUUGUCGUACCCCAAAACAUCUGGUGGAGUUGUAUCAAGCCUCCCUCAAGAAGAAGGGUGUCGAGACCAAUUUUCUCGACCAGGCUAAACCAAUGGAUAUACCUGAUCCAGUGUUUGAUUUAUCAGGGCAAUUUGACGCAACUCACCUAGAUGUUUCAGACUUCAUUACGGAAAGGGGGAAUGAAGUAUAUCGGUCCGACUAAAUCGUUUAUGUUUGAUGUACUUUUAUUAUGCUGAACUUGUUGUCUAAAACUAGUUUUUCAGAUUCAAUAAAAAUGGCAUGUAAAUUUCCUGUUAUAAAUUGUUUGUUAACUGUGAUUCCAUUUACUCAGAAAGCAUGGAUAAAAACUGUGGUUAUUCUCAGAACAUAAGAAAUGGCGGAGAUAUUUGUCUUGCAGACAGUGCAACCACACAUACAAUACUUCGUGAUCGAAAGUAUUUCUCAAGCUUAAUGCUUACAAAAAUCGGGGUAACAACAAUAUCAGGACCUUCAGAUGUGAUUGAAGGCUCAGGGAAAGCCCAGAUUAUGUUACCAAAUGGAACAAUAUUAUCCAUACAAAAUGCAUUGUAUGCUACUCGAUCUACUCGAAAUUUGUUGAGUUUCAAAGACAUACGUCUAAAUGGAUACCACAUUGAAACGAAAAGUGCAAAAAAUGUGGAGUAUCUAUGCAUUACCUCCAAUGAUACCCAGAAGCGUAUAUUGGAGAAGUUGCGUGGUUUUUUCGAGUGGAUUAUAUUAUACAUACAUAAGGACAGUUGAAUCACAUACUAUCAUGAACCAGAAGUUCACUGAUUCAAAGGUUUACAUGCUUUGGCAUGACCGUCUGGGUCAUCCAGGAUCCACCAUGAUGCGUAGGAUCAUUACCAACUCUAAUGGACAUCCAUUAUUGAGCAGAGACAUUGCUAUCUCAAAUGAUAACCCUUGCAAGGCUUGUUCUCAAGGGAAGUUGGUAAUUAGACCAUCACAACUAAAGGUUGAUGCUGAAUCCCCAUCAUUUCUACAAAGAAUUCAAGGGGAUAUAUGUGGACCUAUUCAACCAUCUUGUGGACCAUUUCGAUAUUUUAUGGUUUUGGUUGAUGCAUCCACUAGAUGGUCACAUGUUUGUCUCUUGUCUACUCGGAAUGUAGCUUUUGCGAGACUUCUUGCUCAGAUAACUAAGUUACGAGCACAAUUCCCAGAUUAUCCCAUUAAAUCAAUCCGACUUGAUAACGCUGGUGAAUUUACGUCUCAAACCUUUGAUGAUUACUGCAUGACAUUGGGCAUUGAUGUUGAACACCCUGUUCCUCAUGUCCAUACUCAAAAUGGCUUAGCAGAAGCAUUGAUCAAGCGGCUUCAGUUAAUAGCCCGCACUCUGCUUAUGAAAACCAAAUUGCCAGUUUCUGCAUGGGGACAUGCCAUUCUACAUGCUGCAUCAUUGGUUCGAUUGAGACCUAUAGCCAACCACCAAUACUCCUCAAUACAACUCGUGUUUGGACAUCAGCCAAACAUUUCACAUUUACGAGUUUUUGGUUGUGCUGUUUAUGUGCCUAUUGCACCCCCGCAACGCACUAAAAUGGGACCUCAGCGUAGACUGGGAAUUUAUGUGGGUUUUGAUUCACCAUCUAUUAUUAGAUAUUUGGAACCCUUGACAGGUGAUAUGUUUACAGCUCGUUUUGCUGAUUGUCAUUUUGAUGAGACAGUCUUCCCAUCGUUAGGGGGAGAAAAGACCGUUCCAGAAGAACGGAAAGAGCUGACAUGGGUUGUUCCCACCUUGUCUCAUUUUGAUCCUCGAACCUUUCAAUGUGAAAAUGAAGUGAAAAGGAUCGUUCAUCUUCAAAGCAUUGCCAAUCAAAUGCCAGAUGCAUUUAAUGACGCUAUGAAAGUGACAAAAUCGCAUAUACCAGCUGCAAAUGCACCUGCCAGAAUUGAUGUCCCUGUUGGACAAAAUAAAGUGGCAGCGAAUGAUUCAUUUGGUGCACGCUUGAAGCGUGGUAGACCACCAGGUUCAAAAGAUUCAGCCCCUCGGAAGAGAAAGACGAGGGCACAACUGAAUCCAAAUGAAAUCAUUCAGGAAGAGAGAGUCAAUGACAAAUCCACAAUUCAUGCCUCUGGACUUCCAGAAGAAGAAAAUGGCCCUGAAGAGACAGAAGUACAUGAAAGCAAAGAAAUCUCCAUAAAUUAUGCAUGUACUAAUGAAUUGUGGGAUCGGAAUGAAAUAAUCAUUGACGAUAUGUUUGCAUUCGCAGUAGCCACUGAAAUCAUAUUAAGUGAUGAUAUUGAGCCCCGCUCUGUUGAUGAAUGCAAACAGAGACAAGAUUGGCCUAAGUGGAAAGAUGCAAUCCAGGCAGAAUUAAAUUCCUUGGAAAGACGAAGUGUUUUUGGACCAGUAGUCCAAACCCCAACUGAUGUAAACCCCGUAGGUUACAAAUGGGUAUUUACAAGGAAACGCAAUGAGAAAAACGAGAUUGCUAGAUACAAAGCACGACUCAUUGCACAAGGCUUUUCACAAAGACCUGGAAUUGAUUAUGAGGAGACAUACUCUCCUGUAAUGGACGCAAUUACGUUCCGUUACUUAAUAAGUUUGGUGAUUUCAGAAAAACUUGACAUGCAACUUAUGGAUGUCAUCACCGCGUAUCUAUAUGGAGAUUUAGAUACUGACAUAUAUAUGAAAGUCCCAGAAGGACUUAAGUUGCCUGAAGCAACAAACAAACCACGGGGUAUGUUCUCAAUCAAAUUAAGGCGAUCACUAUAUGGGCUGAAACAAUCUGGGCGAAUGUGGUAUAAUCGUCUUAGUGAGUAUUUGAUUAGAGAAGGAUAUAUCAACAAUGUCAUCUGCCCUUGUGUGUUCAUUAAGAAAUCCAACUCUGGAUUUGCUAUAGUGGCAGUAUAUGUUGAUGAUAUGAACUUAGUUGGGACUCCUGAAGAGCUCCAUAAAACUGCUGAAUAUCUGAAAAGCGAAUUUGAAAUGAAAGACCUUGGGAAAACCAAAUAUUGUCUAGGCCUGCAGAUCGAGCAUUGUAUUAGUGGAAUUUGGUCCAUCAAUCAGCUUACAUUGAAAAAAUACUGAAGCGAUUUGGCAUGGACAAGGCUUAUCCACUUAGCACCCCAAUGGUUGUUCGUUCUUUAGACGUUAAGAAAGAUCCAUUCCGUCCAAAAGAAGAUGAUGGACUGGUCCUUGGUCCAGAAGUACCAUAUUUGAGCGUAAUAGGUGCUUUAUUGUAUUUAGCACAAUGUACUAGACCAGAUAUAGCUUUUUCAGUUAACUUGUUAGCCAGGUACAGCUCUGCUCCAACAAUUCGUCAUUGGAAGGGAGUCAAAGAUGUUCUACGAUACCUUCGUGGGACAACAGAUAUGGGUCUCUUCUACUCAGACAAGCCCACAAAUGAACAAAUCCUUGUUGGAUACGCCGAUGCUAGUUUUCUCUCUGAUCCGCAUAAAGCCCGCUCACAAAAUGGAUAUGUGUUCACUAAUGGAGAUACUGCAAUUUCAUGGCGAUCAACGAAGCAAACGCUAGUUGCAACAUCUUCCAAUCAUUCGGAAAUAAUUGCUCUACAUGAAGCAAGUCGUGAAUGUUCUUGGUUAAGAUCAAUGAUCCAUCACAUCCGGAAUUCAUGUGGUCUACCUUCAAAGACAGACACUCCAACUGUCAUCCACGAAGAUAAUGCAGCCUGUGUCGCCCAGAUGAAGGAAGGAUUUAUCAAAGGUGAUAAGACUAAACACAUAUCUCCAAGAUUUUUCAGUGCACAUGAGCUUCAGAAGGCUAAAGUUAUUGAAGUCAGACAAAUCCGUUCCAAUGAAAAUUUAGCAGACUUGUUCACCAAGUCUCUACCAAAGUGCAUAUUUCAGAAACUGGUGCAGGGAAUCGGAUUACGUCGGCUUUCAAAUUUAAAGAAUGCAGAAUCAGGGGGAGAUCCAAUUCAGGGGGAGCAUCCAUGAUACAUGCAUGUUGUACUCUUUUUCCUUCGCUUAGGAUUUUUCCCACUGGGUUUUUCCUAUCAAGGUUUUAACGAGGCAACAUAAGCAUGCUCAAUACCAUCCGGAUAAAAGUUGUACUCUUUUUCCUUCGCUAUGGUUUUUUUUUUCCCACAGGGUUUUUCCAAGCAAGGUUUUAAUGAGGCAACUGAUGUUGAUAUGUGGGCAUCCAAGGGGGAGUGUUGUAAAUAGUAUAAUAAUGUAUGCCCACAUGCAUACAGUAGACAUAUCAUAUGCUUAAUAGGGUUUUUGUUUGUUUCCAUGGUGAUGCUCUAUAAAUAGAGCUUUACGAACGUUCAACUGAGUAGAGAGAAAAGGAAGAGAAAAAUAUCUAAUAGUAAUAAUAUACAUUACUUCCUCUGCAACAGCUUGUAUUGGUAUAAUACUCUGCAACUGCUUCAUUCCUAUCCCGAAUAAAGGUUAUCUUUCUAUAACUUUUACAUUUUUAUAACAAUCUUUGCAAAACUUUGCACAGAAAGAUCAACAAUUCGGUUUUCCAUUGAUAGAGAUAUUGAAAAAUGGAGUCUCUACAAUAGUCCAACUCUUUGGUAUUGGGCCCACAAAAUUGAGAAGUGGAUUUUCAGGUUGCAAUUUUUUUUGACAAGAGCGAUGGCGGUAUUUCAUUAAUCAUUACAAACAAAUACAUAGAAGUCAAUUGGGUACAUUUCUCCAAUGACCAAUACAUUGAUCUGGAGUGAAUUUGCACAAAGAAUCAAUUAAUUAAAAACCCCUACACGGCUAUCACAAGCAAGGUGCACCAAUACAAAUUUGUCACAAGAAUGAUACACGCAACAAACCAAUACUAGUGCACACACCGAUGUUCACUGAUGAGCGAGGCCACACAAAGUCAUCAUAGGAGAGCGAAACCACCUAAAGUCACAACUGAAAGACGAAACCACAAAAUCAUUGCUUGAAGGCGAGACCACAUCAAUACGCUCAUAGCGAGUCCACAUAUUCCGCCAAAUGCGGCACAAACAAAAUCUACACUAAUCCAAUAAUAGAAUCCACCGGUCCCCUAAUCUUGGUGGAAGACAAGGACACACAAUCGAAGACCACUUGCAACUUCACCACAUAAGUGAGAUUCGUAGCUUCUACGAGACAAGCAAGCAGAACCGCCACAAAUCUGGGUGCCUCAGGCAGUGCAGCCACACGAGAGUGUCACCACAGGUGGAUUCGACCCACCAACAACCACGAAUCCAAAUCCAAAAUCAUGAAUCAAGCCUCCAUUUAAGGAAAAUACCUCGGGAGAAGGCAAGGGACCGAAUCUAGGUGGGAGGCACCAAAUGCUUUGAUACCAUUCUACCAUGCUCCAAACUCGGGUCAGUAGAAAAUUCAAACUCGAAUCUGGAACACGAGCUAAAAAUUAAAUAAAUAAAAAUAAACUAAAACCUGAUGAAAAUAAAUUCCUCUUGGAAAGAAACUCAAGAAUUGUCAUGCCCCGAUCCCGACAUACGUCCAGGAUCGACACGUGACAUCACCAAAUACUCGUAUCUCAACAUACCCCGCCUCCGGGAUAUGGCAUACCACAACUCGAUAAUCAAAUCACAUAGUAAUUUAUCUUAUACUUUAUGGCUGCAUCUAAUCUCCUCGUUAGAUUGCCUACGUACCCUCAUUAGGGAUCAAACCAUUCGUAGUUCGUCGUUCACUAAUUUAGACAUUUAUUCCAAUGCGUUCUAACAGGAAUACAUAGCAUUUUGUAAUUAAUUAUUAGAACUUGACAUGCAUGACAAUACCAAGUUCAAGGCUACAAAACAAACCAACAGGUAGUUCAAGAUUCUCAUUCCAUCCAUCAUAUAAAUUCCAUGUUUUCAGCAUGAUACUUCCAUCCACAACAUGUAACAUAUCAAAUAGCCAACGAUACACAUAUUAUUCUCAAGCCACAUUCCACAAUCCCGUCUAUUAAUCAAUUCAUGAAUCAAAGAUACAUGAUCUUAGCAUUUAAUUAUGUUAAUCAAUGAAUGCAGUAACAUAUCAUUUCACAAAUUUAACCAAGGAACUCUAUAUAAUUUCCUACUUGUAUUAUGAGCAAUAACAUGGUAAAUCUAUUUGAUAUUCACAAGGUCUAUUGUGGGUAAUUCUCAUUCACUCGAAUAUAGGGUUCUAGACUAACCUUAUGGGAAUGAGCGAAAGCAAGAAUUCCGGACCACUCAACGGAAUCCAACAACACCGGGUUCCGGACCACUCAACGGAACCAGAGUAUUAAGCGGUUUCUCAUAAUCUACCCAAACCUGUCAUAGGUUAAAUCAGUGCCUACAUCAUGGAAAUGGUGCACCAUCCAAACGGAGCUCGGGUGAGUGACAAUAAUACAAGUAUGUGAUAUUCAAUAAAAAGAAAGACCCUCGAUCACAGUUUAUAAACCUCAAAUAUAAGUGCAUAAAUAUGAAAACAUAGUCAAGUCUCUAACAACUCCAAAUGAGUUACCCAGACAUCCAACAGUUUUACCCAUUCAAACCACCAAGAUUCUUCAAAACCAUCGUUCAUAUGUACAUUAAAAACUAGGGCUUGAGGGAUGCAGUUUGGCCAAAGCCUACAUAAGUAACCAAACAGGAAGUGGCCCCCUAAAGCGGAUUAACCAAGCAAAGCCACCCCUAAGAUAGUAACCAAGUAGGCAAUGAUCCCCCCCAAUGCAGAUUAACCAAGCGGAGUCACUCCUACAGCUGUUAGGAAGUGAUCACCUAAUACGGAUUAACCAAGCAUGAUCAUUCCUAAGCAUACAUGGCCAUAAGGAUCACCCAACACGGUUUAACCAAGAGCAACCCAUAUAUAGUAUGGUCCCCCAACGCGGAUUAACCAAGCAGGACCACUAGUGACCCCCCAACGCUGAUUAACCAAGCAGGGUCAAGAUAACCAAGUAGGUAGUGACCCCCUAACAAAGAUUAACCAAGCAAAGUCACACCUACAUAACUGUUAGGUAGUGAUCACCCAAUGCGGAUUAACCAAGCAUGAUCACCCCUAAGUAUAAAUGACCAUAAGGAUCGCUCAACGCAGAUUAACCAAGCGUGAUCCAUAUAUAGUAUGAUCCCCUAAUGCGGAUUAACCAAGCAAGACCACUAGUGACCCCCCAAUGCGGAUUAACCAAGCAGGGUCUUAGUCCCCUACUAGCCCUCAAUUUACAAAACAUUUCAAUAUAAAAUUUGAAUCACUUUUUCACAAAUAUUACCAAUCCAUGAAUCAAAUCAUAUUUAAUAAAAAUAGAUCGAUGGCCAAUUAUAAAAGAAUCACAUUUUAACAGAAAACACAUUUAUAAAAUCAUGUCAUAUCCACAAAGGAUAUUAAUACAAAGAAUCGGGUAACCACCAUAUCACAUAUAUUAAAGUCAGUCACCGAGACAAAUCCGCAAAUCUUCACUGAGUCUCUAGUAAUACUAAUUUUAGUAAUUCAAAUGGUUCAAGACCUGUUGACCAAAAGUCAACGGUGGGAUCCACACCCUAGCAAUUUAAUCCGGAAGAUCCGCACAUUAUAAUCUAGAUCCGUAACUUCCUAAGGUCCACAUUAUGCUCAAAGAACAACAUGCUAAAAUCUCAUCGCGAUCCAACGGUCAGAUCUCCGCUAAUCACAAAUUCAAGUGGGUCAAUAAUUAAUUUUUCUAACUUAAAAGUCUUGUCGGGAUGAUCCAUACUUCGGAUUCCUGAUCCGUCAAUUCCAGCUAUCCUCAAAUAUUAUGUUCUAUAAUGCAUUAAGGUUUGGUGACAAUCUAACAGUCGGAUUGUCAAUUCAUAUUUUGAUCAAGUAAGGUAUCGUAAUGAAACUAAGUUCAAACAAUCAAAUUACGUCAUACGGAUAUCAAACAUGAACUCAGGGCAUCUAAUAGCACUUAAAAAAAUAUCGUCAGCCCACUGGCCACGCGCCACCGCGGGUGGCGGUCAACCGUCCCGAUUCGUCGGAAAAUUCAACUAUUUCCAAAAUUUAUCAAAUUUCACAGAAAUGUAGAUCUCAAUGAAUGGAGUAAGUUUCAUACAUGUGGCCAAGUCCAAUUUGGCCUAGAAAAGCUCCAAUUUUACCCAAACCCGGCCGGAACCCUAGAAAUGGGUGUGCCUCGAUCUGUCACCAUCGAUGCUCCGCCGCCCCCAGAACUGUUUGGGCUUUGUUCCUGGCCUCUAGAGAAGUGCUUUGGUGGUGGUAACUGGUGGAGAUUGUUCCACAAAUGGUGGAUCGCCGACAAACUUCCCUCAUACCCACUAGUGCGGUUAUCACGAAAUCGACCUAAUUUCCAUCAAAUUUGGAGUGUAAAGGAAAGAUGGAACAAUAAGGAAUGUUUUCUAGGUGAUUAAAUCAUGUGGUUCUCCGGAAAAACCGACAAAAACCAUCGGAGAAGACAAACGGAACCGGCCGGAUCGGGAUAAAGGGAACGGGUCCAUCCUCCCGUGCCUUUCCCCUCUCCCUCAUUUUCCUCAUUUCCUCCCCUUUCAUCUCAACCAUCCAUCUCUCUCCUUUCUCUUCUUUCCUUCCAUCCCAGCCACACAAGUGGCUUCACAAAUCUUUGCUCCAAAAAUCUGGAGCAUUCCAAAUUAAAGAAAAUUACCAAAAUGUCUUUAACUUUAAAUGUUAAUAACUCUUUCAUUAUAACUCAGUUUCACGAACGGUUUGCUCCUACACGUUCGUGAGAUCAAGCUCUAUUCAAAAAUAUAAAUUGUAACCUCGAAAGGUCUACGGAUUUUAAAGAUUGAUUACGAAAAUUCAACCCCGAUAAUUAUUUGAUUUAAUUCCAAAAAUCAAUGAAAUUAAAAUUAACUAAUAAAAAUAACGUAAACGUGAAAUAUGAAUUUAAAUAACGAGAUACGUAAUUAAUAGUGAAAUUUCGAGGACGGGAUUUCACAAGAAUUCUUUACAAGGCUACAAAGAAAAUAAAUAAAUUAAACUUCUAGAGAUCUCAAAUCUAAUUCAAUCUCAUUCCGCCUACUCUCAUGACUGUCUAGUUCGAAAACCUGCAUAACAAUAAAGGGGUGAACUUCAACAACUCACUAGGGACAUGAUCUUAAAUAGUAAAAUAACCAAGCUAAAUUAGAUGUCAUGGCAUCAUACACAUUAGAUAUCAAAUCAUUAUUGAUAACAAUGCAUGAAUGCAACGUAAAGCACUUUACCUAUACUUGUUAAUUCGUAUAACAAAACACACAGACCUCGUACGUCUCAUUCCGUACUUAUACCACUUGGUCCUGAGUGCUAAGUUAUAUAAAAUUUCUACCGAUCCCAAGCCCGGGUCGUGACACCUAACCAGGUCAACAGACCUGGUGAUCGCACCUGCCUGCUGGCGUGAGACCCUCUGCAGCAGCCCCAACAGAAGAGCCAAACGACUCUAUAUGACGUGGCUCGAUAACAACCGUCGAAUUGAUCUUAGGCGGGUGUAAUUGAUCUUAGGCGAUUAUCGAGGCAUGUUUGUAGAGAGAGGGAUUGAUUAAUUUGGUGGUUGCAUGACACAUGCAUACGGAACAAAACGAUCAAAUGGAAGUCACCAAGAGGCAAUAAUCACGGAUCGGGAGCUAUCAGAUGGACAGCACAGCACAAAACUUGACGUUGAGUACUUUACAUGUGGGCCAAUUCGGUGUUGGGCUUUACAUGUGGACCAAUCUGUUCUGACAUUCCAAAAAAAUAUGACCACAAAAUGAAACAAUAUAAAAAGUGAUUUAACUUAUUAUCAGUCCAUGCAAGGUUUUGUUAUUCGUCGAAAUGGGACUUUAGCCUUCACACCUUCAUAUAAUGUUCCAAUAACUUGUUUUUUCCCAUUAAUUUUCUUGUUAAAAUAUGUCAAUAAUUUUGAAAAUGGUACAUAAAAGUACUCUUAUAACAUCCCUCAAAUAUGGAAAACCAAAUAAAAUAAUAAAACUAGAAAACAAAAUAAAAUAAUAAAACUAGAAAACACAUAUCCCUAUUCUAAUUUGGUAAACUAGGCAGCCAUAAAUUCCACACAUUUCCUAGUCAAAUUUGCACCAAAUCAGGCUUAAGAAGUGGUGUUGGAAAGAUUAAAACGUUCCUUUCAACUUUGUAUAAUGAACUUUCCUAAAAAAAAAACAUAAUUUUCAAAGACUUGUGAUCAAAACAAGCUCAAAAUGUCAAUCUAGCAGCACAAUCCUCUUUACUCCUUGAUGAAUCAGUUCUAAUUGGAAUCACUCCAAAAUUCCAUCGUUUCGUCACUUUUUAAGCAAACUAGAUUCUGCUUGUCCUCCAAUUAAAGCAUAGAAGAAAGUAUCAAAAUUCUCUCAAAAUAACAAAUAAUUAUACCAAAGAUUAGGAUAAAAAUAGAAAAUAAUAUCUACUAGGCGGUCCUCAUACAAUAAAAGAGAAUUAAGUCACGAUAAGCAUGGAAACUAUUGAGGAGAAUUUGUAAGGUAAAUAUUUAUACAAAUGAUAACACUAUUAUUCAUCAACGAUAACGCAAGUUUUAGGGUGAACGACAUUGAUGUUUUCUGUGUUUGCACUUAAAGUCCGCCAAUCUUUUUGCAUUUGUUGCCUAUUGCACUGCACAACUGAUGGAUGCUAAUAUUCAGUUUACAAGCAGUUCCUACUAAACCAGUUCCCUUGUAGUCUACGAAAUGUUGUACAAAUUUCGUAGCUUUGGUUUUAGAAUUUAUACAACUCUAGUUAUACACAUUACUCUUGAAUAUGUAACUGUUGUACAAGUAUUCUUAGUUACUUAGGCAUAGGAAAGUUUUGAUUUGAUUUGAUUGAAAAGAGUGUCUCCAAUUAAUCGAAUGAACAAGAAUCCUUUGAAACAAACAUAGCUGCUUUCAUUCUAAUUUCAGAAAAUCCAAAUCCAUGAAAAACAUAUGCAGCACUCUACUAUCUUUAUUGAUAUCACUUUCAUCUCCAUUUUGUUUGUUAAAGGAUACGAACAAACAUUGAUAUAACUUAAAACAGUAGGAUAUAUAGGGCAGAGUCUUGAACUUGAAUAACACAAUCAACUAAAAGCUAUGAAGCUUUCUUUCUUUUUAAAGAAACCUCGACUGUACGAGAGAAAAUUUUAUUGAAUAAAAAAGAAGUUACACCUAGUCAAAGGGGGACAUAAACUUUACUCCUCAAAAUAAAGACAGGAUAAAGAAAAGAAGGCGAAAAUACAAGAAAGUAGGGGGACAUACACUUACAUAACAUAAAACAAACUUAUAACUAAACAUAUAGAGAAGGAAAGAAACCACAAUAGAGAAACCAAACGACAACAACAGACCCCUCCCCCCCCCCCCCACUAGUACUCUAAAUUUUCCAUAUCAUUUGUCUGAUCAUUCCAAAAAUCUUAAGAAACAAAUCGGGCCUCCUUGUGAUCACAACAUCUGCAAGAACUACUCCCACUACCAACCCACUUCCACAUCCGGCCGAAACAAUUUUCCAAUCAAAUUCAAAUAUUCCUGCUGAGCUAGAAUCACCUUCGUCUAAUGUUGGAGGUGGAAGUUGAGGGGCCUUAGGAUUUCCACAUUUCUUUGGCAAUGGAUCUCCACACAACCCUGGGUUUCCCUCGUAUGAAGUAAUAUUCAAUGAAGUAAGCUGGGUUCCUUCUGGUAUAGGACUUGUAUGAACGAAUAUGUCAUGUUUGUAUAUGAUAUUUUAUUUUUUUUAUCCUACGGCCUACUAUGUUGUCUUCAUCUUCGGUCUCAAAAGCCUUCCUUAACUUCUCUUUAUCUAUCUCAAAUUCAUAGCAUAGUAAUAAAAACAUACUGCAAACAAUUUCACUAUGCAGUAAAAUUUAUCAACACAAUUCCUUGAGCUCUCAACAUUAUAAAUUUAUAAAUGAAAGAAAACAGGUGUUAAUGCAGAAGUCAAAAGAUAUAAAUCACUUUCAAUUGAUAGAACUAAAAGAUCACAAAAAAAACAAGGACCUAGCGUUGAUACCAUAAGAAUGUCCAAAGGCUAUUCCUGUUAACUUUGCUUGGUCUUCUCUUGGUCGAUUCUCCAUCAACUCCUCCUGCUUAACCUCAAUUAUUUCAGUUGUCACCUCAUUCCUCCCCCUCUUUUUACUGACUUUAAUCUCACUUGCACCAGCAGCGGGGGGAUGGCUGGCACAACAGUUCCCGACCCACCAAAUCAAUCAUUCCAAAAUUUCUCAGUCUCAAUCAAUUCAACGAACAGAAUGGCAGCACCACAUUUUCUUCGAACACCACCUGGCAUCCCACAAGUCUACAACCCUCAAUCCACCACUACCUUCAAUGUGUAGCCACCUCAACCACGGGGACCAGCCACCCACGGUUUCAUGUAUGCAAGUGGAGUUACAACCAGCAAUGCAGCAGAAAACAAAAGUAGAAAAUGGAGAAAAAGAAUAUAGAAAGAAAAAGGGUGUCUGGAGGUGGAGAAAAGCCGAGAGGAGAAAGUGGAGAGCACGGCUGCCUACUCCAUUGUCUAAUAAAAUAAGAUCAAGAUAAACUUUAAUCAUUCAUGGCAGGGGACAAAUACAGAGUAUAAUAUAUACCCAUUAUCCCACUAUCUGGAAAAGUACAGAGUAUGGAGUGCAAAGUGACACAACUAUUUAUAGACUGGCAUCAGUAUAAAAUUCUUCCGCAAAUUAUACAUAUACUAAAACCCAGUUCCCCCAAGCACCGUUUUUCACUGUUCAUGAACAGUGAAAAGACGGUAAUGCCCUCGGGUUUUCCUAGCUUUGCCCUCAUGUGUGCAGUCAAUUGCCGGUUUUACCCAUUGAUCCCAAGGGUUCUGUGUCGUUUCUUUCUCUCUUUCCAUUCAUCUCUUUCACUUUACCUUUCAGCUCUCCAUUUUCUGCUUUCCUCAACUGGGUUUUCCUUCGUCGUCGGUGUGCACUCUGAUUUCUCUCAAUUUAUUCCUUUUCGUUUUGCGAAAUUAUGUCCGGCGAGACAUGAUCUUUGAUUUUUGCAACCAUUGUUGGCCGUUCUUCUCUGUUUUUGGCUGCCAUCCGUACUUUGGAUCGAUUUCGUCUUUUUCACCGUUUUGUUUCAAGCCUCUCUUUUGAGAGAAUUUUUACGUAUUAAGGUUAGUGAUUUCUAAACUUAAGUUUUGCUUUGCAGUUUGAUUUCAUUUUUGGUUGUCUUGCCCAAAUGUUAGAAGCUUUUAAUUUUUUUGGGUUCAAUUUUAAAUGGGUUGUUGCUUUCGGAGUUUUCGUUUGAUGACAGAGAUCGGGGUUUUUGGGGAAAAACUUUUAAUCGGUGAGUUUUUUAGUUAAGUUGUGUUGUGGGUCCUGACAAAUGGAUUUUUUGUUGAAAUUGUUUCUCUUCUCAUUUUUGGUUUUUUUUUUUUUUUUUUUUUUGUGCCAUCGGGUUUUUGCAUGUGGGUGUAUAAUCAGGUUUUCUUUUGAAUUUCAGGGGAUUCAGGUUUUUAUUUUUUUUGGAACUUUUGUAUGCAGCUUUGGAAGACAUUUAUGCUUAAUGUGAGAAACUUUGGUUGCUCGCUUUUGGGUUUUGUUGUAGAAUUAAGUUUUUUAUUUUAUUUUUAUUUUAAAGAGUUACAUUCGUGGGAAUUCAUUUAUUCUUUUUUUUUUCUGCAUCUGGAAAAUGCAACCUGAUGUGAGUUAUAGUCAUAAGUGCAAACAAGAAAAAGUUGUAGUCAUAAGUGCAAGAAAUAUAAAGCCAAAAGAACUUAGCAACAAUAUCAUACCUUAUUUUUCAAUUUACUUAUAAGGUUUCACAUUUUUGUAAAUAUCAAGAACAAAAACCUAGAACAGCCUCACAAUUUGGUGCACUGACUAGGAAAUUGACAGUUGGGUAUAGGUAUGGGUAGUUAAAAACUAUGAGACAUGAAAAUUAUUGUCAAAUGCAAGGACAGAAGGUCGUGUAUUUGCAAAGUUGAAGCGGCCCAAGGACCGAGUUGGUAUGUUUGAGUAGAUUGCUUGAUCUCCUUAGUUGGGUUUAGGUUUAAUGCUCAGUAGUUGGGACCAAGAUCCUCUCCCGAGGUAAGGAUGAGGAUCCUCCUGAUCAAGGAGUGUGGACCGUUGGAUGAAAAUCCAACGGCUACAAUUAUUAUAACUUUAAAGAGACUCCCCAGUUUGUAGUCGUUGGAUUUUCAUCCAACGGCCCACACUCCUUGGUCAGGAGGAUCCUCAUCCUUAGCUCAGGAGAGGAUCCUGGUCCCAGUAGUUGUUGUGCUUCUGCUGCUUUUUAGUUGUCGAGGAUAUACAGGGGGACAAGGAUUGUCUGCCCUCCCACUUUCGGUGCCCUCCUGUGAUUUGUGUGGUCACGAUUAAGCCACGUUAAUAUUUUAUAUUACUAUUCUUUGUGUCAACAUUUUAUAUCCUAUGCAGGGAGAGCAAGUAAAAAGAUUGUAUUCACUGUGUUGACGCAUUAUUGAACAAGAGACCCAAAAGGAAGAACAUAUUCAAUCUCAAAGUCUGUCAGCUUUCACUUCUUAAUUUUAUUAUUAUUAAUUUUGUUUGCUCUUCGAAAUUUGAAUGCAUGAGUUUUUUAAUUUUUUUGCGAUUAGUUUCCCUGAGAUGGGUUUUGGGUAAUCAUUUAUUACUUUCUGAUUUGGUUACAGGAUGCGAAUCAUUGCUUCUUUAGAAAAGAUUAAGGAAGGUGAGCAAUUUCAGAAAAAAAAUGCGAUUAUCAUUUUCUAGAGAUCAUGGCAUGCCCUUCCGUUAUUUUUUGGUGGUUGUAAAAUUAUGACCUGACAGGGAAGUUGGUUUUGACAAGAUUUUUAUUUUUAUUUUUUAUUUUUUAAUUUUACAUAUGUAGUGUCAUGCUAGCAUUAUUGCUUACGUAUAAAUGCGAGUGUGUUUUACAUUUAUAUAAUGCCUUUAAUUUUAACCUCUGCAUUUUCACUAAUGCCUUUAAUUAUCCUCUGUUUUACAUGUCAGUUACGACACAAAAGCUUCAUAGAAAAAGUAUCAGCUUUUGACUCAAAUUUCGACCGUGCCCCUAUCAUUUCCGAAAAUCAAAGCAACCCCAAGCAAUUCCAGAAUCAUUUUUAUGCGUCUCAAAAUCCAGUAUGUAUUAUCUUCAUCUCAAAUUUAUUCAUCUCACAAACGUUGAUAUCAAGUUCGUAGUUUUUCAUUGUUCAAAAUUCCACACUACUCAAUAUUUAAUAACACUUUUAUUUUCCUCUAUUUACCUUUUUAUUAGUGAUGUUGCAGCAAAGGAAAUAUCAGACACGACUCUUAUUCCAAAGGCUCCAACCAGAAAUGUAUCAGAUUCCCCAAUCAUUUCUGAAACCAUAUUUAUGGCUGCAAAACAGAGUAUGUAUACCCUUUCAUUGUUCUAUACUUUUUGAAUUAUUAAUGACCUAUUAAACAUGAUCUCUUUAUCCCAUUCGCUUAAAACUCAAAUAGUUCACUAGAUUUCUGUAUCAUAGUAUCUUUCGACCAUCUUUUGUAUGUAAGUAGGACAAUUUCGUAAAUCUUUUGUAUGUAAAUAUUAUAUACAUAUGCAUCAAGCAUUCUCUUUUGUAUGUAAAUAGGAUUAUCUACCAAAUCUUUUGCACAUAAAAUAGUAUGUACAUAUAGAUCAAGUAUUUUUGUAUGUACAUAGUGCUAUACACAAAAUUUCAUACAGUUUUCAAUCCCGCAGCAUCGUGCGGGCAUCUCUUACUAGUUAAUCUCUAAAAAGUGAUAGAGAUAGGUGUAACGGGGCAAGAACUUUUUGAAGUCAAGUCUUCAACUUUUGAAGUCAAGUGCAUCGUAUCUUCUACAUGCGUAAAAGAGGCUCUUGACUAAUUGAUUUGUGAGUUAAUUUUUGAAGUCAAGUCUUCAACUUUUGAGAUGGCGUGAAAUUAGAAGUUAGACAAAUGAGCAGCACCAUAAAAGAAAAAAGAAAAAAUUUGCACACACAUAGUUAAUCUCAUGAGUUCCUUCUGUAAGGGUUUAUGAUAUUUGUAUUGACACUCUUGUAAGGUUUUAUCAUAUUUGUAUGCCCAAUUGCAAGACUAAUCCAAACUUUGUAUUUGGGUACUUCUAAAUGUGUUGGACCUUCAUGCUUGAAAUCUUCAUUAAAAUAUGUGUAAUUUGUAUUCGAAUGUAAAAUUAAAAAAAAUAAAUAAAUGUUAAUGGGUGACUCAUGAGUUUAACAGGUUGAGUUUGAGUGACUCAUUAGCUUAACGAGUCGGGUGUGGGCGACUCGUUAGCCUAAGGGGUCAGGGGAAAUCCGAUCCAAACUAAAUAAACCCGACCCGUUUAUAGGUUACUAGCAGAUAGUAAAGGGAUGAAAGUUUCGAACUCGCAACAGCAAAUUAAGACAUUAGAGUCAUCAGAUUCAAUUCCUGCAAUUCCUGCAUUGGCUUGAAGUGGAAUGGAUUUGAAGCAAGAACUUUUCAUUCGAUAUCCAAUUUCUUCAUCAUUAGGACUUUCAAACUCCUAGCAUAUAUUAAGUCAAGAUUGCGGGUGUAACGAAAUUUUUCAUGUUGGAUUUGGUCUAUGGUGCAUUUUUCAAACUGCAAGCCCUUUUUUCAUCAGAAAAGAAAUAUCUCAUUAACUCGAGAGAAAGCACGGAAGAGAGAUACUUCCACUUGGAGGUGAGGCCCCAACCAUGAAAAACUAUAGAAAAACGUAUUUGGCUCAAUUCUACUUUUCCUUCAUUCUCAAAUGUACAAUAUAUAUAUAUAUAUAUAUAUAUAUAUAUAUAGCCAAGUCCAAUUUUCAGAAGUCGAAUCAUGUGAACGGUAGAAGAUCAAUGUAUAAAAAUUACAAGUGUGUGUAGGAAGUAAAAUGGGAUGUGUGAAUAGUAUUGGGAGAAAUUAGAUUUACAUCAUUCCUUUUGCUACUCCAUUAAUUAAAAUAUUAUUCCUUUUCAAUUUUUUAUCAAGGUCUUUGAAUAUUAAUAAUACAUUAAUUAUUUCAAUAAUAAAAUAUUUUUUAUUUUUAAAUAUAUUCCUUUAGGGUGCGUUUGUUGCACAGAACUAUCUCGGAUUGGACUAACUUCAAGAACUAAGCUGGACUGACUUGGCUUAGACUAAGCAUGACAAAAAUAGUGAAGUGUUUGGUAUGGCGCCGGACUAAUAAGCCGGACAUGAAAAAAUAUUAAUUUUUAUAUUAUAAAAGAUUAUUUUGUAGUUAUUUUAAAUUUUAAAAACCUAAUUAAAUUGCUUCUCUAAUCUCUAUCCAAGAAGGACCCAGAUGCUUCGUCUACCAAUUCAAUUGCCAGCAACUUUUUUAUUUCCUAUCGCAGCAACUCACCCAACACCAACAAUAAAGAAAUACCCAGAUGUUUUUAUAUCCCAAUUCAAUUGCUUAUCUAUUAAAGCGAUUCAAUUGCUUCCCUACCGCAGCAACUCACUAGUCUACGACAACAGAUUUGCGAAGACCCAAUCGACCCAUAAAUAACCAGACCUGAAAGAGAGACCCAGAAAUACCCAGUUUUGUAAGCUGCCACACAUCCAUCACCAACAACAGCGCUUCCUAAAAAAAAAAUGGCGGUGUAACCGCCGUUUCCCGCCGGCGGAGGAAUGGCUGCACUGCAAGAGUGGUGGGAAUCAAUUUUGGGGGAUGCAGAGGAAUGGCUGCAUCACAUGGAUUUGUGACGAGAGAGAGAAGAAAGAGAGAUGCAUGCGGAUAAGGGGUGGGCUGAGGUCGUUGGCUCGUUUCUUUGUUAGUCCUGCUUAAUACCAUGUGAAACCUUGGGUCUAGAUAUUGAGGUUUAGUGAAGUGCGGGGCGCCUCGUAGUCGAGGCGAGUCCCGUUAAUUCCAAUCCAAGACCAUGCCAAACGUAGGACUAUAAUCCUAGUUAAGCCAAUCCAUGCUAGUCCCUUCUAAGAAGGUGUAACAAACACACCCUUAGUGUUAAAAAUGUUAUAAUUAAUAUAUUUAUAUUUAUGGUUAAAAUUUUUAUCAUAUAUUUUUAUUUUUAGUUUGUAACAAUUUUUAAUUUUCAAACCUUUUUCAAAUUGUACCAAUUUUCUUUUCAGUUUUAAUUUGUACCCAUAUAUUAAUUUCUUUUUGUGCCCAUAUUUUUAACGCUUUAUUUGUAUUUGUGUCUGUGUGUUUAUCGUCACGUGACAUUGUAUAAUUAAUCAAUUAUAGAAAAAAAGGAAAACUAAUGAAAAGAGCUUGAAAACUUUGAGUUUUAACGAUAAGGACAAAAUAAAGGGUAAAGUGAAUAGUAUUGACAUACCCCGAUCAUAAAAUCAGAGCGUGCUGACCGUCACGUGAGCGUGACGUAACCAAAAGUGCGACGCGGAAGCAAAAAGGUAAAAGAAAUACGAAGGAAUAAAAACCAACUACUAGCAAUAAUAUCCAACUAACAUGCUAGAAUGAAUUUAAGUGUGAAAUACACAUAAUCAGAGCAUAAGUACUAGGUGCAGUCAAGUAGGACCAUUCCUAAAUUACAACACCCGAAGGUGAGUCCUACAUUUAAGUGGUCUGUCAGAACGCCGUGGGAGUCCUCGUGAGCCACCAACACUGCUAACUAGAACCUGGAGGGGCGCAAAACAAGAUUGAGUGGGUCAGUAAAACAAAGCUUUUCAAAAAUAUUUCAUUUAAUAACACUUCUAACCCCUCGCUGUAAAACCUGUAUACUUUCCCAGAAAAAUAGUAUAUAUAUAACCAUAUAUAACAACAAAUAAUUCAAAUCACAAGUCUUUAACACUUUUCAGGAAAAUAUGCCAUGCUAUGCUUCAAAACAUAAUAAGGAUGCAUCAAUAUAACAAGUGAAAUAAGGAAUCAACCGGAGACCCUGCAGCUGUCCUGUACGGCUAAUUCUAUAGCUCAAUAUCCAAUCCAACCGGAGUCACCAACUGUGACCUGUACGGCACUACUCUGCACACAAAUCGGAACUACCUGAAGUAGUAUGUACGACAAGAAUGGUGUAAGAAUACGCUCUAGUGCUUCUCUCAUCAACAGCUGUAUAAUAAUCUAAAGUCACCUACAAGUCGGAACCAUCUCUACUGGUCUGUACGACAUGUCGGAACCACCUCUAGUGGUCUAUACGACAUGCACCUACUUGGAUCCAAGGUGAGCGUGUGGUGCGAGGUGAAUAAUAUAAGCACUAACACCAGGGGUGCAGGUUAUGAGCUCUCAACACAAUUCACAUCAUCAAUAAAUCACAUGAACAACAUAAAACUCACCUGAUACUCACUUGUGCGUCCACAACACCAUUUAACAUAUAUGCAUGAAAUACUAGUUCAUAUAUUUCAUAUAAUAUGAAUGCAUGACCUUUUAAAACAUACUAUCAUUUAAAUUCAAUUUCUGGGAAAAGUCAGUAGUAUAUAUGUAUAUACAGAAAAUAACUGCCCACUCACUAGUAUGUCGAAGAGUCGUAACCCCCGUGACGCCCUUGAAUGUGCUCGUCCUCGGGAUAGGUCUCACCUAUAUGCGAAACAACUAUAAAAACGUUAUUUUAACGCACAUAGGCAAAACUAGCUUAUAACUUCUCAUACAUUGCUCAAUUUGGGUAUAUGAAUAUACCACAGUGACCUACUCGACGUCACGGAUGUCGAGAUAUUUUAGAAUAAUUUUUCAAUGCCGCACGCGCCCCCACGCGCCGGGAGAGGCACGGUGCUACGCGUCAUCCCCUACCUCCAGACACCGGAAAAUCUCGUCGGCGCCGGAAACUGGGCAAACCUGUAAAUGCCAUUUUCCACGAAAUUUUCACCAAAAUGUCACAAAUCACGAGAGGAAGAAGGCUAUACCUUUUAAAACUUCCAAAUCCUUUGAAAACUCGUCGGGAUAAUUCACCAAAACCGGCCACCUUCGAACCUCGUGAUCCCGACGUCCAAAACCUUCAAACGAACGUCCUCGAGCUUCGUGGGAACCUCCUUAAGCUCACUGUGAGCUUGAAAUUCCCUGAAACACAAUGUUUUACGUGUGCAUGAACAGUGCACAUUUUCGGGGUUAGGGUUUCACAAUGAUUUCGAAGGUCUUAAGUUCCAAAAUUAGUAUGCUUGAACUCAGGGACUCAAGAUGAGUUCGAUUCUUACCUUAGAACCUUCGAUCUGUGAAGAAAUGGCGUAGAAUAAGCUUGUCCGCACGUGCACAGUGACAAAGGUGCCGAAAAACCGAGAGAGAGAAGGGAGAGAAAGUCCACGGGAGAGAGAGAGAAAAGGCAGGUUUGUGUGUGUGUGGUCCACAUUAAUCCCUAACCACACAAAUGAAAACAUAACCUAAGUUCCAAUUAAAUUUUCCACAAACUUAGGAAGGACAAUAUUAAUCAAAUGUAUAAGUCACACACACACCUUAGAAAUCUUUAGGGACAAUUCCGUCAAUUCACAUCAACGAUAAAUGUAAUUUCGGGACGGCUGUGACAGUAUCAUGAUUGAUUUUUUAGUGUAAAAAUGUGGUUUUUCGUUAAGGUGAACAGUACAGAGAGUUUUUCGUUAAAGUUUCCUAGAAAAAAUUACAUAUGUUAUACAUAACUAUUUGUAGACUGGCAUCAGUAUAAAAUUAUUCUGCAAUAUAAUUUCUAAAAAGUGAUAGAGACGAGUGUAAAGGGGACAAGUGCAUCGCAUUUCUUCUACAUGCGUAAGAAGAGAUGCUCUUGACUAAUUGAUUCAUGAGUUAACUUUUGAAGUCGUCUUCAACUUUUGAAACUGUGUGAAAUCAGAAGUUAGAAAAAUGAGCAGCACCAUACAAGAAACAAGGCUUGAUGACGCAGCACUAGUGUAGAAGGAUUAAAAAUAUAAAUCCUUGAAGAAACAAAGUUUUUGGAACCCACCAGUUUGAUAGAAACUCCAAAAGGAUAAUUUGAUUAAUUGAUGAGUUGGUGAUUACAAUGGCUAACGCUAACACUCAUGACUUAAAUAAGUAAUUUACAACACUUUUGGACAACUCAAAAGGCUUAGAGAAUUAAAACGAAAGUAAAUGACAUUAAUCGGACGACAAUUGAAAAGUCUGAAACUUAUUACAAACUUUAUUUUUUGGUUUUGGAAGCUUAAUUCCUCUUAAACAUGACGGGCUCAUGAUAUCAUUCCUCUUGUUCUGCUCGCAAUUCUCUUCAAAACGAUAUAUUAUACGCCUAAUUAUGACACCGGAAUAUUUCUUGCUGUUUUUUCUGUCGUCAUAUUUAUUGAAUCCAAUAUUUUCCAAUUUUAAUUAUUCUUCUCUUGAAACAUUUUAUUUUAUUUAUAUUUCUUGAUAGGAAGUGACUCAUAUCUUGUCUUACAUCACUUGACUUGACCUCAACCAUCUGAUCUUCGACCUCAAGAUCCAGAUUAAUGGAGUGUGUAAAAAAUAAAUAAAUAAAGGGAAGAGAAAAAGAAGUACAAACCGAUCGAUUACAAAACUUUGCUAAAAUUGCUACAUAACGCAAAAUGACUACAUCUUACCAAACUUAACACCAGCCAAGUUACAUGGUGUAUUUAUAAAGACCCAAUUCUUAACAAACAUGAAAGCAAUCGUAAACCCUCCUAAAUAAUAGGAAAGUAACCUAAGAUCAUGUGGCACAGAAGGAUUGAAGAGUAGUAGAUUGACUGAGUAGUAGACCUGUAAACAGGUCGGGUUCAAUCCAACCCGUUAAAUUAAUGGGUCACCCAAACCCAACCUGUUAAGCUAACGGGUCACCCGAACCCGACCUGUUUCACCUCGUUAACAAUUAUUAUUAUUAUUUUUUUGCAUAGAGUUUAUUUUUUGUUGUUAAGACUUUACUGAAAUUACUAAAACAUCCUCAACUAACGGAUGCUAACGGGUCCGAACGGGUUGACCCAAAGUGACCCGUUAUUUAACAGGUUCACCCGUUAGCGACCCAACCUGUUAAGUAUCCACACAAAUACUAAUAUUAACGGGUCAGGUCGGGUCGGGUCUAAAAUGCCAGGUCAGUGAGUAGUACUCUUGACAAGACUGAACAAAUAAUGAAUGCAACCAAAUAUAGUAAUUAGGUUUUAAUUCGACCGGUGGAGUGGAUACUGGUCUAUGUGUGGAACUUGUGCUUUGUUUUUGGUCUAUGUUGAUUUUUUCAAACUGCAAGUUCUUUUCUCAUCAAAAAAGAAAUAUCUCAUUACUCAUCCCCAACUACAGAUGUCUCUAGGAAGUGUAGGUAUUCUUGUUGACGUCAAAUAGGAGAGAAACGGCAUCCACUAGUCUUACGUGGUUGAUAUGACUCUUUGACACUUGGUAGACCCGAUUCUUCUACACUUAAUGGAUUUCUGUUUAAGAAGUUGAGGUUCUACCAUAAUAUCGCAGUAGUCACAUGCACUCCACGUAGUUCCGUUGUUUGUCCACAUGUUAGACUUAAAAAAAUUUUCCACAAAAAACAGAAGAAAAAAAAAUGAAGUUAAUUUUUGCAUAUAUGUAAUACAUUUAUAGUUGAUCUCAUGAGUUCCUUCCGUAAGGGUUUAUGAUAUUUGUAUUGACACUCUUGUAAGGUUUUAUCAUAUUUAUAUGGCUAAUUGCAAGACUUAUCAACUUCACAUUUGGGUACUUCUAAAUGUGUUGGACCUUCAUGCUUGAAAUCUUGAUUAAAAAAUAUGUAAUUUGUAUUGGAAUGAAAAAUUAAACAAAAAAAAAAAAAACAAUUUUAACGGGUGACUCAUGAGCUUAACAGGUUAAGUUUGGAUGACUCAUUAGCUUAACGAGUCGGGGGUGACAUGACCUAAACCCAAUAAACCGAACCCGUUUACAGGUUACCAGUAGAUAGUAAAGGGGAUGAAAGUUUCAGACUCUCAGCAUCAAAUUAUUAGUCAUCAGUUUCAAUUCCUGCAUUGGCUUGAAGUGCAAUGGAUUUGAGGCCCGAAAUUUUUAUUCGAUACCCAAUUUCUUUAUCAUUUUAGGACUUUCAAACUCCUAACAUCUAUCAAGUCAAGAGUGCGGUGUAACGAAAUUUAUCAUGUUGGAUUUAGUCUAUGUUGCAUUUUUCAAACUGCAAGUCCUUUUCUUGAGAAAAGGAAUAUCUCAUUAACUCAAGAGAAAGCAAGGAAGAGGAGAAAUACUUCGAGUUGGAGUUGAGGCCCCAACCAUAGGAAAACUGUAGAAAAACGUAUUUGACUCAAUUGUACUUUUCAUUCAUUCUCAAAUGUACAAUAUAUAUAUAUAUAUAUAUAUAUAUAGUAAAUAAAAAUAUAUGGAUUAACUAUAAAUACACACCAUUUACUCUUUUAUAUAAUGAGCUUAAUGCUGAAACGUUAAUGAAUCCAUGUAGAAGAUUUAAUAAGCCUAAUUGUUCAAUGAACCUAAUUAACUAACAUGCCCUCUCAAGUUAGAGAGUGAAGAUCCACAACUCCCAACUUGCGUAUCAUAAUCGAAAAUUUUAAAUUUCGUUAGGUAAAAGCUUAAGCAUUGAAAACUUACUUUUACCUGACGAAAUGGUUUCGUCUAAAAUGGUGUUUUCUUGUAGUGAUAUCAAGUAAACUCCAUAACAAUAAUCUUUUGAAUUUUUGCCCUCUUAGCUAUGUAUGGAAGUACAAAGUGACACAACUAUUUAUAGACGGGUAAUGCUUGACAAAGGAAUACGUAUAGGGUGGACUAAUAUAUAUAUAUAAUAUAUGUGUGUGUCCAUAAAUUCCUUACCACAUCAACCUUGACCCAUUGGAAUCUAUAAAUUUGAAUUUGUCUAAAUUCCCAUGGCUACACCAAAUUCUUUACAAACACUUAUCAGCUGCUAAUUAUUAAACUGACCAACUAUGAUUAGUGUGAUGAGCUGAAGGAUACAAAAUAUGUGUUAUAUAAUUAUGGUUGUUUAGUAAAACUAUAACACAGCUAAUGUUUCUCUCGCCGAUCUUUUCUCACAAUCUAGUAAGUGGACUAAAUGAUUUAAGCAGUUAGUGAAAGAACAUAUGUAGCUUGUAAUUUGACUAAUUUCCCCAUGUUCGGAGAAAUUUCACAGGCCUUUGUAAGAUUUCACUUUAACAAAGAGAGCUCCAAUAACCUUCUAAAACAUUUAAGCAAAGCACAUAUCACAAAAAAUGAACCUGAAUGGGGAAGAUCAUCAUAAGCUAAUAUGGACCAUGUAUAAAAGAGAUAAAUAGGAAUUAAGGAUGUGUGAAUGGAUACCAAGCAACUAAAAAGCUUCUAAUGGGUCUUUUCCUUCAAAUAAUGAUUGAUAAGAAACAACCAUUCUUCAUGAGGAAGCAGGUAAUGUAUUGUGCACCCUAAUCUAUUGUCCUAACAACGAUAAUACAUAGAAAUUUAUGGUGCCCCAUUGCACGUAUGCAGCAGGCUUUUAAGCAUAUCAAUAUUUGCAUAAGAAGAACCAACAAACAGAGAGACGAAACACCUAAAUUUACAACAAUUAGUCUUGUGAAGCCAAAUGGGAGGGAGUGUGUUGAGAAUGAGUUCCACGUCAAUGAGAGGAGGAACCUUGCAUAAGUUUGUAAGAAGUCAAGUUACUCCUCGUAUUACCAAUUAAUUUUAUAGUAAAACCUCACAUUUUUUCAAAAUGAAAGUUUAACAAAAAAAAAAAAAGGGAUAAAAAACACCUAAAUUUACAGAGAUAAUUUAAAACAUGUAAAUAAGAAAUUGAAAAGUAAUCUGCAAUUUGGUUUCUUCAGAAGCAAUGAGCAAAAGAAAACGGGAGAAUGAGACCAACACAGAAAAGAAAACAUCCUUUUUACCCCUAAGUUGUGCGCGAUGUCCUACUUCCUUCCCUUCUUCGUUUUGGCAGCCUUCCCCUUCAUUCCUUUCAUUCUUCGUAUUUUCUCCCCCCGCGCUGUCUCACUUUCAGAGUCUGUAAGACUCACUCACGACUCAGCAGCUGUUCAGCCUGACUCGUGCCUCAUCUCAGCCUCACUCAGUCCUUCCUCUACGUCGACCACUCGCCCACCUCGCACUCACCCUCGCGGCCCACAAGCUUCCUCUCGCCGUUUCGAGUCUCGACAGCCCACCUUGAUUCCUCGAUUCCAAAAGGUUAGUCUUUCUGCUGGAUUAAAAUUUGGAUCCACAACUAUAGUUGGUCUUUCUACUGAUUAAAAUUUGGAUCACAACUGUGUUUUUUCCGAUUAGGGAUUUGAAUUGGAAACCUUAUCUGUCAUUUCUGCUUUGACAGUUUUGUUUCUCUAUUUGUAAAUAUGAAUUCAUCACAGAAAAACACAAAAUGGUUUUGUUAUUUACCAUUAAUUUUCUUGUUAAAAUAUGUCAAUAAUACGAAGGAAGUUUUAAUGAAAAGUCCGCGGUACUAUUUACUUUAACGAAAAAUCAUAUUUUUACAUUAAAAAGUCAAAUAUGGUAAUAUUCACUUUACAUUUUAUUUUGUCCUUAUCGUUAAAACUCAAAGUUUUCAAGCUCUUUUCAUUAAUUUUACUUAAUAUGAAAGGUUUUGUUAUUCGCCAAAGUGGGACUUUCGCCUUCACCUCUUCACAUGUACCAAUCACUUGUUUUUUCCCAAUAAUUUUCUUGUUAAAAUAUGUCAAUAAUUUUGAAAAAUGGUACAUAAAAGUACUCUUGUAAAGUUAUGAUAUCUUCACGUGAAAAUGUUUUUUUGCAAGAAUAAAAGGUGUAUUGUCCUUGCACGACAAAAGAGAAAUUAAGUUACUGAUAAAACACAAGUUUUAGGGCUAACGACAAUGAUGUUUUCUGUAUCUGCGCUUCAAGUCCACCAGCCCUUUUGCAUUUGUUGCCUAUUGCACAACUGAUGUAUUCAGUUUACAAGUUGUUCCUACAAAACCAGUUCCCCUGUAAUCCACGAUUCUUAUUCAUUCUCUCCGAUGAUUGGAACAAAAAGUUGUACAAAUUUCGUAGCUCUGGUUUUAGAAUUUUAGACAAUCCUUGCUAUACACAUUAUUCUUAAAUAUGUAACUGUUCUACAAGUAUUCUUAGUUACUAAGGCAUAGGAAAGUUUCGAUUUCAUUUGAUUGAAAAGAUUUGUCUCCAAUUAAUCGAAGGGUUAUUAUACAAAAUAGUCCAUGAGAUUUUUAUGAUCAAUAGAAAUUCUCUAAUAUUAAAAAUCAAUAUAAAUGGCCCCUGAGAUUGUUCAUUAUCCAUGAUUUUGGUCAUUUCAUUAAAACUUCUUUGGGCAAUUUUCAAAACUUCGUAACUCAAUCGAUUCUUAACCAAAUUCGACUCAUAAUAUAUCAAAAUGAAAAUAAAAAAGUUUAGAACAAGAUUAUACCUAUUUGGAAGCCCAAUGAUUGCCAGAGAUGACUGGAAAAUAGCCUGAAAGGUGACUGGUCCACCGGAAAACUGGAAAACUCGCCGGAAACUGGGUAAACUUUAAACAUUUAUAACUUCUUCAAUACUCAACGAAAUCGAGUGAUUCAAAAACAAAAAUUUAGAUUUCAUUUGAUUGAAAAUAUUGUCUCCAAUUAAUCGAAUGAAUAAGAAUCCUUUCAAAUGAAAAUAGCUGCUUUCAUUCUAAUUUCAGAAAAUCCAAAUCCAUGAAAACAUGCAGCACUCUACUAUCUUUAUUUAUAUUACUUUCUAUCUCCAUUUAAUUGUUAAAGAAACUCGACGGUACAAGCAAACUGAUAUAACAUAAAAAUAAUAUGAUACAUAGGGCAGAGUUUUGAACGUGAACAACAAUCAACUAAAAGCUAAAAAGCAUCAAUACAUUCUAUCUCUUUUUUCAAAAGAAAUCUCGACGGUACAAGGAAAAAUUUAUUGAAUAAACAAAAGAAAUUACACCUAGUCUUGGGGGGAUAUAAACCUUGCCUCUCAAAAUAAAGAGAAACGUAAGAAAAGAAACCGAAAAUACAAGAAAAUAGGAGGGACAUACACUUACAUAUCCUGAUACAAACUUAUAACUAAACAUAUAGAAAGUGAAGGAAAGAAACCACAAUAGAGAAAACAAACGACAACAAGAAAUGUGUAACAUUGUAACAAACCGAAUUUCUACGCCCCCAUUAGUACUCUAAAUUUUCAUUAUCAUUUGCCUGACCAUUCCAACAAUCUUAAGAAACAAGUCAGACCUCCUUGUGAUCACAACAUCUGCAAGAACUACUCCCACUACCAACCCACUUCAACAUCCGGCUGAAACAAUUUUCCAAUCAAAUUCAAAUAUUCCUGCUGAGCUAGAAUCACCUUCGUCCACGGUUGAAGGUGGAAAUGGAGGGGCCUUAGGAUUUCCACAUUUCUUUGGCAAUGGAUCUCCACACAACCCUGGGUUUCCCUCAUAUGAAGUGAUAUUCAAUGUAGUAAGUUGGCUACCUUGUGGUAUAAGACCUGUGAGAUUGUUGGGAGACACAUUGAAAUUGGCAAGAAAAGUAAGUUGCCUCAGUUGUUGGGGGAUCCGUCCUGAGAGCUUGUUUUGUGAAAGGUCCAACAAUUCAAGUUUCAUCAAGUUUCUGAAGGAUGAUGGGAUAGAACCAGUGGGAAUGUUGUGGGAUAGACUCUGCGAACAAGGCUCCUUAAGAUUCCCAAUGAAUUCUGGAAUUUUCCCUUCAAAUUUUUUGCUCGAGAUAUCAAAGGAUGAAAAUUCUUCUCGGAUCUUUGGGUAGUAUUGCUCCAAACAUUUUGUUGCUAUUGUGAGUUGGUACUCAACACUGUUAACAAUCGUGAAUCCAUUGACAUCAUAAACUACGUCUGUGUACAUAUAUGUUGACUUAUUUAUGGUAAUAUCUGGAAAUACAGACGGAACCGCACCAGUAAAAUCAUUGUAAGCCAAAUCAAGAAUGCGUAACUUGGGGAAAUCGACAUUCUUUCUAGACUUUCCAAUCACACCAUAGAAUCCAUCAUGGCAUAUUGCCAAAAGUUUUAACUCCAAAAGAGUCCCCAACCAAAUGGGAAAAACAUCAUUGAAUUGAUUGUUUGACAAAACAAGAUACUCAAGCAUUACACAAUUGGCCAAUGACCUCGGCAACUGCCCUUGCAAUUUGUUAUGACUCACAUCAAUCAUUCUCAAACUGCUUCCUUUGUUGUAUGUCUGAGGAAUAAUUUCGUGAAAACAAUUGUUUCCAAGAAGUAAAAGAUUCAGAUGAUCACUAAAGUUUCCGAGACACUGAGGAAGCAUGCCACUCAAGUUAUUUUUCGACAAGUCAAGGUAUUGAAGAUUUUUCAUAUUGCAAAGCAACGGUGAGAUUUCUCCGGUAAAGUUGUUGUCUGGAUGAAAACCUUACACAUAACAGUUUCACCCAAGGAAUGACAAGUGGAGGUUGGUCUGAAAUGAAGUUAUUAGAAAUGUCUAACAAUAGCAAAGUUUCUAUGAUUGUGUUCCACAUCCAUUUUGGUACUUGGCCCCGAAUUUUGUUUAUAGAAAGGUCCUAACGCUCCAAACUUUUCUGAUAUUGUAAGAAAGAUGGAAACUCUCUUAUGUUGCAAGAACUCAAUCCUAGGACAGUGAACUGCAGAACUGUUGAAUUUGCAAUUCGUGGAUUCAGUGACAAAUUCUAAAAUGUUCCAACUUAAUUGGAGUUGGUAAAGAAAUUGUAGAUUUUGAAAUUGUAAACAUGAAAAUUUCCUCCUUCGAAUGAGACAAGAACGCGUGUACAAAAUAAUAUUUUGUAUUAAUUUUGGGGUUACAAUCACUUUUACAAUUUGAUACUCUGAUUCUAUCUUCGUAAGAUGUAGAUUUGUAGGUGGGCAGUUGAUCCAAAAGGUCAUCGGGGCUUGAUCUAGGGAUGAACAAGGAUGAAUGGACCUUCAAGGGCCUUCAGGGCUUGAACUUGAUGAACGAGGAUGAACAGAUCUUCAAGGGCCUUUGGGGCUUGAUCUUGAUGAAAGAUGAUGAUUGGAUCUUCAAGGGCAUUCGAGGCUUGAUCUUGAUCUUGAUGAAUGAGAAUGAACAGAUCUUUAAGGGCCUUCGGGGCUUGAUCUUGAUGAACGAGGAUGAAUGGAUCUUCAAGGGCCGUUGGGCUUGAUCUUGAUGAACAGUUGGGAGCUGCGGUUGGGAGCUUCUUCAAGUACCGUCGGGGCUUUAUCUUGAAUGAGUGGUUGGGAGCUUCUUCAAGGGUCGUUGGGGCUCGAUCUUGAAUGAGCGGUUGAGAGCUUCUUCAAGGGUCGUCGGGGCUUAAUCUUGAAUGAACGGUUGAGAGCUUCUUCAAGGGUCAUCGGGGCUUGAUCUUGAAUGAGUGGUUGCCUCAAGGAUUUGGCUUGCGGCAAAGGAAGAAUCGGCACGUGACCAAAGUGCUAGUUGAUUCUUCAAAGGUUUUGGCGAAGAACGAAGAGAGCUUUCUCGAUCUUUUGGAAUUCCUGAGAAUUUGGGGAGUUGGAUGCUUGAGAGCUUUAUAGUGUAUUUGUCUUGUCAUUGUCCAAAAUGAGAAGAAAAAACUUGUUUUGAUCCAUAAUGGAUUGAAGUGUGUUUGCCUUGUCAUUGCCCAAAGUGAGAAGAAAAUUUUGUUUAAUCCUCCAAGGGUAUUUCUUCCUAUUUUGUUGAGUCACACGCCAUGUGUAAAAUUUAUGUGACAUGUGAACGUUGAAAUUUUAAUGCAUUGGUCAACAUUUAUUUCACCGAAAUUUCGAUGUCUACAUAAACAUUUGAACCUCCACUGCACCACUCAGACUAUUCCAAUGUAGAUAAAGGAUCUGAAGGUUUGUGAGAUUUGAACCAUUAAAUCUAUUAUAAGCAAAAUCUAGGUACUCUAGUUUGCUAAAGUUGCCUAGCCAAGAUGGGAUUGGACCAGUUAAUCAACUGGAACAAAUCCUAAAAGUAGCCAAUUGGGUAAGGUUUGCCAAGGAAUCAGGAAUUGGACCACCAUAACUUUUGGCUGAAAUGUCUAGAUAAGUGAGCUCACUGAGCUGCCUAAUAUUCCCAAGUGAAGAUGGAACCAACCCUUCUGAAAAAUUGCAUUGAGCCAUAUCUAAUUUUUGCAGUGAAUCAAGGUUUUGAAUAAGAGAGUAUGGUUCCAAAAAAGCCAGUAAAGCCGACUUUCAAUAAGAUGAGAGGACUGCUUCGAUUAAAGUCAGCAAAAUAUCCAGUCAAUUCUUGGUUGUAUCUCACACUAAGAAAUUUUACGUUUGGUAGUUGGAAAAUUCUCACCAGAGAUCACCAAAUAGGUGACAGUCCCUGAGGUAGAGGGAUGUCAAAGAUGAUAAAUUAGCCAUGGAAUGAGGAAUUGCCGAAGAUACGUUUACGAACUGAGAGAAAGUACUUCGAGACUAGUUAAGUUUUGAACUAGGCUUCCAAGAUCUGAUGCUUCAAGUUUCAACAAAGGAUGAUCCUUAUCUUCAGACAAUCUAUCGAGAUUGACAGCUAGAUUAAGGUAUGUCAACUUGGAUAACAGUGAAACUUCAGAAGGGACUUGACCAGAAAAGACAGAGGUAGAGAGGUCAAGAUGAGUAAGGCUUGGAAAAUUCCUAAUGCUAGGAGGAAUUUGAGAGUAAUUGAAGUUAUUGUCAGAGAGGUUUAACCUUGGAAGAUGAACAAGGCGGAAGAGGCUGCUUUCCAUGAUGAAACCUUUGGAUAAGCAUCGAUAGAUCUAGAAGCAGAUAUGUCAAUAGUAAAGCUGUCUUUGGAUUGCAGCAGGGCGGACUUCUCCUCAUCAGGGCAAGAUGGAUAAUGCUUCUGCGAAGAGUGGGAAGAGUUAACAAUAACUAUAUGAUUAAACAGCAACAAAACUAGUACUAGUUUUGAAACCAUGCGAAUGAUGGAGAUAUCAAGUAACCCCAUAACAACAAUCUUUUGAAUUUUUAUUUUUUUUAUUUUUUAUUUUAAAGCUUUUAGGCCAUCUCCAACCGAAUGAGGAUCAGAUAGCUCAUUUUAGUCUUAUAGCCCUUUAAGAAAUUAUAUUUUAAUGAAUAGUGUCAUACCAUAUUUCUUACCAUCACCAACUGAAGGAGCCAAAGGGCCAUAGGCCAAACAUAGCCUCUUGACAAAAAAUCAUCUCCAACCGAGGGGACCAAAUGGUCAUAGGCCAAACAUAAUUUAUUAUUUUAAUUGAAUUAAUAUAGUUACUUAAAUUAAAAACUACAAUCAUUAUCUUAAAGAUUCAACUACUUAAAUUUAAAAACUACAACUAAAAUUAAAAUGCUACAACUUCAAUUUAAAGACUACAACAACUUAAAUUUAAAAACUACAACUUAAAUUUAAAAACUACAACUUAAAUAUUAAAGACUACAACAAUUUCAAGACUAUAAUCAUCAUCUUCAUCCGCCAUUGUAGGAGUAUAGUCGGAUGAUGUAAACAACUCCCGUCAGGCCAUAAUUUCUCUCUUUUUCCUAUCAAAAUAUGUCUUACUCAUUGGAGUGUAAUCCGAAGUGUUCAUUUGCAUGUUCCUACCAUCCAUCUAUUCUUGUAUUUGUUUUGCCCAUUCUUCGUGCCUACGGUUCCUUUCUUCUGCGGCAAGGGCAUUUUUCUCUGCCAGUAAUUGCAAUGAGGACACAAUUUCCUAUUGACAAGCUAAAUCAUCCAUUGCCUUGCCCUUUUCCUUCAAUUUUCGGGCCUUGUUUUGUCCCGUAGCCCUAGGGAUGGAAGAUUCACUCGGAGACGGAUUUUCUACCCUUGUUUCUUGAAUGAUAGGAGAUUCUUGUUGAGGUGGAUCAAAUCUUUCUUGAGGUGGAUCUUGAAAUAACACACACCCUUUAUAAAUUUCCCAACAACCAUGAUGAGUAAAGGGGUUUUUUCAUUUCCUUCAUAUACAAUUCCUUCGCUUGGCGUACCUAGAAAAUAUAAUUACAAAAAUUAAAGGAAAUUAAUUUAUGAAAUUAAGAUUAGCAUGUGAAAUUAAUUUAUGAAAACACUUACUUCGUCGUAGUAAUUGGCUCUGCUUUCAUGUCUGCUUUCGGCCGCAAGCACUGCUUGAUGUCAUUUAUUCAAACUUGGUUGAAGAUGUUUUCUUCCUUUUGAAGAACAACUCUAGUGGUUUCGGGGAUUCGGUGGAGUGGUGUCUUCGUAUAAUUCGUAGUACUUUUUAGACCCAUCUAUAAGUUUUGCAAAGAGCUUCAUCUUCUUUUCGGGUCCAAGCCCUUCCUUUCAUUGCAUAUGUGGUUAUUUGAAAAUUAUUGAAAAAAAUUGAAGGAAAGAUUAUUGGAAGAGGUAAGAGAAUAGAAUGUGAAGAAUUGAAGCUCUUUGAGGUAAGAUAAUAUGGAAUGGUGAAAAUUAUGUGAGAAAUGAUGUAAGAAUAACUUAGGUAUUUAAAGGAAAAAAAUUAUUUUUUUUUAUUAAAAAAAUUGUACCAAAAAAAAAAUUCAAAUCCAACGUCUACCUGGCGUCAGCAUGACGCCAAGUAGCCGUUGGGUUUGGAUUUUGGGCCGACCCAGGGCUGGCUAGCUAGCUGAGGAGGGCCAGCCAGUUGGCACAAUUUCAUAUUUUUGGCCCGGUGGGGCUCACGAGCCAUUUGGCUUAGUCCUCGGUUGGAGACGGUUUUUGUGACAUUUCGAGUUUUUUUAGCCCUUUGGCCAGGUCGGUUGGAGAUGACCUUAGUUAUGUAUGAAAUGCAAAGUAACACAACUAUUUAUAGAAUGGCAUCAGUAUAAAAUUCUUUCGCAAAUUACUUUAGUCUAAAGUAGGGGAACUGCACUGUGCAAUUUUGCCUCAAUUUCACUUUAUUUAUGAGUUUGCCACCGGGCUGAUUUCAGCCCAAAGUUUGCUUCAUUUACAAGAUUGCCAUUGGGCUUAACAACGGGUCUUCAUUCUUUUGGCUGGAUCUGGGCUUUUGACUCGGGGAGAGAGAGGUAAGGGCGACAGAAUGGUUGAGAGGAAGACAUUCGCCGGGAUUUAGGGGAGUGGAUUUUCAGGAUGGACAUGCGGGUGGAUGUCCUGUGGGUGAUGCAUCGAUCAGAGGGUUGUUGGGGGGAGGAGAGGAGAGGAACAGAGGGACUGAUGGAUUGGAGAGAGAUGGGAGCCGGCUCAAAGACUCUGCAUUUCUCACUUUCUCUUCUCUCAGACCACUUCUCUCUCUUCCAUCUCUCUUCCAUCUCAAUGCGAAGGGUUGCGGAAAGCCGGUUCUCCGGCCGAUUUGAGGUGGUAAUAAGCUACUUAUGAUGAAUCCUAUGCUAUUAUGUUUCUUUGAACCACUAUGCUAUUAUGUGGUUUAUCUUUAUAAAGAGGAAUUCUUUUGAAAUCUUUCGUUGAACUAUUAUUGAUGAAUCCUAUUGUAAUAAGUAAUUUUUUGUCUGUUCAUCGUAGAACUAUAGGGAGGGAGAGAGAGAGAUAGGGAUUUGGUGAGAGGAAGGCAUGCGGCUUGCAGGCAGACAGAGUCACAAGGGUGUACGAUUCGAAAGAGAGGGGAUUGAGUGGUGACGCUCGAUUUGGGAAGAGAAAGAGAGGGAGAGCGCGAUUAUGGGGUUAGGCGACGGCGGGAGAGAGGGCGAGGGUUGUUGCAUCCAUGUCACUCAGAGUGGGUUACGUGAGAGUCAGAGUGCUGCGUUCUUGGGUUUGAGAGUUGAUUUUGAGAAAAUGAUCUAUUCCAUCUCUGCUUCGUGAUCCCUUUGAUCCAUGCUUCCUCAUCUUUUCGAUCUUCUUGGCCCCUCAUCCUGCACCCAAUUUCUCUAGCCUUUAAGAGGUAAUUAAAUCUCACUUCUUCUCAACUACCCAGAAGCCAAAUAUUUGAUUUUUCGUUGUGGUUUGUUACUUUACCGAAUUUGGUUAUUGAUAUUUCGUUUUUUUUAUGGUCCAUUUGUGUUUUCUUGGGGUUGUAUUUUUGCUAGAAUUUCAUAAAAUUUGAUUUGGCUGGGUAACCGAUUGGCUUAAAAUUGUUGUGAGAUUGAAUAUUUCUUGAAUUUGAUCAUUAGAUUUCUUUUUUUUUUUUUUUUGGAAAUUGACGUGUUUUUCCCAUUCAUAGCCAAAACAAACCCGUGCUUCCUCCCUUUUCGUCUUCUCCUCUCACAAUUUGCGCCUUUAGUUCUCAACUGGAUUCACAGUAAACGCCUAUAAAUUUAGAGGUACGAAAAUAUUAAUUUUUUUUUCAUGUUUUUUAUUUAUUUUUAGUGUUAAUUUCUGAUUAAAUUAUUAUUUUUGAUACCCACAUAGAAUCUGAUGGGUUUGCUUGGAUUCCAGAGUAAAAACCUUGAAACUUAAAGGUAUGAAAAUUUCAUUUUAUUUUUUAUUUUUUGUGUUAAUUUCUGAUUAAUAUUAUUCUUCAUAAAUCCACUUAGAAUCUUGAUCUGAGUUUUGCUUAAACUCAUCUUGGGGUUUUAUAAUUUUUUUGUUUUAUAAUUUUCUGGUGCACAUGUGAUUAAAUACAACUGAAUUUGAUUUUAUCCACAAGUGCAUAUCUGAUCCUGUAGUGCUCAAUCUAGAGAAUUGGUACUCAUAAUCAAUAAGAUUCAUACUGCUUAUUGGUAUCAAUUUUGGUUGCAGCAAUGCUAUUCUUGCUGAAGACCUGCCAUGUAAGUGAUUCAGAUUGUAGUAAUGUCGUACAAGUUAACACUUUUGUGUGGAAUUGGUGCAACUUUUGGGGUUUGUGCGAUGUUAUUUUGAUUAGUUAUUGGCUAAAAUUUGGUUCUUUUGAUUUGGGUCUGGUGAAAUUGUUUCAACAGUUGGGCGGGAUUGGUGUUCAGGGAUAUUAUGGUUUUCUAAGGUUUUGAUAGGGUUGUCAUGAAUGGAGGAUGUUAAUGAAGUAAAUGAACAUGCUUAUCUUUGUAGGCUUGACUUCUGAACACAAGGCCUACUCUUUUCAAUUGUUGGGGAAGGGUUUCUUAAUUUUUAUUUCUAUUUGUGUGUGUUGAAUUUUGAGUUAUUUUGCGAGCAAUUGGCUGUGUUGAUGCACAAAACCGGAAGGGGUUUUGGAACAACGUAAAUCCUACCAUGAAUCUGCAAGAAAGUAAAGAACACAAGAUGUAUCGUGGUUCACCCCAAUGUUUGGGCUACGUCCACACUGAUUAUUGUAUUUCUCUGAGAUGUUAAAGAGGGAGAGAGGGAGAGAGGGAGAGAGGGAGAGAGAGCUUCCUUAUGUGAGGAUGAGCUUCUUUGAAUAUGAGAUGGGAUGUGAGGCCUCUCUAAUUGUGAGGGUGAGGGGUCCUUUUAUAGAAUAAAGGCUCCUCACUUAUUACAUAUUUGCCGCUUCCCUUAUUACAUAAUUACAUUUAAGUCCCCCGAGUAUUUAUACGAGGUCUAAAUACGGAGGCCCUAAGUAUGGUAUAAACAGUAGUCCCCCAAGUCUUCAGUCAAGAGAGUCUUUUGGCUGGAGACUUGAAAUUCAGUCCAUGUGUGGGCCGAAGUAACUAGAUGUCGUCUAGAACUGAUACUCGAUAUGAGGCGGUGCUCAAUUUGAAAUGAUGCUCAACUAGAAGUAGCACAUGUUGCGAGGCUGCUCUGCUUGUGGCUUAUGUUGCCUUGGUUGGCUCGGCUUGUGGCGUUGAAGGUGAAUAAGUCCAUUUUAUAGAAUAAGGGCUCGCUCCUCAAUACAUAAGUGAUGGGUUAGGAGUGAUGCUCGCGGCGAUGCGGUUGCUCAGCUGGCGGCGAUGCUCUCUAAUGAUGGUGAGGGAGUCCCUUUUAUAGAAUAAGGGCUCGCUCCUCAAUACAUAAGUGAUGGGCUAAGAGUGAUGCUCGCGGCGAGACGGUUGCUCAGCUGGCGGCGAUGCUCUCUAAUGAAGGUGAGGGAGUCCCUUUUAUAAAAUAAAGGCUCGCUCCUCAGUACAUGAAUAAUGGGUGCUCUCUAAUGAAAGUGAGGGAGUCCCUUUUAUAGAAUAAGGGCUCGCUCCUCAAUACAUAAAUAACGGACUAAGUCCCCCAAGUUUUUUUUCAUGAGUGCUUUCUAAUGAAAGUGAGGGAGUCCCUUUUAUAGAAUAAGGGCUCGCUCCUUAAUACAUAAAUAAUGGGCUAGAGUCCCCUAAGUAUUUUUCAUGAGGCCUAAUAUAUGAUACAUAAUGUAGUCUCCCAAGUCUUCGGUCAAUAGAGCCUGUUGGCUGGAAACUUCAAAUUGAAUCCAUGUAUGGGUCGAAGUGGCGGUUGUUCGGAGGCGGUAUUUGUAUACCCUACACUGAAGCUUUGUAGGUGAAGCUUUGCAAGUGAAGCUUUGAAGCUGGAGCUCUGUAAAUGAAGCUUUUGAAGCGAGAGCUUUUGUAAAUGAAGCUUUUGAAGCUAGAGCUCUAUAAAUGAAGCUUUUGAAGCUAGAGCUUUUGUAAAUGAAGCUUUUGAAGCUGUAGCUUUGUAAAUGAAGCUUUUGAAGCUAGAGCUCUGUAAAUGAAGCUUUUGAAGCUGAUUGAAUGAGUGAUGCUCAUGAAUGUUUAUGUUGAUUGACAUGAGUGAUGCUCAUGGAUGUUGACAUGAGUGAUGCUCAUGAAUGUUGACAUGAGUGAUGCUCAUGAAUGUUUAUGUAUGAUUGAUAUGAGUAAUGCUCAUGAAUGUUUAUGUAUGAUUGACAUGAGUAAUGCUCAUGUAUAAUUUGAAGUACUGGGCGUAUUUUUGAUCACCUGGUUGGUGAUAAUAGCGGCAGGCUGCCGAAUAAUUUUGGAGUACUGGGCGUACUUUUGGUCACCUGAUUGGUGCUAUUUUAGGCUUAUGGGCCUUCGCCCUCCACACAACAUUCCAGCCCAUUUAUUUUGGGCUUUGCCUUUUUUUAUUUAUUAUUAUUUUAUUUUUUUUAUUACCCUCUGAUGGGGUUUAUAUAGAUGUCUCCGAAAGAUAAGAAAAAUAAAUCACAUCAUACAAAAACAAGAAAAGUAAAUCACAUCAUUCUGGUGGGGUGUUUAUUCCUUACUUUUGCUUUCUCUUUUGCUUUCUGCUUUUGUUUUUGCUUUCAUUUUCUCCUUUCUUUUCUGCUUUUGUUUCUCCCACUCCUGUUCUUUCUCUUUUCUCUUUUGGCAGAUGGCAGACAAUAAUAAUAUGAUUAAUAAUAAAAACUUAUCUUAUUCGUUGCAAACCAAUCAGGUUGGGAAGAGGACCACUGCAAAUCCAGGUAUCAUUGCCGUGACGCCACGCUGUACUGAUGCACAGUCAAUAUGCCUGUAGCCAUUCUUGACUGCAGCGAUGACAGCUUGACCGACCACGCCUGGUUCAGCCUUCCAUGUUCCAAGACCAACAGGUGGGAUCUUAGCUCCCGUAUUCAGAUCAAAAUACAAAGUUUCAGAUUUGUUUUCGCCCAUCUUCUUCAUCAUUUGGGCAUAAACCAUUGCCCUGUGGUAGUGCUCCUUCAUUCUCAAAUUGGAGGUUUGCUCAUCCAACUUCUCAUUUUCAGCUUGAUCUGCCGGUAAACCGACAGCAGUUGAACUGGUUUUGGAUGUUACCUUCUGAGAGCUGGGAAUUGCAGCUAGAACGGCACAAAGCAAGCCCACAUAGUUCUUAUACCGAACUCGAGCCUCCUCAAGAGCUCCUCCGCUGAAAACAAAAAAGUCACCCACACGGAAAAUGGCGCGAGCAGCCCAUGCUUGGAGGUUGGAGAAGAGAUCCUAACCGAAAGCUCCACCCACAUAGUGGUUGGUGUUGGCGGCAAAGACGUCCUCCUCCGUGACGGAGUUGAGGUUGUGAAUGGAGGAUUGAAUCGUCGGCGACGACUGGGUCCUCGUGAGCUUUGCGUGGCUUUUCUAACCGUCCAUAUGAGAGAAAUUGUACUGGGGGUUAGCAGCCAACCCCGGAUUUGUAAAGUCUCUAUAUCCUUCCUCCAAAACGUGCAUUCACGGCUUCACUGAGAUUUCCUCCGUAUUCCAAUCCGGCACCAGCAUUAUCUAGGAAAAAUGCGACGUCCUGGUAUUGUUCUUCCUGUAUAGCUAUAUUGAGAUGAGAAAUGACUCUGCCAACUAUUGAGAAAUGAUUUCAUUACAUUAUAAUUAGUUACACUGAGGUAUUUAUAUAAACUAGAUUUACAUAGGUAAAGAGAAUAGUUACAGUGGUAACUAUUUGUAACUAUUCUAACAACUAACUAACUUGACUAACACUAAUGUUUUACAAUGGUAACUUGCUCUUCACACCCCCUCAAGCUGAACGGAGAAGGUUGAAGUGAAAGCUUGGAUCGAAGAUGAAGAAAACGUGGCCUUGGCAGAGAUUUGGUGUGAAUAUCCGCUAAUUGAUCCACACUGCAAACAAAUUUGACAGUAAGAAGCUUAGCCAAAACAAGCUCACGGAUGUAAAUGAUAAUCGAUUUCAACAUGCUUUGUGCGAGCAUGAAAAACCGGAUUUGAAGCCAAGGCAAUUGCAGAAACAUUGUCAAACCAAAUUUGUGGCAAGAAGGACAACUUGAAACCAAUAUCAGAGAAGAGUUGACAGAUCCAAGUGAUCUCAGCAGCGGUAUGUGCAAGGGAGCGGUACUCAGCUUCGGUAGAGGAUCGGGCAACUGUGUGCUGUUUCUUUGCACUCCAACUAACUAGACAAGGACCAAGAAAGAUGCAAAAGCCACCAGUGGAAUGCCUAUCCCACGAACAUCCUGCCCAGUCAGCAUCGGAGUAGGCGUUGAGAAGUAGGGGAGAUGGGGUUUUGGGAAACCAUAAACCAAAUCCAAGUGUCCCUUUUAGAUACCGAAGGAUGCGUUUCACGGCUUGAAAGUGAGGCUCCCGGGGAGAGUGCAUGAACUGACACACCAGAUUAACCGCAAAGGAUAAAUCAGGCCGGGUCCAUGUAAGAUAUUGGAGGGCGCCAACAAUAGAGCGAUAGUCCUCGGGAUUCGACAACAAGGAACCAGUGUGAUCAAGCUUGACAGAACUAAGGGGAGUGGCACAUGGCUUUGCCCCAUCCAUUUUGGUACGCUUGAGAAUAUCCAAUAUGUAUUUGGAUUGAUGAAUGAAGGCUCCUGAGGGGGAUUUCUGAAUUUCCAGACCUAGAAAGUAAUGAAGAUCGCCGAGAUCCUUGAUUGGAAAUUUAGAGCUCAACUGAGAAAUAAUGGUGUUGCAAACACUAGAAGAAGGUCCGGUCACUAUGAUAUCAUCGACAUACACAAGAACCAAAACCAAGGUAGGUUGAUGCAACACAAACAGACUAUGAUCAGAGUGUGAAGCUUGAAAUCCCAUGGAGAAAAGAGCAGAAUGAAGUUUUUCAUACCAAGCACGAGGGGCUUGCUUUAAGCCAUAUAAGGAUUUCUUCAAGUGACAGAUAUGAGUAGGAUGAUCCUGAUCAAUGAACCCAGGUGGUUGAGCCAUAUAUACAUUCUCUUUCAAAGAACCAUGUAGAAAAGCAUUGCUUACAUCCAGCUGGUGUAAAAACCAGUUUGAUUGGACGGCAAGGGUGAGAAUGAUGCGUAUAGUCACAGGUUUAGCAACCGGGCUAAAAGUAUCACCAUAAUCAAUGCCCUCUUGCUGAUUGUAACCUUUUGCAACGAGUCUAGCCUUGUAACGAUCCACAGAACCAUCUGGUUUCCUCUUAAUCCGGAAAACCCAUUUACAGCCAACCAAAUUAUGAGUGGAGGUAGAAGGAACAAGCUGCCAAGUGUCUGUACUUUGUAAAGCAUUGAAUUCAUCCUGCAUAGCAGCCCUCCACUGUGAAUGUUUGGAAGCCUGGAGAUAUGUAGUAGGUAUAAACUCACUGUCAAAAUGAGAAGGCAGAGGAUGUGUUGUGGCAGUAAGGGCCUUAGGUUUGUAUAUGCCUGACUUAGAGCGGGUUUGCAUUGGGUGAACAGAGGAAAUAUGAGGUACAGGAUGUGGUGCAGGGUGUAGAGAAGGAGAGGCUAGUAGAGGAGAAGAGGGAGGUGAGGGAGGUUGCAGAGGUGCAGGACAAGGAGUAGGAGAAUGAACGUGCUCAGGUUGAGUAACUUGCUCAGGUUGAGUAACUGGCGCAGGUUGAGGAGGGGAGGAAGAUAUGGGUGGUGGAGCACGGAAAGUGAAAGAAUGAGGAGAAUAAAGAUUGGGAAAGGUAAGGGAAAAAAGUGAGUAAGGUUCUGGGGUAUGGGGAGUGGAGGACUUUAGAAGGUGGGGAUCAUGAAAGGGAAAUGUAUGUUCAUCAAAAUGAACAUGUCUAGAGAGAUAAACCCGAUUAGUGAAGGGAUCUAGACAUCUAUACCCCUUGUGAGCUAAGCUGUAGCCAAUGAAAACACACAUCUUGCUCUUGGGAUCUAAUUUGGAAUUGGUGUAUGGUUUUAACCAAGGAAAGCAUUGACAUCCAAAUACCCGAAGAGACUUGUAAUCUGGAACUUUCUUGAAAAAUUGUUCCCAAGGGGAAGACUUGUUGACUGGAGGUAGGCGAUUGAUAAGAUAGACUGCAGUAAGAAAACCUUCAACCCAUAAUUGGUGAGGAACUUGUGAGGCAAUAAGGAGGGUUCGAGCAGUCUCAACAAUAUGUCUGUGUUUCCUUUUAGCACAACCGUUUUGCUGAGGAGUGUAUGGACAACUGAAUUGUUGCUGAAUGCCAUGGAAAGACAAAUGAUGCUUGAAGUUAGAACUUGUAAACUCACCCCCUGAGUCUGAUCGUAAAGUGCCAAUUUUGUAACCAGACAAAUUCUCAACAAGAGCUUGGAAUUGUACAAAACUGUGAAACACUUCCGAUUUAUGUUUGAGAGGAUACAGCCAAGUAUAUUUGGUAAAAUCAUCUACAAAUAUGACAUAAAAGCGGUAGCCACUAACAGAACAUACUGGAGCUGGCCCCCAAACAUCCGCAUGAACUAAUUCAAGAGACCUAGAAGUAGUACAGAGAGAUUCUUGAAAUGGUAACUUGGCACAUUUGCCUAAAACACAAUUGGAGCAGAAGAAUUGUUGAACAUUAUUAGAACCAGGCAGUAUAGACUUGGAUAACAGUGAUCGAAAAGUCUUGAACGUUGGAUGACCCAAACGUUGAUGCCAUACAUGAGAAGAGGUCCUUAUUGCAGAAUGAGCAUGAACCUUCGGUGCAGGUGAAGAAGAAGCAUAAAAUGGAUAGAGACCAUUGUUGACAGGAGCUCUAAAAAGCAUCCUCCCCGUAGUAAGAUCCUUGACAUGGAAGUCAAAAGGAUUGAGGGUUAAUGAACACCAAUUAUCACGCAAGAACAUAUUGGCAGAAAGAAGAUCAUGCUUCAAGUGGGGAACAUGUAACACAUUCUUUAAUUGAAAAUCUGCAGAAGGUGUUUUAAGUAAAGUAGAACCAGUAUGGAGAAUUGGCAAACCUUGGCCAUCUCCAAUGUAGACUUUAUCUGGACCAGUAUAGGGCUGUGGAUUCUGAAGAUGAUGAAUAUUAUUAGUCAUAUGUGAGCUUGCGCCGGAAUCCAGUAGCCAUGGUGGUGGAGAAGAAGUACUAGAAGAUGCAUACAUCGCAAGUUUGGCUGGCGAACACGGCCUUGAAAAGUUGGAUUCAUGCGGUGGGAACAGUCAAUGGCAAGAUGUCCAGUGUCCUCACAAAUUUGACACGGAAUGACUGCAGAAGUGAAAGAACGGAAGCCACGAUUUCCACCUCGAUUUCCACCACGAUUAGUUGAGGAAUUAUUAAACCGAUUUGAACGAUUACGGUUGUUGUAGGUCAUUUGAGAAGUGUUCCGCUGAAAAUUACCGCGAUUAUUGCCAGGGUAAUAAUUCUGAGAACCAUUAGACUGAGCAUUGUAGGCCUGAUGUGGUGGAGGUGUAGGAAGCAAAGGAGGAGCAUUGGAAGCUGCUGGAAUAGAGGUGAAUGCCUGAUACGGUUCAGAGGAACCCUGAGAUUGCUUGCGACGAGCAAGAGCCAUUUCUUUGCUGAGAAGAAAUCCAUGUAGAUCAUCAACAGUAGUAUCAGCAAGACGAAAUUGAAUUGAAUCCACGAAGGAAUCAUAGUCAUCAGGCAAGCCAUUAAGAAUGAGGUGAAGGAGAUCCGACUCCUCAACUAGGGCACCGGCAGCAGCGAGAGCAUCAGAAACUUCUUUGAUGCGUUGCAAAUAUUCAGAUAUUGUGGAAGUGCCUUUCGACAUCAAUUGCAAAUUCGAUCGCAGCUGAUGAAUGUGAGAACGAGAGACUCCACCGAAUCGUUUCUCAAGAUUUUGCCAAAGUUCACGGGAGGAGUGAACACCAACAGUAAAGGGAAUCAAAUCCUCAGAGAGAGUGGAAUUGAUCCAAAUGAGGAUGUUUUGAUCAUUUUCGUACCAGAUCUCGAAGGCUGGAUUCGGAAUCGAGGACAAAUUUCCAGAAAGAUCAGCAAGAAAUUGAGGCGGUGGCGGUUCAGAUCCAUCAACCAUGCCGGUGAGCUUGUAGCGGCGGAAGAUCGGUUCGAACAGAUAACGCCAAACAAGGUAAUUAUGACGCUUGAGUUUUGUUUGAAUCAUACUCCCAAUGUUUUGGAUCGUGAUGGAGUUGAUUGAAGCUUGAAAUGAGGAGUUAGGGUUCAUCGGAGAAGGAUUGAGAUGUGGAGGCAGCAAAGAAGAAGGAUCCGCGAUUGCCGGAGAAGGAGGAUGCGCAGCCACAGGAGAGGAAGAAUUCGAAGAAUUUGCCGCCAUUGAUGAACAAGAUCGAAGAUCUGCAGACGGAAGCUAUGGUGUUUGGUAGGUAAGAAAAUAAGCAAGAAAAUAGCAGAAAGAGGAUCGAAGUCGGUGGACUUAAGCGAGUGAUACCAUAUUGAGAAAUGAUUUCAUUACAUUAUAAUUAGUUACACUGAGGUAUUUAUAUAAACUAGAUUUACACAGGUAAAGAGAAUAGUUACAGUGGUAACUAUUUGUAACUAUUCUAACAACUAACUAACUUGACUAACACUAAUGUUUUACAAUGGUAACUUGCUCUUCACCAACGACGUCGUUUGUAGCUGUAGCAGCAAUUGCAACCUUGAGCCUCGCAACAUCCUCAAAGUCCUCUGCAGAUACAGCCCGACGCAACUGCAACUUGAGAAGGGAGACAAGGCGCUCUUGUUGUUCGACCUUUAAAAAAUGGCGGCGCCGGCGAUCCCAGUCCCAAUCAGGGUCGUGGGCUUGAAAUGGUGCGGAUUGGGCCUCUGCUUGUGGCUUAAAAUUGAGGUAGGAAUCGAAGUUUUUUAUGGUAGUUUUGAUGAGGUCCUGGAGCGCAGAGUCCCAUCUCCACUGAGUUGAGUCGGAGGAGGAAUAAGGGUUUUUCUGGCAUCGACAGAGGGACGAGUCGGGAAACCUCGAGGAGGAGGUGGUUUGGGAAUGGGAGGAAGGGUAGAAUGGUCUUUUGGCGACGGAGGAAGGGUAUGGUUUGGGGUUGGGGACGUUGAGCUUGUGAGGACUUGGGGUUGGAGCAGAUACAGAAGCCAUUGAUACAGCAGAGAGAGGAAGGAUAUGUGUUUUUCUUGUUUUUUGUGUGAUCAAAAUUUACAGCGUAGAUUGCCCUCAGAAUAAAAGAAGGCAGACACGGAGUAGGUUUCUUUUUUGUUUCUGGGUUUUUGUGAUUUUGCAGAUUCAUGGUGGAGGUGAAAAAAUGAAAGAGAACCGACAUAACUUUUCGUGUCGAUUCCCAAGACGCCAAAUGUUGAUGCACAAAACCGGAAGGGUCUUGGAACAACAUAAAUCCGACCAUGAAUCUGCAAGAAAGUAAAGAACACAAGAUGUAUCGUGGUUCACCCUAAUGUUUGGGCUACGUCCACACUGAUUAUUGUAUUUCUCUGAUAGAGAGAGCUCUGAAAUAUGAGAGUAUUGUGAGGGAGAGAGCAUCUGUAAUGUGAGAGGGGAUGUGAGAAGGUGAGGGGGCUUCAGGCCUAAGAGUUGGCCUCCCUUAAUGAGGAGAGUGAGGGGUCCUUUUAUAGAAUAAGGACUCCUCACUUAUUACAUAUUUGCCCAUUCCUUUAUUACAUAAUUACAUUUGAGUCCCCCAAGUAUGAGGUCUAAAUACAGAAGCCCUAAGUAUGGUACAAACAGGUUGCGAGGUAGAAGGAGAGGAAGGUGAGGUAUACGGACGAGCUGGAGAGGAAGGUGCAGACACUUCAGACUGAGGCAACCACCCUAUCAGCACAGGUCACUCUAUAAUAGGUAUAAAAUCUGUUAUUGAUUGUUUUUCCUUCUUGGUUAAUUGAAUAAAAUUGUCGUUUAUGAUAUUCAAUCAAUGGAAAAUGUGACUUUCACAUGCUCCAAGCCUCUGUCAAUUAUAGAGAUCUCAAUAUGUAUCUAAAAUUUGCUUAAGACACUGGUGGAAAAAUGUAUUUAACAUUUUACAUUCAUAUGCAUAGGCUCGACUUCUAAAAACGUAUCCUGCAAAGCUAUGCUUCACAAGUUUACAAUGCCUGUCGAGUGUAGCACAUACAUUUGUGUUGUAUAAUUGUAUUCGAUAAGGAUAAUACUAUCACUGCACCUUAUUCCUUGACACUUUGGGCCUUCUUGAGUCUUCGUUGGAGUAGUGCAAAUCAGUUUUCCAACUCAAUAUCAUGGUCUUACUUGGUUGGUAAUUUUUGGCAUAAUCCAUUUAAAAAAUUUAGUUGUUUUUGUUGUUGGUUAUGUUUAUUUGUCAAAGUAAUGAUUUUGGUUUCAUGGUCAGGGCUUUAUGAGUAUGAUCAUGAUGCGUCAAAAGCUAUGGAGCUGGAAGUGGCAAUUAGAAUUAAAGUGAUAAUACAUAGUAAGUGUUUGGUUUUUGUUUUUUUUUUCUUCUAAAUUUCUGCAGCAAAGUUUUUGAAUCUCUCAUUUUUCAGACACCAAAUUCCAUUUGGAAGGAGUAGGUUGAUUAAAUACCUUUUAUGCAUCAUUUGUUUUCAUUUGUUUGUUGGAUGUCAGCAUGUGGGACUCUUGAGUUUGAGUACCUUUGUCUGUUUCGAUAUGAUAAUGCGAUGUUAAUUUAGGUUAUAAUGAUGAAUCUUUGUAUUUAAGAUUUUUUUUGGCCUAAUCGGAUAAAUAGUUCCCGUGGUCAUAAGGUAUUCGGAAGGUAACCCCUGUGGUAAAAAAAUUCGGAUUUAAACCCAUGUGGUCUAAGUCUGUUAUGAUUUAUACCCAAAAUUAAAACUUCCGCUAUCCCUCUGUUAGUAAUAGUCUCAUAUGAGGAUAAGAUGGUCAUUUCAUCCCCCAUCCCUUCCAUAAUCACUCUCCAAUUUUAGAUUUGGUUUUUCAUUUUGGAUUUUAAUUUUUUUUCGUUUUGAUUUUAGAUUGAUGCUGCUCCUUUCUACCUUGUAGUUUAGGAACAAAGCCAGAGGAGAUGGAAAGGUUUCAUUAGGGUGGUAACCCAGCAAAACCAGUGGAGAUGGAAAGGUUUCGUUAGGGUGGUAACCUAGCAAAACCAGAGGAGCCCCACCAUAAUUUCACAAUACUAAUCUCUCUCUCCAUUUUAACAACAUAUCAACAAACAGACGACCCCCUCCUGAAAAGGGUCAGAUCGCGGUCGUCGAGCAGAUUGAGGUCUGCAACCCAACGUAUUACUUAAAUUGGGCGAAACGCCUGAUUUUGCUAUUCACUUCUCAUGAACGUUGAACGGAAGGGAUGAAUGACUAUUCAUUCUCAAAGAUUUAUAAUCACCAUUGAUAAACAUGGUUCCAAUCAAUAAGCACAACAAACUACCAAAAAACAUUCAAUCGUUUACGAAAUUCAACUUUCCUGACCCAAUUACAAAAGAGCAAAAAAUAAAAAUAAAAAUAAAAAUAAACAGUGGACUCCCACAUAUGAAAGUAUCAAAACACAAUGUAUCCAAAAUAAAAUAAGAGCACUAUCAGGUUCUCUUCUACCAUAGGUUCUGAUUUUUGUGGACAAAGCUCUUGCCAGGAGGUUUCCAUGGUGCAACAGUUUGUUUAGAAGUGGUUGGUGGAUGAAGAGGCCAUCCACUCGUAGGACUUGAGCUUCCAAAUCUACUUUGAGGCAUCUCCACUCUAGGAAUUGUGGUAAAUGUGGCACCCUUUGCCCCUUCAGUAAUGGGAUGAGGAAAUACUCCAGUCAUAGGAUUUGAACUUCCAACUCUACCUUGAGGCAUCUUCACUCUAGGAAUUGUGGUAAAUGUGGCACCUCUUACCCCUCUAGUAAUGGUUGGUUGACUGUUAUCUUGAACCUGUGAUAGGAACAUAAUGAAAUGAAAUUAUUCACUUAUCAUUGUGAAAAUUACAAACUAUAAGUCAAUUGAAUAUAAAUAAGAACUCACUUUUGUAGCUUCAUAGGGAUCACAAUACAAGGCUUGCUUGGGGUUGUUUCUCCUUGCUAUGAGUUUGGACUUUUUAGGCACUGGACCUCUAUCGAUUGAAUGUACAACAUCUCCAACAUCAACUUGAACAACAGUUGUAUGUUGAUUCAUUACUUGGUCUUCAUUUUCAGUAAUUGUAUGUUGAUUCAUUACUUGGUUUUCCUUUGAGUAGAUGAACCACUACUUUGUCUUUUUUUCUUGCCACCAGUUUCUGGUCUAGAAUAUGCCCAUCUCUUGUCAACAUAUACACCUUGUGGGGCAUCUCUAGGCUCAUUUUUACAAAACUUUUGGUUAUGCCCCCAACCCCAACACUUGUGGCAUUGUAUUGUCUUUCCCUUCCUACUCACAACCUGCUUAGAAUCACUAUAUUAUCAUUUACCUUUUUCUCCAUUUCAGGACCCUUUUUUCUUGCUUUUUUUGGUCUACCAGGUUGUUUUUUCACUAAUGGGGGUAGAAGGGGGUCCAUGUUGCACUUAGGCCACUUGUUACAUCCUUUCAAUGGAUGAAUCAUGGGUUCAUAAGCUUUCAGAUAGGUUGCCUUGUGGUACACCUCAUCCACAUAAUCCUCUGGAACCUGUCAAUUAUAGGCUUCAUCAUCAAUGCUCUUCAACUUCUCCAUUUCAGCUUCAAAGUCAACAUGGUUGGGGGCUCUUGCAACACUCCAUAACAAAUCUUUUAAUGUCUUACCCUUAUGAAUGGCUUUAAAUUUCCAUACAAAUGCCUCACACACCAUCUGUGGUCAGCUUCUGGCACAACCGUAGUAAAAGUGGUAUCCAAACCCUGCAGCAUUUACUAGAUACAUCAAUACAAAUUAAAUAAGCCACUAUGUUUGCAUAACUUAAAAGGAAACAUGGAGUUUACCUUUUGUUGAUCCGAUAUAAAUGUCUACCCAUGCUCAUGAACUGGUCCAAGAUCAUCAAUAAGAAUCUGUAGAAACCAGCACCAUGUAUCUUUAUUUUAAAUUUCAACAGCAGCAUAGGCUAUUGGAUACAUAUUGUCAUUGGCAUCAAUGCCAACAGCUGCUAGUAGUUGACUUGUAACCAUGUUGUAUAUUUCUUAAAUAAAUUGAAAUCAUGCUUUCAAUUUUUAAUCAUUCAAGGUUGAGAAAAAGAUCAUUCAAGGUUGAGAAAAAGAAAAAAUGUAUUUACCUUUAAAAGCUCCUUUAAGAUGGCAGCCAUCAACUCCAAUCACUGGCAUGCACCCAGCUUUAAAUCCCAUUUUGCAAGCAUCAAGGCAAACAUAAAGUCUCUGAAAGAAUGGAGGAUUUGCAUGCACUUUCAUAGUACUUCCAACAUUGGUUUGUAUAACUUCUUCACAAUAUUCCCAAACCUUACCAUAUUGCUCUACAAUUGACCCCCUUAUCAUUUCUUAGGCUUCGUGUCUUGCCCUGAAACACUGAUCUAAGGAUACCUCCAAUUCCAUCUCCCUCUUAAUUAUGGUUUGCAAAGUUUUUGCAUCUGUUCGUGGAUCAUCUCUAAACCUAUCAAUGUAUUUUUCAGCCAUGAGUUUGAAAGUGAAAUGUUUAUUUCUCCAUACUCGACUACAUGUAUGCUCGUCAACAAGUACGUUAAUUAAUCAAAUGGAAAUUUCAAAGGUAACUGACAAGCGAUGGAAUGUGGAAUCCAAAAAAGCAAUAAGAUUUGUUCCAUUGCUAUUAAACAACUAAUUGGCUUUUUGCCUUCUAGUUUGCUUUGUUUGUUUCCUUUUUGUUGCCUUCUUCCCUUUCAAAACCCUACACAUAAACCCCUAUAUAUACCACUAAGAAGGAGACCGACUGGAAAAAAGAAAAUAGAACCCAUGAUUCAUCCAACGAAAAACCAUCAACUCCAGCUUUUGAAGCAUAAUAAAGAGGAGACCUUCAAGCAUAAAACCGCACAUGGUGGUUACGAUUACGAACAAACGAUUUUCAAAAUAGAACAAUCACCUAAAGUUAUCAAGAUUGUAGCAAUACCUGGGUAUGUUGGUGCGAUGUCUCCCUCAAUUCUUCGCUUAGCCAUUGAUGGGGCUUUUCAAACAUGAACCAAACCUCUGGGUAUGUUCGUGCUUUAGAAUUGGGAACAAGUUUGAUCUUGAGGGGGUUUUGUAGCUAAGCUAUUGGCAUGCUACUAAUUAUGAAAUGACCAUCUUAUCCUCAUAUGAGACUAUUACUAACGGAGGGAUAACAGAAGUUUUAAUUUUGGGUAUAAAUCCUAACAGACUUAGACCACAAGGGUUUAAAUCCGAAUUUUUUUAUCACAGGGGUUACCUUCCGAAUACUUUAUGACUACGGGAACUAUUUAUCCGAUUAGGCCAUUUUUUUUUAUGACAGAUAUGUGAGGCAUUAGCCAUGAUUUCAUCUGGGCAAUUAGGAAAUAUCAAAAGUGUCCUCUCUGCUAAGGAUAACACACUCCUGUGGGAACUAGACAUCUUAAUAUUUUGCAAUCUGAUUACAAAUUAUACACCAAAAGUACAUACCGCUAUCAAUUAUAUGAUAUUUUUAGAUUGUUAGUGGCUUUGUUCUAUUUUAUAUAUUGACAUACAACAUUAAAAUCCCGAUCAUGGUCCACUAAAAAGUAUUAAACGUGUUAUAAGUAGAAACGCAUUCUAACAUGUAUUUCUUUUUACAGUGAAAUUAUCUACAGAAACUCAAAGGUGGUUACAGUGGAGACCAAUAUUCAGAACACAGUGGACAAGUCUUUACAAGCUAAUCCUACCGGUUAUAGAAACGACAUCCUUUGUCUCUCUGCUUACUUGCUUUUUAACAUGGAGAAAAAUUAUUCUCUACUAACACCCGGUGGAAAGCCACUGUUCAUUAACAGUGUCCACCCGAUUUUGCCCCUCAUUCUCUUCAUGGUUUUUUAGUUUUAGUGGGGUUGUAUGGUGAAUUGGCCGUUUUGCCCCUCUCUCUUUUUCUUCCGUGCGUGCCCUCAGUUCCACACACUUCCAAAUCCCUAAGGGUGCGUUUGUUGCGCCGGACUGUCUCGGACUGGACUAGCUGCCGGGACUAAGCUGGACUGGUUUAGACUGGACUAAGCUGGACUAACUUAGUGAAGCGUUUGGUGCAGUCUCGGACUAAGAAGCAGGAUAAGAAAAACAGUACUGUUCACCAGAUUUGUGUUUGCUUAGACUAGGACUACAAAUUUUUGUCAUUGUGUAAUAGAGUAAUGCUACAAAUCUCAUGAUAUGGGUUAAUUGGAGCAUAUUUUUGCCAUGUAUAUUAUGAAUCUUAAAAAAAAUUGACAAUUGUUUUGUUUCUAUUACCUGCUAAUAGAAUUGGGUUUAAUUUGCAAAUGUAGCUUGAUUUAAACUCUAUCACCCAACAGAAGAAAAAUAAUAGUGGCCAAUACAUGCAACUUCAACAAAUACAAGUACAUAAGAUCUCCAUAAUUUAGAAAAUCCUAGUUAACAUUAGUUAACAUUAGCCAAAAUAGAUCUCCAUAAUUUACAAAAUGGCUAGUAAACAUAAGCCAAAAAUACUAGUGCAAAGCUAAGUUAUAAGUCAUAACAUAAGACUGUAUGAUUAAUAAAAUACAUCCAUGUUAACGUUAAUAAAAUACAUCCAUGUUAACAUUAGCCAAAAUCCUCAUCCGCUUGCGUUGUCUCUUAAAAGUCUUUGGACGAACACUUUCUUGAGUUCCGGUUUGAUUGCCCUGAACACUCCCACAUUUUUUGGUUUAUCCAAAAUAAGAGACAAUGCAUCAAUUUGAUCCAUAGGAGAGAGACCCAUUGCUUCAAGUUCAUUAGCUAUGUCAGUAUGAUCUGCAGUACCUUGAACUAAAGCUUCAGUUACCAUUUGCAUCCUCUUCCCACUUUCAACAUAAAAAAUCUUUCAGUCCACUGAUAAUUGCCUCGGUUCCAUCACUUGAACUUCCCACAGCUCUUUUCCUCUUUCUUUGGCUAUUUUCAGAUGGGGUGCUUUGUUGGCUUUGUUGGUUCAUUGAAGAAACAAAAUUAUCACCUCCAAUAUCACUUUCACCAACAUGAUCAUGACUUUGUUCCUCCACCAUUUGAGCAGGGGUUUCGGCUACAUUACCCGUAGCCCGAUCUUUUCCAAAUAUAUAUGCAAAUCUAUCAAACAGUGGAAAAGGUUUGCUUCUCCAUCCAUCGGCUUCUUUAUUUCUCUAAGAUUAUAUCAACAUAGCAAAACUAAAAUUUAGCAUGCGUAACAAAUAUAGGAGCAAGAAUAUAUAACUAAUGCAUAAAUAAAAUAGGAUAUGAACCUGCACAUAAGUUUGCCAUGCGUCAUCACUGUCAACUUCAACGCACUUUUUGACAUCAUUCCAUGCAAAUCCACUUGUGUUUAUCAUGUCAACGACCAUACUAUAUGUUUUUUUUCCAUUUCUUCAACUUGGACUCAAUAUGUGGAUUUGCCUUUAUAUUUGAAUGAGGACAUAAAACAUUGACAGCUUUUGCUAUUUCAACCAAAGUACCUUGUUUGAAAGCACCGGUGUCACACCGUUGCUUCCGAGCAACAAAAUCCUCAAGAACUCCUAGUAAUACUUCUUCCUCAAAUGCUUCCCAUUUACGCCUUCUUCCUUUUGGCUCUUGAGUAGCAUUCAAAAUAUUUUCGUUAUCCAUACCUAAACAAAAAAUAUUUUAAUGAAGGAAAAUACCAUACAAAUAAUCAAUUUGCAUAAUAUCCAAUCAACUUGCAUAAUAUCCAAUCAACUUGCAUAAUAUCCAAUUAAUUUGCAUACCAUCCAAUCAUUGUGCUAAUAUCUAACAAAUGCAUGAUAAAAAGGAAUACUAAAAUAAAAUGUUAUCAUUAAAACAUAUAGCUAGUUCGGUUGCUGGUUCCUAAUUGCUCUCCACUCAUUAUACAUUUCCUCAGCCAUAUCAUUCCUCAUUGCAGUCCACUGGUCCGAUGAUUGAACACUACCAACAUAUUCACCUUCUUCUGUAUUUUGUCCAUCUUCUAUUAUUGGCAAAUUCUCCAUUGGAUCUACUAACAUCUCUUCCCUAAUAAGAUUGUGUAGUAGGCAACAAGCGGUAAUUAUUCGACCUUGUGUCCUUAUCGGAUAGAAAGAUGGACUCCUUAGUAUCGACCACCUUCCUUUUAGCAAGCCAAAACAGCGUUCAAUUACAUUCCUUGCCUUAGAAUGCUUCAUGUUAAAAUAUUCUUCCUUAUUAGAAGGUGUUCGUCCCUCCCAUUCAGAUAAAUGAUAAGGUAUUCCUCUAUAGGGUGCAAGGAAUCCUUCACCAUUUGUAUAACCACCAUCUACAAGGUAAUAACAACCUAAUGAAAAAAAAAAACAGACCUUAUUAGUGUUUUGUAGUUGACAAACAGAACUAAACCUAACUUAGAAAGUUGAGACUAAGUAAUAAUCUUACCCGCUGGUACCUUAAAACCAUUAGGCCUACUAAUUGCAUCAUGUAGCACUCUAGAGUCUGAUGCGGAACCCUCCCACCCCGGAAACACAUAUAUGAACUGCAUAUCUCCUGAACACACACCUAAACACAUUAGUUGCGACUCGACCCUUUCUUGUUCGGUAUCUUGGUUUGUCAAUUUCAGGUACAUGCACAUCAAUGUGUGUUCCAUCCAAUGCUCCCAAGCAAUUCUUAAAAAUAAAAAAUAAAAAACUUUUUGUUAAUUUAUACAAAGGGAAUGAAGAGUUAAAGCUUAAGGAAAAUGAAAAAUAUUUCUCAUCAUACCUUAAAACAUCGCCACCUAGCAUCUGUAGAAUCAAUAGGCACAGGCUGUGGGACUUUUAGUAGGAAACCUUGUAAUCGCAAAAUUCCUUGCAAUACGCUAUUGAAAUACCUACUUAUAGUCUCUCCCGACCUAUAAAAUCUACCGCCAACACUACGAUUCUUAGUAUGAUGUGCUAAUAUUUGUAAAGUCAUACACACCUGUUCCUCUACAGACACCAAACCAUCAGUUUUUACCCUCCCAUCUUGACGAAGUAAGUCGCAUAAUAUGCCAAAAGUCCUUCUAUCCAUUCUCAAUUCGUUAACACAUUCAGUAUCAGUAUUCCCUAUUAUACCAUUCAGAUAACACAAACUAAUCUCUCGUCUAAUAAGUGAACGGUUAGUCAAUGUGGGUCGUUCAACAUGUCUCUGUUUGCCACGUAGCAUCAUCACCACAAGAAUCGUACAAAUACAAAUUGUUUCCAAAUAAGACAUCUCUAACAAUAAGAUCAAUAAAAGCUUCCUUCGAUCCAUAUCUAUCCAAACAAAAAAAAAACAAAAAAAAACAAAUUAACUAAAUCAUUAACCCGAGGCAACAAAUAUACAUAUGGCGUUGAAAAAAAAAAAGUUUUCAUUAACCCGAGGCAUCAUAUUCAAAAUGUUCUACUCUUAUACAUCUAUAAACAUGUGUCUAAGAACACUAGUAUGAGGAUUGCUAUCAUUGCUAGGCAUUGCAUGUGAAAAGGGAAAUUAAAGGACACCUGUAAUGCAGUAGCCUUAGCCUUAGCCUUCCGUUUAUGCUCCUCUUCUCUGCAACCAACAACCACAACAAAUUGCAAUUCAGCAUCAACCCCACACAAUACAAAAACAUUCACAUUGUAUACACAGUACAUACAUACACACUGCAAACACAGUACAUACAUACACACACUACAUACACUGCAUACACUACACACACUACAUACACUACACACAUACACUGCAUACACUACACACACACCCUGCAAGUACACACACAGUGCAUACAUACAUACACACACUGCAUACACCCUGCAUACACCCCUGCAUACAUACACACUGCAUACACAGUACACAAACACACACACACACUACAUACACUACACUUACACACACUGCAUACACUACACACACACCCUGCAUACACACUGCACACACACACACUCACACUCACACACUGCACACACACACACACUGCAUACAUACUGCAUACACACACACACACUGCAUAUAUACACACACACUGCAUACAUACACACACACUCACACUUACACACACUGCAUACAUACUGCAUACAUACACAUACACUGCAUACAUACUACAUACAUACACACACACACUGCAUACAUACACACACACUCACACUUACACACACACUGCACACACACACACUCACACUCACACACUGCAUAUAUACACACACACACACUGCGCGCACACACACACACUGCACACACUGCAUAGACACACACACACUGCACACACUGCAUAGACACACACACACUGCAUACACACUCACACACAAACUGCACACACACACACAAACUGCAUACUCACUCACACACACACUAUACACACACACACACACUGCAUACACACACACACACUCACACUCACACACUAAACACAGUCACACACACACACACACUGGACACACACAUACACACACUGCAUAUAUACACACACACACAAACUGCACACACACACUGCAUACACACACAAAUUGCACACACACACACAAACUGCACACACACACACUGCAUACACACACAAACUGCACACACACACAAACUGCACACACACACACACUACAUACACACACACACACUGCACACACACUCACACUCACACACACUCACACUCACACACUGAACACAGUGACACACACACACACACGGGGACAGAGUGCAACAAACUCUUACCCUCACACACACACUCUGUUUUUAUACUCACACACACACACUGCAUACAUACUUGCAUACACACACACUGCACACACACACACACACACUGCACACACACACACACGCACACACACACACACACACUGCAUACAUACUGCAUACAUACACACACACACACACUGCGCACACACACACUGCACACACUGCACACACACACACACACACACUGCACACACUGCAUACACACUCACACACACACACUGCACACACACACAACUGCAUACACACUCACACACACACUGCACACACACACACACACACACUGCACACACACACACACACUGCACACACACACUCACACACACACACACACUCACACUCACACUUACACUCACACUCACACACAAACACACACACACACACACUGCACACUUACACUCACACUCACACUCACACUCACUCACACUUACACACACACUGCAUACAUACUGCAUACAUACACACAUGCACAUACUACAUACACACACACACACACACAAACUGCACACACACACUGCAUACACACUGAACACACACACACACACACACACACUGGACACACACAUACACACACACACAAACUGCACACACACACACUGCACACACACAAUUGCACACACACACAACUGCACACACACACACUGCAUACACACACAAACUGCACACACACACAAACUGCACACACACACACACUACAUACACACACACACUGCACACACACUCACACUCACACACACUCACACUCACACACUGAACACAGUGACACACACACACACACACGGGGACAGAGUGCAACAAACUCUUACCCUCACACACACACUCUGUUUUAUACUCACACACACACACACUGCAUACAUACUUGCAUACACACACACUGCACACACACACACACACACUGCACACACACACACACACACACACACACACACUGCAUACAUACUGCAUACAUACACACACACACACACACUGCACACACUGCAUAGACACACACACACUGCACACACUGCAUACACACUCACACACACACUGCACACACACACACAAACUGCAUACACACUCACACACACACUGCACACACACACACACACACUGCACACACACACACACGCACACACUCGCACACUCACACACACUCACACUCACACUUACACUCACACUCACACACAAACACACACACACACUGCACACUUACACUCACACUCACACUCACACUCACACUCACACUUACACACACACACACAUACAUACUGCAUACAUACACACACACACUGUAUACAUACUACAUACAUACACACACACACACAAACUGCACACACACACUGCAUACACACUGAACACAGUCACACACACACACACACACUGGACACACACAUACACACACACACAAACUGCACACACACACUGCAUACACACACAAAUUGCACACACACACAAACUGCACACACACACACUGCAUACACACACAAACUGCACACACACACAAACUGCACACACACACACUACAUACACACACACUGCACACACACACUCACACUCACACACACUCACACUCACACACUGCAUACACACUCACACACACACACUGCACACACACACACACACAAACUGCAUACACACACACACACUGCACACACACACACACACUGCAUACAUACACACACUGCACACACACUCACACUCACACACACUCACACUCACACUUACACUCACACUCACACACAAACGCACACACACACAAACACACACACACACACACAAACACUUACACUCACACUCACACUCACACACACAUUUUACACACACAACUCACACACACAUUUUACACACACAACUCACACACAUACACACAAAAACAGAUUACACACACACACACGGACAUAUUACACACACAUUUUACACACACAACUCACACACACACUGCAAAUAACACAGGUUACACACACACACACGGAUAGAUUACACACACAUUUUACACACACAACUCACACACACACAGAUAUUACACAGGUUACACAGAUUACAUACACACACACACACACACAAACACACAGACAAAUUUUUUUUCAGUACACACAAACACACACACAGAGAGCACACACCUGAGACUAAUCUCAAUUUCAUCUUAUGAAAACCCCAAAUUCUAAUCUCAAUUUCACCUAAAUAACAAAACCCUAAUUUGUUCAAUUGCAAAUCCACUUGUAUAUUAUGAAUUUCUCAAACCCAAAACAACAAAAUCAAAUAAACCUCAGUUAAUAUCACAAACAAAUCCACACAAAUCGACGAAAAAAAAUCCAAGAUUCGAAGCUUACCGACUAGAGGCAGAUGACAGCGACCAGAUGCAAGGACGACGAUGAGCGUGAGGACGAUGUGGGAGCACGGCAAGGACGACGACGAGGGCAGACGCAGAGAUGAGGACGAUGUGGGAUGUGAGAUGUGGGAAGACGCGGUUUCUCUGGCUUACGAGUCCGCCCGAAUUUGGGAUCCCUCGUGAAGAACGGCUAAGCCCCCCCUUAGUCCUAGCGAAUCCCACCUAAGCUCAUUAAAGCUAAUCCCGGUACCCACCAAACACUGGACUAUAGUCUAGUCCAGUCCAGUCCCAGCGAAUCCUGUCAAACAAACGUGCCCUAAAUUCGCAGGCUUUCCCCCUUCUUUCUCCAACACGGUUUCUGCUAUUGCCCCUGCGUCUUCUACGACUCCGAUCUGCAUAUUUGCUUUGCGUGGUAAGAAUUUUGUUCUCGAUUUGAAACUGGUUGUUUACCAAGAAAUCUCUCUCUUGCGUUUUUCUCCUGAGGUUUAUGCUCAGAUCACUUUGCAUCCAGAAGCAGAUGUGAGAAACAUGUUUUCUUUUUUGUCUUAUUUAAUGUUUUGUUCCAACUUCCUCUGUUUGGUGGCUUAGAAGGUGGCUUUUCAAAUCAGUUGGGAUAUUAUCUAAAAUACGAAUAGGGGAAAUUUCACAUUUUCUCAACCUUUUGCACAAUUUUCGUAGUUAAUGAGGCUUAGAUUUUGAUAUAAUAUUUGUUGAAAACGAUAACCGAAUGAAAAAGAUGUGAAGAUUUGAAGUUAGGGAAGCCAAAUGGAGAAGAGAAAAAAAAUCAAGAACAGCAGCAAAGCUGCUGGUUCAGUUUUAUUUGUGAUGUAUCUCGAAUGUUGUUUGUUGUUCCUUUAUUUUUUUGGUAUUCUUUUAAAAGCUACAGUGUUUGUUAACAACUGUUUCCAUUUCUACAUUCGCUAAACCCUCUUUGGAAAUUAUUUAAAAUGAUUUCUGGUACAUGCAAUACAUGUUACAAUUGAAUUAUUGUGACGAGUGGUCUGCAGAAAAAGGGAAAAGAAAGGAUGAAACUGGAGGAUUGUGGGGACUGCACUGAGCAAGUGCUUGGACAAAUUUUUUUAAUUGAAUUGUAAAUUUUGUUUCAGUAUUAGACUUUGUAUGAAUAUGAAUUUGAAUAAUCAUUUUUCAGUUUUUAAAUAAAUGAGUCUCAGUAAUUUGUGUUAGUUUUUAUCCGAACAACAUGUGCACUUACCUGUCUGUGUUGGUUAACUAAAUUGAUGCAUAUCUUGCCAGUUAGCAUUAUGUAUUUGAAGGAGUUUUUAAAAAUAAAUCCCUUAUUAAACACGUUUAAACAAUUGGUCUUUGGUUCUAUAUGUUUGAUAAAAAUUGGGUGGAAGGAGUAACCAGUUUGAUUGUAGUGUGGUAUCACCAUUUUGUUAGAUGCUUAAAUGAAUUGGGUUAGAACUUACCAUGUGGUUUUUUAUCAAUAGCAGCAUUUGGACACAAAGAUGUGUGAAAUGCUAAGCUAUUUACAUGGAAAAAAAAAACAUUGGGAAAUCAUGCUGUGUUAAGCUAUUUACACAACAAAAAAUAUUGGAGAACAUUGUUUAUUUAGAUUGAUGAGGGUGGUAGAAGUUGUUCAGCAGAAUAGCAAAAGCUUUCUUCCAGUUGUAUCUGUUGUCAAGAAGGCAGCCUAAGCAACAAAAAAAGAAAAGAAAAUAUUGUAACACGUAGUAAGCCGUUGAGAAGAAUUAAGUACCAGAGUUUACUAUUUUUUUUUUAAUUUUAUUCAUUUGAGGUUUGAUUUUAGGAUUAUGUGUUUUCUGUUUAGUGUGAUUCAAUACGGGUUUUUUGGUCAAAUGGGACAUGGAAAUUCAAAUGCUGUUUGUUAUUUCUUUAUUUUUUUAGUAUUCUUUUGAAGAUCGGCACGUGUGCUGUUACGCUUGUCUCCACAUGCUUCCUUGUAUCAUUCUCACUUGCCCUAUCUGUUCCAAGGAAGCAUGUGGAGACAAGCGUAACAGGACACGUGCCGAUACAUCCACUACUCUGUCAAAAGCAAAAGUAUCCCAUAUCAGCAGGGUCGAACGUACUCUAGAUUUGAUGGACUUGUUUUGACCCUCAAAUUCUUCAGUUGGCCUUAUACUCUGGAGGAAACCAGAAAACCCUCCAGCCCAGUUCAAGAAUAAGUCUGUGGAAAGUUACUUCUUCAAAAACAAAAGUAUCCCAUAUCAUCUCUUCUCAUUUUUCUUCUCUUUAUCCUUCAUGCUGCCUGCAAGAUAGGGAGAAUGUGAACAAUCAGCCGGAGCUCUGAUUGCUUACCUUGUCUGUCACCUCUUUCAGCAAAUCCCCUAGCUCAGCGACUUGAGGGACUCCUACUACAUGGUUUGUAUCGCGCUUGACCAAGCCUGAAACUACAAGUAAGCUUCAAGUGACAUUGAUACAUUACCUUGUGCAUCUCCACCAGUUACAGAUACCACCCCUGGAUGGAGGAAGAGUACUUCCAGAGAAGAUGCCACAUCUACCUAUGAGACAGAUAAGGAAAGUCAAGACGAUACCACACUCCGGUACUUAGAAGUUUCGUGGUUACGAGAUCAUUCUCCCACAAUAUUUCCUAAUGUCAUUUGUACUAAAUCAUUCACUUGUACUCACUAAAGGAGAACUUGAACUUAUGUACUUGUGUAAACCCUUUACAAUUAAUGAGAACUCCUCUAUUCCGUGGACGUAGCCAAUCUGGGUGAACCACGUACAUCUUGUGUUUGCUUUCCUAUCUCUAUCCAUUUAUAUACUUAUCCACACUAAUGACCGGAGCAAUCUAGCGAAGAUCACAAAAAGUGACCGUUUUCGCUACCUAGGAUCUAUCUUGCAAGAGAACGGAGAAUUAGAUGGGGAUCUCAACCAUAGAAUACAAGCUGGAUGGAUGAAGUGUAAGAGUGCAUCCAGCGUGUUGUGUGACCGUCGUAGGCCACUGAAGCUCAAGGGAAAAUUUUAUAGGACGGCAAUAAGGCCAGCGAUGUUGUAUGGUACAGAAUGUUGGGCGGUGAAGCAUCAACACGUACACAAAAUGGGUGUAGCGGAGAUGAGGAUGCUUCGUGGGAUGUAUGGGCACACGAGAAAGGAUAAGAUUGGGAAUGCGGAUAUCCGAGGUAAAGUAGGAGUAGCCAAAAUUGAAGGAAAUAUGAGAGAAAAUCGGUUCCGGUGGUUUGGACAUGUGCAAAGAAGGCCUACUGACGCUCCGGUUCGAAAAUGUGACUACGGGACAGAGGUCCAGGGCCGAAGGGAUAGAGGAAGACCUAGGAAAACUUUGGAAGAGACCCUAAGAAAAGACUUGAGUACUUGGAUCUAACGGAGGACAUGACACAAAACCGAGCGCAAUGGCGUUCUAGGAUUCAUAUAGCCAACCCCAUUUAGUGGGAAAAGGCUUUGUUGUUGUUGUUGUUGUUGUUGUUUGUUUUGAAGAUCUGCAUAUCGAUUGUUGCUUCUGUUUCUUAUAUAAACACAAUGUGUUUUGCGAUCACAACUUUUGUGAUCAGAAGUGUUUAAGUUCAUCCAAUUAAUUGUACAAUGGCUUUGAUGUCAGCUAAAACUGAAUGUAAAUGAAAACCAAGUUGCUGAUCUUACCAGCCCAGUUCACCCAUCUCUUUGCUUAUUUAAAUUAUUUGAAGAUGCCUAUGUUAAUUGGUGAUUUUGAAGUGAUUACCUUUCUUUAUACAAAUUCUCUUCACAAAGAAAUCUGGUUUGGCAGAUAAUAGAUAAAGCUUUUAAUGCAUUCAUUUAAUGUUAUUGCAGAUCCGCUACAUUCUUCAAGAAGUUCGGUUUACAGAACCGGAGCCGUUUAAGCAAAGGUGUCCCAGUUUAUAGCUGAGGUAUUUUCAUGUAUUUUAAUUCGAACGGUAACAUUGUGUGUUCAAAAGGAUCCCCUCUAAUUUUCAGAGAUUAAUAUUAUUCAGUAUGCUCAUCCAAUCACUACUCCAUUGGGCAAUACGCAAAACAAAAUAUGAAAAGCAAACUAACCAAACAGGCAAAAAAUAAAAAUAAAAUUCUAAAAUGUUCUCAAAUUUGAUUUUAAAGCCAGCAUCUCCCCCAUAUGCAGCUAACCCAUUUAGGAAAAACAAUAAAGAAGGCCAUUGGGACUCAAAAGUUGUUUUCAGUUUAGCAUGAUUAUCACUUAUAUAAACAUAUAAGGAAAGCAAAUCUCAAAGAGUCAGGUUUUUGCUCCAAUGUUAACAAUGUUUGUUUCAUUUGUAGUUUUUUGUAGUCUUUAUAAGCAUUUUUUAGUUUUGAUGUAAAAAUAAUAUUUUUUACUCUCUCCUCUCCCUCUCUUUCUCUUUCGUGUUUUUGUGGACUUUGGGUUUUAUUUCUUUUUUGGGUUUUGAGUGUUUUGAAUUUUUCUUCUGAUAAAGUAUUGGUUUUGCAGUAAAAGCGGCAAUCCUCUUCUCCCAGCUUCACUUCCACGUUCUCACUAUUCAUACCCAUCUUGCCCAUUUCUUUCUAAAUUUCUCCUUGCACCCACUGGAAAAAAACAGAGUUUUGUUUUUGUUUCCUCAAAAUUUAGAUUAGACAGCAAUAUUCUGAAUGCUUUGCUUAUCUAUGUUCUUUGCAGGAAGCUCAAAGGAUGAUAAACAAGAAAAGGAAAUCACAGAUUGCAAAUUAGAUGGACAAAAAAGGCAAUAGAAAUUCAUAGGGUCCCAAAUCCGUGACAUAAAAGGUAUGAAAUUGUUAAUUGAUAAUUGAACAUAAAUGUAGAACUGAUUGCUACAAAUAAGUAUGGUUACUUUUGUAUCACAUUCUUAAUUAAGAUGGUUAUGCAGUCCUUUUGUAAUUUUGUGUAUCUAUUAGCUCUGUAAUGACUUACAAGUUACACACACCUCAAAAUUUUCAUUUUCUUUCAAACAAUCUUGAUCCGCAAUAUGUGCAGGAUUGCAAUGAAAUAAUUGUGAGCAACAUGUAUAAUGGGAAGGAUUUACAAAGGUUUCAACUAUUGAACUUGCUUAUGCUCUUAUUUGAGCGACUGUAAAAAAGAUUUAGUAGGACAAACUGGAAUUGGCUUAAAUCAAUUUAUCAUUGAUAAUUUGAUUCUGUUAUUCGUAGACCAUUCUUCCGAAUCUCUGAGUUCGAAGCAGAUCAAUUUUUUCAUUUUUAUGUUUAAUUUUAGGAAGAAAUGAAAAUGAUUUUUGCCUUUUUUGAGUGUUUUGUUAGUACUAGCUUGCUGCAUAUGCUAUUCUCUGGGUGUAAAUAUAAUUAUCUAAGUAAGUGCACUUAUUUUUGAACUCUUUAACUGAUUUGUGGUUGCAAUAGGAUUUUUUUUUUCGGAUUUUUCCCAGUCUUUUUAACAGUAUUAGGUUUCUGUCCUGCAUGUCACCAGGCUUAUUCUUUUUUCAAUUCACAUUAAUCACGACUUUAUAGUUGAUUCGAUUUCAUUUUGGCUGCUGUAAAUGGGUUUUCAUCAGCAUGUCUGACAUGAUAAAAUCAUGUCUUUUGGAUUAAUUCAAACAAUGUAAACAUUUCAUUUGUAUUCUUGAUCUUUGUUAAUAUUAUAGUUACAUGUCUAACGAAAAGGAUUUCUUUUAAUGAAUAAUAUGUGUCAUUACCUAAAAUGACUUACCUUUGCUCAGAGUUUGCUAUUUAACAUGUUAUGUUCCUAGGUAACAUGCAUCUGAAACUCUUUGUGCAGAAGAAGAUAUCUCAUUACAACCACCUCAAUCUAACAAAACUUUUAUCACUCUUAAAACAUUAUCUGAACUCUCAUCUCAAGUAAGUCCUCAGUUUCCAUAUACUUUUUAUUUCUUAACAUCUACGUGGUUUUCAUAGUUUUUAACCAUUAAAUCACGUAACUUUAUAUUUACAAUUAUAUUCUUUCUAAUUGUUUGUAUAGAUUUCUUUUUUGCUCCCUACAAGAUAAUGUCAUGGCGUGGUUUAGUGGUGUUGAAUAUAAUUGGAGAAACUGAUUCUUUAAUCUACUCAUGCUGUAGGAUUUCAAAGUUGAAGCCCACUUACUUUCAAUCUUUUCGAACAAAUUCACUUUGCAAAGUAACAAAACAAUGAUAUUCCUACAACAACAACAACAACAACAACAACAAAGCUUUUUCCCACUAAGUGGGGUCGGCUAUAUGAAUCCUAGAACGCCAUUGCGCUCGGUUUUGUGUCAUGUCCUCCGUUAGAUCCAAGUAAUCAAGUCUUUUCUUAGGGUCUCUUCCAAAGUUUUCCUAGGUCUUCCUCUACCCCUUCGGCCCUGAACCUCUGUCCCGUAGUCACAUUUUCGAACCGGAGCGUCAGUAGGCCUUCUUUGCACAUGUCCAAACCACCGGAACCGAUUUUCUCUCAUAUUUCCUUCAAUUUUGGCUACUCCUACUUUACCUCGGAUAUCCUCAUUCCCAAUCUUAUCUUUUCUCGUGUGCCCAUACAUCCCACGAAGCAUCCUCAUCUCCGCUACACCCAUUUUGUGUACGUGUUGAUGCUUCACCGCCCAACAUUCUGUGCCAUACAACAUCGCUGGCCUUAUUGCCGUCCUAUAAAAUUUUCCCUUGAGCUUCAGUGGCCUACGACGGUCACACAACACGCCGGAUGCACUCUUACACUUCAUCCAUUCAGCUUGUAUUCUAUGGUUGAGAUCUCCAUCUAAUUCUCCGUUCUCUUGCAAGAUAGAUCCUAGGUAGCGAAAACGGUUACUUUUUGUGAUCUUUGCUAGAUUGCUCCGGUCAUUAGUGUGGAUAAGUAUAUAAAUGGAUAGAGAUAGGAAAGCAAACACAAGAUGUACGUGGUUCACCCAGAUUGGCUACGUCCACGGAAUAGAUGAGUUCUCAUUAAUUGUGAAGGGUUUACACAAGUACAUAGGUUCAAGCUCUCCUUUAGUGAGUACAAGUGAAUGAUUUAGUACAAAUGACAUUAGGAAAUAUUGUGGGAGAGUGAUCUCGUAACCACUAAACUUCUAAGUACCGGAGUGUGGUAUCGUCUUGACUUGCCUUAUCUGUCUCAUAGGUAGAUGUGGCAUCUUCUCUGGAAGUACUCUUUCUCCAUCCAGGGGUGGUAUCUGUAACUGGUGGAGAUGCACAAGGUAAUGUAUCAAUUUCACUUGAAGCUUACUUGUAGUUUCAGACUUGGUCAAGCGCGAUACAAACCAUGUAGUAGGAGUCCCCCAAGUCGCCGGGCUAGGGGAUCUGCUGAAAGAGGUGACAGACAAGGUAAGCAAUCAGAGUUCCGGCUGAUUGUUCACAUUCUCCCUAUCUUGCAGGCAGCAUGAAGGAUAAAGAGAAGAAAAAUGAGAAGAGAUGAUAUGGGAUACUUUUGCUUUUGAAGAAGUAACUUUCCACAUGCUUAUUCUUGAAUCGGGCUGGAGGGUUUUCUGGUUUCCUCCAGAGUAUAAGGCCGACUGAAGAAUUUGAGGGUCAAAACAAGUCCAUCAAAUCUAGAGUACGUUCGACCCUGCUGAUAUGGGAUACUUUUGCUUUUGACAGAGUAGUGGAUGUAUCGGCACGUGUGCUGUUACGCUUGUCUCCACAUGCUUCCUUGUAUCCUUCUCACUUGCCCUAUCUGUUCCUCAGGCAGAUGCGGUAUCUUCCCUGGAAGCAUAAGAUGUUGAAGAUGAGUACUCGAGAGCAAUGCCAGGUAAGUAAUCAGGUAAGGGGUUCCAGGCAGUCAGUUCCUGGCUGGAAGCUUGAUUCCAAGUGCUGACUGAUUGCUCUCUUUCUUCUUGUCUUGCAGGUAAGAACAAGGCCAAAGGAAAAGACAAGGAAAAAGUAUGAUAUGGGAUACUCUUGCUUUUAACCCUGAUGAUAUGAGAUAUUCUUGCUCUAGUAUAGCUUGUUUAUAGAGGUAUUAUCGGGAGGGAAAGAAAGCUGAAUAUUUCGAAAGGCUUCGUUGGGAGUGCCCUCUCAGAUAAGAGAAAGGGUUGAACAUUUUUGCAGGUCUGCCUGUCCGUUAGGGAUGGAGGUCGACAUAUAUAGGAGUCUCUCUAACAUCAAGUAAUAAUGCUAUUCCUUUACCCUGCUUGGUCAUAGCACGGUAGUGGGAGCUGCCAGCUUCACAUGUUUUAACUCUGUCAGAGCACUUUGAAAAAGUGGUCUGUGGUAUCUGGAAAGCUGAUGUUGCGUGUGAAGAUUACAGACAAGCUUUAUCCAAGGAGAUCCAGCUCUUGAAGUUGGGAAAGUGAUGCCUCUUCGAUUUUCGAACAAGCAAUCCUGUUGGGGAUCUGGCUCUCGAGAUUCGGAGAACGAUGCCUCUUCGAUUUUUGAGAAAGCAAUCCUGCUGGGGGUCUGGCUCUCGAGAUUCGGAGAGCGAUGUCUCUUCGAUUUUUGAGAAAGUAAUCAUGUUGGGAGUCUGGCUCUCAAGAUUCGGAGGGCGGUGCCUCUUCGAUUUUGGAGCAAGCAAUCUUGUUGGGAGUGUUUUCUCGAAUGUGAGUAAAGGUUGGGCAUGUUUGCUAGUCUACCUUGCCACGAAGCACAGAGGUUGACACACAGGGACUUUCCAAUUAUCCAGCAGUGGUACUGUUCCUUUACCCUAUUUUCGAUUUUUGAGAAAGUAAUCAUGUUGGGAGUCUGGCUCUCGAGAUUUGGAGGGCGGUGCCUCUUCGAUUUUGGAGCAAGCAAUCCUGUUGGGAGUGUUUUCUCGAAUGUGAGUAAAGGUUGGGCAUGUUUACUAGUCUACCUUGCCACGAAGCACAGAGGUUGACACACCGGGACUUUCCAAUUAUCCAGCAGUGGUACUGUUCCUUUACCCUUGUGGGUAAUAAUAUGGUAGCUAGACCUUCAAAAUUUAUGUGUCUAAACUUUGUUAGUGUUGUUUCUUUGCAAUUCUUUUACCCUUCUUGGUCAGAGCGAUGUAGCGGGAGCUGCAAGCUUCACGUGUCUCAACUUUGUCAGAGAACUUUGGCAAAGUUAUCUGUGGAACCCAUGAGUUACUGUUGCGUGUGGGAAGUGGGUGAUUGAAUAGUACGAUUCAUGUGCUUUCUACUUCGCCAGAAAUCUUCGACAGAAUGCCCAUAAUUUCCGCAAAGCUGAGUGUGCGUGUGACAGGUGCUGACAAGGCUGGAAAAGUAGGUGCCUCUUCGAUUUCUGAGAUCGGCCCUCGUGGUCUCUGAGCAGCCCAGCUUUUGAGAAAGCAAGCCUCUUCGAUUUCUGAGAUCGGCCUUCGUGGUUUUUGAACAGCCCAGCUUUUGAGAAAGCAACGCCUCUUCGAUUUAUGAGAUCGACCCUCGUGGUCUCUGAGCAGCCCAGCUUUUGAGAAAGCAAAUGCCUCUUCGAUUUCUAAGCAGGCGCCUCUUCGAUUUCUGAAGCUUCGUCGAGUGCAGAUUUUUUAUAGGGGCUGACAUUAAGUUCCAAAGCACACUUGAAUAUCCACCAGUAGAAGCUCCAUUCUUGCACUUCUAAGAUCUUGAUUUGUCCGACCUCCUCUCUCUUCAACACCUUUGAAAAUGUCUGGCCCCCCUCCGACCGUCAUUUUGACUUGAACCUUGUUGAAGAGGCAGCCCCGCCUUCUCCAGACAACAUAUGGCGCCCAUCCUUCGUCUCCCCUACUGGUCCUCUUACCGUUGGGGAUUCCGUGAUGAAGAAUGAUAUGACCGCUGCGGUAGUGGCCAGGAACCUUCUCACUCCCAAAGAUAACAGACUACUUUCCAAACGGUCUGAUGAGUUGGCUGUUAAGGAUUCUCUGGCUCUCAGUGUUCAGUGUGCAGGUUCUGUGUCUAAUAUGGCCUAACGCCUAUUUGCUUGAACCCGCCAAGUUGAAUCAUUGGCGGCUGAAGUGAUGAGUCUCAAACAGGAGAUUACAGGGCUCAAGCAUGAGAAUAAACAGUUGCACCGGCUCGCACAUGACUAUGCUACAAACAUGAAGAGGAAGCUUGACCAGAUGAAGGAAUCUGAUGGUCAGGUUUUACUUGAUCAUCAGAGAUUUGUGGGUUUGUUCCAAAGACAUUUAUUGCCUUCGUCUUCUGGGGCUGUACCGCGUAAUGAAGCUCCAAAUGAUCAACCUCUGAUGCCUCCUCCUUCUAGGGUUUUGUCCAGUACUGAGGCUCCGAAAGAUCCCCCUCCAGUAACUUCUCUUUCUGGGGCUCUACCGACUGCUGAGACUUCUCCUAAGCAACCUUUGUGAAGGCUCCAUCUUGUUUGUUUAUUUUGACUCAAGUAUAUGUACAUAUUUGUAACUUAUCGGGGAUAUCAAUAAAUAAGCUUUCCUUCAUUUCAACGUAUUGUGUUAAAUACACCAAAGCCUUCUUCGCUAAGUUUUUUGAAUUUUCUUUUGUUGAAGCUUGUAUGUUGAAGCUUUGUGAGUGGAGCAUGUAGGUUGAGGUAGUGUUCCCUUAAUUUCCCGAGUGAGGAAAACUUCUCGGUUGGAGACUUGGAAAAUCCAAGUCACUGAGUGGGAUCGGCUAUAUGAAUCUUAGAACGCCAUUGUGUUCUGUCUUGUGUCAUGUCCUCCGUUAGAUCCAAGUACUCUAAGUCUUUUCUUAGGGUCUUUUCCAAAGUUUUCCUAGGUCUUCCUCUACCCCUUCGGCCCUGAACCUCUGUCCCAUAGUCGCAUCUUCUAAUCGGAGCGUUAGUAGGCCUUCUUUGCACAUGUCCAAAACCACCGUAACCGAUUUUCUCUCAUCUUUCCUUCAAUUUCGGCUACUCCUACUUUACCCCGGAUAUCCUCAUUCCUAAUCUUAUCCUUUCUCGUGUGCCCACACAUCCAACGAAGCAUCCUCUCAUCUCCGCUACACACCCAUUUUGUGUACGUGUUGAUGCUUCACUGCCCAACAUUCUGUGUCAUACAGCAUCGCCGGCCUUAUUGCCGUCCUAUAAAAUUUUCCCUUGAGCUUCAGUGGCAUACGGCGGUCACACAACACGCCGGAUGCACUCUUCCACUUCAUCCAUCCAGCUUGUAUUCUAUGGUUGAGAUCUCCAUCUAAUUCUCCGUUCUUUUGCAAGAUAGAUCCUAGGUAACGAAAACGGUCGCUCUUUGGUAUUUCUUGAUCUCCGAUCCUCACCCCUAACUCGUUUUGGCCUCCAUUUGCACUGAACUUGCACUCCAUAUAUUCUGUCUUUGAUCGGCUUAGGCGAAGACCUUUAGAUUCCAACACUUCUCUCCAAAGGUUAAGCUUUGCAUUUACCCCUUCCUGAGUUUCAUCUAUCAACACUAUAUCGUCUGCGAAAAGCAUACACCAAGGAAUAUCAUCUUGAAUAUGUCCUGUUAACUCAUCCAUUACCAACGCAAAAAGGUAAGGACUUAAGGAUGAGCCUUGAUGUAAUCCUACAGUUAUGGGAAAGCUUUCGGUUUGUCCUUCAUGAGUUCUUACGGCAGUCUUUGCUCCUUCAUACAUAUCCUGUAUAGCUUGGAUAUAUGCUACUCGUACUCCUUUCUUCUCUAAAAUCCUCCAAAGAAUGUCUCUUGGGAUACGCUUUUUCCAAAUCUAUAAAGACCAUGUGUAAAUCCUUUUUCCCAUCUCUAUAUCUUUCCAUCAAUCUUCGUAAGAGAUAGAUUGCCUCCAUGGUUGAGCGCCCUGGCAUGAACCCGAAUUGGUUGUCCGAAACCCGUGUCUCUUGCCUCAAUCUAUGCUCAAUAACUCUCUCCCAGAGCUUCAUUGUAUGACUCAUUAGCUUAAUACCCCUAUAGUUCAUGCAAUUUUGUACAUCGCCCUUAUUCUUGUAGAUAGGCACCAAAGUGCUCAUUCGCCACUCAUUUGGCAUCUUCUUCGUUUUCAAAAUCCUAUUGAAAAGGUCAGUGAGCCAUGUUAUACCUGUCUCUCCCAAAACUUUCCACACUUCGAUUGGUAUAUCGUCUGGGCCUACUGCUUUUCUAUGCUUCAUCUUCUUCAAAGCUACAACCACUUCUUCCUUCUGGAUUCUAUGAUAAAAAGUAGUUUUCUACACUCUUCUGAGUUACUCAACUCCCCUAAAGAAGCACUCCUUUCAUGUCCUUCAUUGAAAAGAUUAUGAAAAUAACCUUUCCAUCUGUCUUUAACCGCGUUCUCUGUAGCAAGAACUUUUCCAUCCUCAUCCUUGAUGCACCUCACUUGGUUUAGGUCCCUUGUCUUCUUUUCCCUUGCUCUAGCUAGUUUAUAGAUAUCCAACUCUCCUUCUUUGGUAUCUAGUCGCUUAUACAUAUCGUCAUAAGCCGCUAACUUAGCUUCUCUCACAGCUUUCUUCGCCUCUUGCUUCGCUUUUCUAUACCUUUCAUCAUUUUCAUCGGUCCUAUCCUUGUAUAAGGCUUUACAACAUUCAUUCUUAGCCUUCACCUUUGUUUGUACCUCCUCAUUCCACCACCAAGAUUCCUUUUGGUGUGGGGCAAAGCCCUUGGACUCUCCUAAUACCUCUUUUGCUACUUUUCGGAUACAACUAGCCAUGGAAUCCCACAUUUGGUUAGCUUCCCCCUCUCUAUCCCACACACUGGGUGAUUACUUUCUCUUUGAAAAUGACUUGUUUUUCUUCUUUUAGAUUCCACCAUCUAGUCCUUGGGCACUUCCAAGUCUUGUUCUUUUUUCUCACUCUUUUGAUAUGUACAUCCAUCACCAACAAGCGAUGUUGAUUAGCCACGCUCUCUCCUGGUAUAACUUUGCAAUCCUUACAAGUUAUACGAUCCCCUUUCCUCAUUAGAAGAAAAUCUAUUUGUGUUUUUGACGACCCACUCUUGUAGGUGAUCACAUGUUCUUCUCUCUUCUUAAAGAAGGUGUUGGCUAAGAAGAGAUCAUAUGCCAUUGCAAAAUCCAAGAUAGUUUCCCCAUCCUCGUUUCUCUCCCCAAAACCAUGGCCACCAUGAAAACCUCCAUAGUUGCCUGUCUCCCUGCCCACGUGUCCAUUUAAAUCUCCUCCUAUAAAUAACUUCUCCGUCUGAGCAAUUCCUUGCACCAAGUCUCCAAGAUCUUCCCAAAAUUUCUCAUUCGAACUCGUAUCCAACCCUACUUGAGGUGCGUACGCACUAAUCACAUUGAUAAGUUCUUGUCCUAUUACAAUCUUGAUUGCCAUGAUUCUAUCUCCUACCCUCUUGACAUCUACAACAUCUUGUAUCAAGGUCUUGUCCACAAUGAUGCCAACACCGUUUCUCGUUCUAUUUGUGCCCGAAUACCAUAGUUUAAACCCUGAGUUUUCUAGAUCCUUUGCCUUACGACCAACCCACUUAGUUUCUUGUAGGCACAUAAUAUUUAUCCUUCUCCUCACCAUAACUUCUACUACUUCCAUAGAUUUUCCCGUCAAGGUUCCUAUAUUCCACGUUCCUAAACGCAUUUUGCUCUCUUGAACUCUACCCUUUUGUCCUAGCUUCUUCACCCUUCCCCGUCUAAUAGGAUCAAAGUACUUCUUUUGUGUGUCCCGUGUAAAGUUGAUAGGAGCAUAUGCUCCCAAACAACUUUGAGUGGAGUCGUUCGAAAAGAAGUUUCUAUAGCCCCCUUGCUCAUUUAACACUGCAUCCGGGUGCCGAUGGAGAUACAGCGACCCUUGCUCACUUAUCACUGUGCUCGGGCCACACAGUGCGCCACUUACGGGUGACGCCCUAGCUUUAGCGCGAUUUCGUUCUGGAUUCAUUUUCAUAAGGAUUCGACGUGAUCAUGGAGUGCCGGCUGUCGACUACCUGACGCCCUCCCCCUCCUCCUUUAUCCGGGCUUGGGACCGGCAAUGUAAGAUAAACUUACACGGCGGAGUUCAAUGAUAUUCCUAAAGGAAAUAAAAUUGUUUGCUUUGCUGAGGUGCUUCUGUUUAGAUUAAUCAAUGCUAUAGUGCAUUUUGAAACCUAAGUUAUGGAUCUAUUAGUUUCAAUUUAAACACAUCUAGAAACUUAGAUAUACAUUUAUUAGCUCACAUUUAUAUACUGCUGGAAAGUUAAAGAUCUGCUGAUGAUACUAAAUUUAACUUUGGUAGUUUUUCAAACAUAAUUACCCAUACAAUUUCUAAUCCCGCAGCAACGUGCGGGCAUCACUUUCUAGUUUAAUCUGUAUUUCAGAAUUAGUGGUCUUCUUGAUGUUUAACUGUAGCGAAAUGGUUCUUGAAAUUGUGUUUUGGAAUUAGUGAUCUUGAUUCAGAACAAAAGGACUAAUUUCCUUCCUACAUUCCACACCCGAGAUGGAGAGUUCUAAUUUUUAUUUGAAUUGCAUGUUACCUAGAUGAAAAAUUGAAGAAGUUUAUGAAUGUCGUAAAUCAGGAAAUACGUUGGAAGUUAUGCUGAUGAAAAUUCUAACUUUUAUUUAAAUUGAAAGGAACCCAUAUCGAAAGUACGAAUUUUUACUACAUUUUUUUAUUUUAUUUUAAAUUUUGUUCGCUCUGCUUUCAUGGUGUUUUGCGUUUAAUUUGAUCUUUGCAGGCACUGCGUUUGCUUAUCGGUAGACCAGUAGUGGGAAGACUUUUACGAUGAAUGGUUCCGAAACAGAUCCGGGUAUCAUUCAUUGAGCCGUUAGAGAUGUUUUUGACAGAACUCAGAUGGUAAUAAGCUAUUUAUGCUUUCUUAAUUUCAAAUUUGUUGCUUGCUUAUUGAAUUUGAUGCUUAAUGUUUUCAAUUGGAUGCUAUUUAUGUUUCCAGAUGUCACUGAUUCGAGUAUCCUACAUGGAAUUGUACAAUGAGGAAAUUAACGACUUUUUUGCAGUAGAGAAUCAGAAAUUGCAAAUUCAUGAGAAUUUGGAGGUUGGCUACUUACCCUUUUGACAAAUUUAGUUACUUCUUUUAAGUGAACUGAAUUUACUGAAUUUUUUCAUGUUCGGCAUGGCAUUUUUGUUGCUGGCCUCGGGGAGGAAAUUGUCAGUGAUGCUGAACAAGUGUUAAAGCUCAUUGAAUCCGGAGAAGGUUUGCACUUUGAAACCAAAAUGUAAUUAGGAAUUUAAUUAAACCGGCCCUAUGCAAUUGCCAGUUGCACUGAAUAUCAUCAGGUAUGAAGGAAUAAGUGUGUGUGUGUGUGUGUGUGUGUUUGAUUCUACUUAUCAAUAUAUCAAUAGUAAAUAUAGUGUGUUUCUGCAAGUCAGCAAUGUGAGACUCCUUCAUUGUUGUUGAUUGCGUUGAGAUGAACAAGCUUGAGGGUGCAUGCUUUAGUUUAAUAAAUUGGCUAAGCUGCUUAUGCUAUUCAUUGCCGAUUAUGUAUUACCAAUUAACUCAUAGUUUGUAGGAAUUAACUUGAGAUCUUUCUGAUAACGAUUAUUUCCUACCACCUGACCACAUAGAAACAAGAUUGCAUGCGUGCUAUUGUUUUUACACCCAUAUACUUAUUUGCAGAGUUUUGUUGCCAUAAGUGGAGGAUGUUAGUGAAAUUGAUGAACUAAUAAGCUUCAUGUUAGGAGCUUUGUCGAUUAUUCGCUAAAAAACUGAAUUAUGUUUGUGUCGGGAUCAUCGAAGGUUUUCUUCGAAUAUUCUACAAUAACGAUGUUGAUAUAAUGGAAGCUCAAAUUUGUCAGGUGAUACAUACAUGCAUACAAUUUUAUACUUAAAACUGUAUAUUUACUUUCAGAUUUCGAACAAGAAGAUUAGAGUCCGGAUGUGCAGAAUUUGGAGGCCCAAAUUUAUUGGAUCUGAUGAUCAGUUUGAUGAUUUGCAAUGCAUAUUAGUUGAUGAAAUGGUAAGGGAAUCGUUCCAUUAUACUAUCUCCAUUAAGUUAUAAUAUAUCAUUCGCGUACAAUUCAGUGCAACUCAAAUAAUGUCUCGGUGAUGAAAUUGGAGUCUAUGUUUGUCUAAUUUUUGAAGCUGUGCUGAAAUCCAGAGGUUUAUUUGACUGUCUAUAUAUUUGAUUCGAGCACGGGUUCUGCCAUGGUUUUGCAUUCAGUGUGUAUCCCAUCUGGAAAAAAGGAGAGGUGAGAUUCGUGAUACCGUUUUCGUUUGGGUAAACUUAGUUUUCAUUUUUUGUGGUGUCUAUAGGGAGAUUUGUUUUCUGUCUUAAUUUUUGAUUGGGAUGUUUUUGGCAAUUUGUAGUUUCGGAUUCGUUUAUGUUUCGUGCUUUUGUGUAACUAAACUAGGGUUUAUUAAAUUCAAUCACUUCCUUUUAUGCUCCUGCUUUGUUACGGUACAACUGAUGAUGGUUUGUUUCUUUGAUUGUAAAUUUCAGAAGAGCAACUUUUUAUGGGGUCUGCUGCUGUGACUGUUUCUAAGAUUCUGUGAAUAUUUGGUUUCUGGAAUAUGAUUAAUUUUCUUCUCCUUCCACGCUUGCUUUCUAUGAUAUACAAUGUGCCCUUUUUUUUUUAGAUAAACAACCUUUUCAUUAUCUUGCAUGCUUUGGCAACAAAGAUUAAUAAAACUUCACGUCUAUUAUAGAGAGAGAUAGAUGUAGGGAGACGUUGGAAUUGGAGAGAGAGAGAGAGGGUGAGGGAGGGAUGGGGUUGCUUUCUAAAGAUUUGUUUGGAAUUGUUUCUCCAGUUCUUUCUAUUUGUUUGGGAUUGUUUCCUUUUUACUGAAUUAUUUCGGUCCCUGCUACUAAAGUCUAAUUUCUGCUAUUAAUUGAUGCUGAAAUGUGACUUUUGCUAUUAAUUUUUUUACCUUUCAUGUUUAUGCUGCUUUUGGAUUCCAUUCGAAUUAAAUAAUGUAGUUAAUCUUGAUAUGAAUUCUCUGCAACAAUAAUUAGGGACUUUAGUUUAAAUUAUCACUAAUUUGUUCUUGAUUUGGCAUUGAAUCUGGUUCUGGGUCUUCCAAUUCCAGCGAGCUGUUUCCGUACAAAUGUCGGUGCACCGUGUACCGUGCCGUCGACCACAAUCCUCUCUGUUUUAUCUCCAGUGUUCCAGCCAUUUAAGGUAAGCAAUUUCAUAUUUAAUAAAACAAAUUAGGGAUCACUAGCUUUUGAUUAGGUUUCAAAUUAUGAUUUACAAAUUGGGGAUUUGGAGAUUAAUUUUUAUUAGGGUUUUAAUUUUGAGAAAUGAAUAGGUAGGUAGGAGAUAAAUUUGAUUGCAUCAGAAUUUGGGAUUGUUGAUGUGUGUUUUUUUGUUAUUCUGUUAAUAAGUCAGAGAAAAUAUAAUGGCUGAGAUCCACUACUACAAUAUAGGCUAUCACCGGCGGACCAAAAACCGACAAGAAACCAGAUUUCUGUCGAAAAUUUGGCAAAAAUCCGACAUAAAACACUGCAAUGUCAGAUUGGAAUAGCGACGCCAUUGCUACCGUCACUAAAGGGCUUCAGUGUCGCUUUGUUCGCUUAGUCCGCCACUAAGCAGCGUCGGUUUAAAGCGACGUUAGAUAACAAUUAAAUAAAUAAAAUAUGCAAACUAGUGACGGUUUAAAGCGACGUUAGAGAACAAUUAAAUAAAUAAAAGCGACGUUAGAGAACAAUUAAAUAAAUAAAAUAUGCAAACUAGUGACGGUUUAAAGCGACGUUAGAGAACAAUUAAAUAAAUAAAAUAUGCAAACUAGUGACGGUUUAAAGCGACACCACCUUUGAUAAUAAUAAUAUAAAAAAAGUCGAAAUCUGUUUCUGUAUUCGUUCUCAAAUAAUUAUAACUCAAAAAAAUUAUAUAAUCGAAAUAAUAAAUUUCAAUUUUAGGCCAAAACAAACAAUAAUAAAAAUAAUUCAAAAGAAAAAUAGUGCCAUAAUAUACAAAUGUUUUACAUCUAACAUUCCAUAUAAUUUACAAAAAUUCAUCCUCCACAUUUAUUUAAAAUUAGAUACAAUUCUUCAAAAUGGACAAUACAUUCAAAUUCUUGCCACUACGGAAGCAGAGAUUGUAGACAACCCAACUGCGGAAUCGGCCUGAAAUUCAAAAAUAUCGGAAAAAAAUGUCAAGAGCUUUGCUUAUUUGAGGAAAAACCCAAUUGAGAAAACGACCUGAAAUCCAAAAAUUCGACAAUGACCAAUUGAAAAUUUCCCAAAAGACUGAGAAUUUUACAGGCUUGAAGGGCUUUGCGUACCUUGAGAGAUUGAUUGACAGGCGGGUGGAGGGGAGAGAAGACAUGGGAGUGGCCUUGAACGCUGGUUUGUUGACGGCAGAUUUGAGAAGAGAGAAAGCCGGCUUCGAGAAAGAUCUGCAGCGAGAGGCCAUUGGAGCACUGGGCGGAGAAAUAGCGGAGUUAGGGUUUUGGGGUUAACAGUCACAGCAGUUGGAAGUUGGAGAGGCAGGGGUAUGGCUGAAAUGGAGGAAAGAGUAAGGCUGACAUGGGAGAAAGAGAAGGAGAAGGAGUAAACCAGAGGAGAAAUAUAAGAGUGAAAUGGAAGUGCAGAAGUACUGGGAAAGACGAGGUUUAAAUAUGGAUAAAAACUUAGUGUCGGUUAAUACCGACAGUAGCUACAACUUGUGUUGAACAAUGAACACCCUACGUUGGUCAAAACCGACGUAAUAUCUGACAAAUGAUAAAAUUUGCUUGCGUCGAAAUAUGAUGACUUUGCGUCGGUUCAAACCGACACUAGGUCUGACACACUUUUGACUGAAAGGUCUGACAUUUUUUUUACUGACAGGGUUGAAUCGGAUAAAACCGACGUUAGCUUGAUAGAUUUGUGUAGCGUCGAAAUAAUGAGAGUUUGCGUCGGUUAAAACUGACGCCAACUCUGACACAGUCUGCAAGAGCUCGUCCAACCCAUUUCCCCGUGCAAAAAAAAAACCGGGAAAAUUCUUUAAAUUUGAAUUUUUUAAAUUUGAAUCUUCAAAUACCUUUAUCUACCCGUUUUCUAAUUAAAAACACAUUAUUACUAAUCUUACCAAUUUAUCAAAAAAUCAAAAGAAACAUUGCCAGAGGUAGAUAAAAAAUAAAUAAAAAAUUUGUGAUGUAGGUAGAAUUUAUGAUAGAGGUAGACUAUGAACAAAAACCUAUUGUAUAGAUACAUAAUACAAAAUAAUUUGUGAUACAUAUAGACUAUGAACAAAAACAUAUUGUAUAGGUAGAUAACACAAUUAAUUUGUGAUAAAUAGGUAGAUAACACAAUUAAUCUUAGAUAGAUUAUCAACAAAAUAUGUUUUAUAUAUAGGUAGAUAAAUACAAUUAUUCAUGAUACAUGCACACAGUAUAAUAUAAAAAGAUUUAAAAAAUGACCAGUGAUAUAGGUAGAUACAAACAAAACAAAAAAUCGUGAAGAAAAAUGAUAUUGAGGGAGGAAACACUAGAGAAAAUGCUAAUUCGAUAGAACUUCAAAGUUCAAAAAAAUAUAAAAAGGAGAAUGAAGCCAAAAAAAAAAUGAGACGAAGAACCCAAAACACAAGAUUGACUAAUGCAAUUUCUUUAAAAAAAAUAAAAUAAAAAAACCAAUCAAAUGUAUAUUGAUCAUCCUUAUGGAAGGAGGAGGAGAAGAAAAAUAUUAUGGAAGAACAUUACUGGGCAAAGAAAAAUAUUAUGGAAGAACAUUACUGGGCAAAAUAACGCAGGAAGAGAAAGAUAUUGUGAGGAAGAAACAAGAAAGAGAAUUAAAAAAGAAAAGAGAAUGAACGGUUUGGGGAAGAAGAAGAAAAAAAGGAGAUUUAAAUCCCUAAUCCUAUAAUUAAGGAUAAGAUUAACAUUAAUCACAAACUUAAAAAACAGUAAUUACUUCAUUGGUCAAUUUAAGGGUAAAUUUGGCAAGAGAAUACAAAUAAGCUUAUGUGGACAAUGAAUCACUAGACCUAACCCAAAAAUUAAACAAAAUUGGAUUAUAACUAAUAAUAGCUCAUAAAAUUGGACUAAUAUUAAGUUUCUCCUAAAAUAUAAUCAGUUAUUUUAUCUUAUAUAAGAGCCUAAUAAAAAAAUAAUACAUACACUACUAAUCUAUGUCAAGGAGUGUAGCUGUAAAAAAUCAUUAAAAUCGGAGUUAAAAUAACCGUUAAAUCAUGAUUUUUCGUUUAUAACCGUCGAAAAGCUUUGUCCCGUUACUUGAUCUCUGAAUGUUUGUUUUUUGUGAUUUUUUGCUGAUGUGAUCUUGAAGCAUAUGCAAACAAGUUUGACGGUUGGGAUCGUUGAAAUUUGUUUCGGAGAAUUCGUAUCCCAUCAAAACAAUAGAUUGACUAACACUUAGAGUUUAUUUAUACUUUUAUUAAGUAUAACAUAAAAUUAUGUGGUAUCCACUUGUGUAAAUAUUUUAAAUUGAAGAUCGAAUUCAUUCAUUGUAUUCAUAUAGGGUCAAGGAGUGUAGCUGUAAAAAAUUAUCAAAAUCGGAGUUAAAAUAACCGUUAAAUCGUGAUUUUUUGUUUAUAACUGUCGAAAGCUUUGUCCUGUUACUUGAUCUCUGAAUGUUUGUUUUUUUUUAUUUUUUGCUGAUGUGAUCUCGAAGCAUAUGCAAACAAGUUUGACGGUUGGGAUCAUUGAAAUUAGUUUCGGAGAAUUCGUAUCCCAUCAAAACAAUAGAUUGACUAACACUUAGAGUUUAUUUAUACUUUCAUUAAGUAUAACAUAAGAUUUUGUGGUAUCCACUUGUGUAAAUAUUUUAAUUUGAAGAUCGAAUUCAUUCAUUGUAUUCAUAUAGGGUCAAGGAGUGUAGCUGUAAAAAAUCAUCAAAAUCGGAGUUAAAAUAACCGUUAAAUCGUGAUUUUUCGUUUAUAAUCGUCGAAAAGCUUUGUCCCGUUACUUGAUCUCUGAAUGUUUGUUUUUUGUGAUUUUUUGCUGAUGUAAUCUCGAAGCAUAUGCAAACAAGUUUGACGGUUGGGAUCGUUGAAAUUAGUUUCGGAGAAUUCGUAUCCCAUCAAAACAAUAGAUUGACUAACACUUAGAGUUUAUUUAUACUUUCAUUAAGUAUAACAUAAGAUUUUGUGGUAUCCACUUGUGUAAAUAUUUUAAUUUGAAGAUCGAAUUCAUUCAUUGUAUUCAUAUACGGUCAAGGAGUAGCUGUAAAAAAUCAUCAAAAUCGGAGUUAAAAUAAUCGUUAAAUCGUGAUUUUUCAUUUAUAACCGUCGAAAAGCUUUGUCCCGUUACUUGAUCUCUGAAUGUUUGUUUUUUGUGAUUUUUUGCUGAUGUAAUCUCGAAGCAUAUGCAAACAAGUUUGACGGUUGGGAUCGUUGAAAUUAGUUUCGGAGAAUUUGUAUCCCAUCAAAACAAUAGAUUGACUAACACUUAGAGUUUAUUUAUACUUUCAUUAAGUAUAAUAUAAGAUUUUGUGGUAUCCACUUGUGUAAAUAUUUUAAUUUGAAGAUCGAAUUCAUGCAUCGUAUUCAUAUAGGGUCAAGGAGUGUAGCUGUAAAAAAUCAUCAAAAUCGGAGUUAAAAUAACCGUUAAAUCGUGAUUUUUCGUUUAUAACCGUUGAAAAGCUUUGUCCCGUUACUUGAUCUCUGAAUGUUUGUUUUUUGUGAUUUUUUGCUGAUGUGAUCUCGAAGCAUAUGCAAACAAGUUUGACAGUUGGGAUCGUUGAAAUUUGUUUCGGAGAAUUCGUAUCCCAUCAAAACAAUAGAUUGACUAACACUUAGAGUUUAUUUAUACUUUCAUUAAGUAUAACAUAAGAUUUUGUGGUAUCCACUUGUGUAAAUAUUUUAAUUUGAAGAUCGAAUUCAUGCAUCGUAUUCAUAUAGGGUCAAGGAGUGUAGCUGUAAAAAAAAUCAUCAAAAUCGGAGUUAAAAUAACCGUUAAAUCGUGAUUUUUCGUUUAUAACCGUUGAAAAGCUUUGUUGCGUUACUUGAUCUCUGAAUGUUUGUUUUUUGUGAUUUUUUGCUGAUGUGAUCUCGAAGCAUAUGCAAACAAGUUUGACGGUUGGGAUCGUUGAAAUUUGUUUCGGAGAAUUCGUAUCCCAUCAAAACAAUAGAUUGACUAACAAUUAGAGUUUAUUUAUACUUUCAUUAAGUAUAACAUAAGAUUUUUUGGUAUCCACUUAUGUAAAUAUUUUAAUUUGAAGAUCUAAUCCAUUCAUUGUAUUCAUAUAGGGUCAAGGAGUGUAGCUGUAAAAAAUCAUCAAAAUCGGAGUUAAAAUAACCGUUAAAUCGUGAUUUUUUGUUUAUAACUGUCGAAAUUAGUCUCAUAGAAUUCGUAUUCAAUCAAGUUCAAUGGUGUGUGUGUGUAUAUAUAUAUAUAUAUUAAGUAGAUUUAAAUUUAUUUAUUUUUUAUGUAUAACACUUAAGAAAUUGAAUCGUAUGUAUAUUUAAGCCAAUCCAAUGAUCACCAAUUUUUUAAAAUUUAAUUUAAUAUAUAUAUAUAUAUAUAUUUAUAUAAUUAUUAUAGUUUUUAGGGAUAUAAAAUUUAAUUUAAUAUAUAUAUAUAUAUAAUUUAUGUUGCUUAAAAGCGACACUAGUAUUUAAAAAAUACUUUAUGUCGCUUAAAAGCGACACUAGUAUUUAAAAAUUAUUAAAAUAAUGUUUACGUCGGUUUAAAAGCGACACUAGUAUUUAAAAAUUAUUAAAAUGUAUGUUUACGUCAGUUUAAAAGCGACAUAAACAUUUUAUGACGCUUAUAAGCGACAGUAAAUCCGACGUCAUGUUCAAUUAGUGUCACAACUGCCUAAUCCGCCACUAUAUUAGAUUAAAGCGACACCACCCUCCGACACUAUAACCCCCUUUUGUAGUAGUGAUCGGUGGUGAGCAAGGCAGUGGAGGUUGGCAACAAGAAUAACCUCACCUUCACCGUCAGGAACUACGCCGACUUCGUCAUCCAGCAUGCCGGCCAAGCCGUCGCUGACGGAGCUAAAUGGUUCCAGGGCCGAAUAAUAAUUUCACAAUUUCCACCAUUUUUCACAUUUUCUGCCAUUUUUUCUCAUUCACAUUUGUUUACAGGGAGGUCGGAGCUUUAGGAGUGUGAAGAAUAGUAUACAGAGAUGGGAGGAAGCAGCUGUUUCCUGUAGGUAAUUUUUGCUCUGACUUAUUUAGAUUUUAUAUUCUGGGUUAAUUAUCAACCGGAUUUUGUUACUAGAUUUAGAAUUGUAAUUUGGUACCACUUCUGCCACAUGCCGCUUCAGUUUUCACAUCCUAAUGCCACGAAAUGCUAAUUUUAAACUCUAGGUUAUGGGUAAGGAUUAGUAUUUGGAGGCACAAAUUCUUCUCAGCUGCUAAACCAAGUUCAAAAUCAUUUUGCGCGUGGUUUACAUUAGGCUAUUCAAGCCCUAUUUUAAAUGUAUGAUUGGUUUAUGUGAAAUGAAAGAGAGUUAGAAUACCUUGUGAGAUGACUGAUUCGAGAACCCAUUUUAAAUAAAACGUAUCAAAAGUGUUGAGCUGAGAGCGAAGAGAUUCUUUGCAUGGAAAACAGAUUUCACUUUGUUUUCUUUACUCAAAGUGCUCUUAUUUAAUCUGGUUCUGUUUCGGUUGCAUAGUAUGUGGUUCGCAGCGACUAAGAAUCGUUUCCUAAGAAAUCUAUUGAGCUAAGUUCUUUUUGGUAGGAAAUUAGGGUUGCUGAUGUUAGCAAUGGAUUGAGUCUUUCUGUUUGGUAUGAUUAUAUCUCUGAACAAGCAUUAAUAAAUAGAACGAUUUCCAUCAAUAAUUUUAUUCGGUCAAGAUUCAAACUCCCAUUGUAGAUCAAACUAUAAGUCAAACUCCCAUUGCAGAUCAAACUAUAAGUCAAACUCCCAUUGCAGAGCAAACUAUAAGUCAAACCCCAUUUCAGAACAAACUGGGAACGAGGAGGCGCAAUAGGGUAUGGCUAUUUCCGGGCCGUCGUUCAUUUUGAGAUUCUGGUAACAUCUAUAUAAGCUAGCUUAUUUUUAGACCAUUGUUUAGGUGUACAUAAUUGUUUAAUGGCUUUGUACUUUUCCUUUUUGUCAGCUAUAGAUGUUCUAAAAGAUACACAUACCCCUCCACGGAGAAUCAAGUUCAUUAGUUUACAUUAUAUAUCAUUUUUAUGAUGUAAGAAACCACAACCAUCUAAAAGUUUUAGUGAAGUUGUAUUUUAAAGUCAGGUUGGUAGGACAUGUUGCUAUAUAUAUUUUCAAAAAGUUUUCAACUUCGAAUUUUGUGAUGUGUGAUUAUAGAGCAAGGAGAAUGUGACCCCGAUUAGCUCGAAGCUUGCGGUAAACUUUCUUUUUGUUCAGGGUUACGAGAAUUCUUACAAUAAGAACUAGAACAACUCAGAUUUUAAUUUUCGGUUUAAAGCUGUUUUUAAUUUGGUCCGCCAUGUUUGUUUGUUAUUAGGAACCUAGAAGAGUCUUGAAUUCAGUUUUCAAACUCUGACUGAAAAUGGAACUUGGUGCUAUUAAGCUAUCAUCCUCAGCCAGGUAGCGCCAUGACUUUUACAUUGCUGCUUUCAUUUUAUGUACUAAUUAUUGUUCUAUGAAUUGUAUUCUUCAGUUAAAUAAUGAUUCAUCCUCCUUUUCCCAUCUCCUUGGUUUUUUCGUUUAGAUUUUUCUGUUUGCGUAUUAUAAUUUUUUUGGGUAUUGGUUACUGUGCACUUAUUAGGUAAGUCAAUUCUCAUGUGAUUUGUACAUUCACAUUCCUGGGUGUAUAAUUUAUAAUAUGUGAACAUAUUAUAGUAACUAAGUUUAAUCCCUGAAUUUAUUAUUUAACUGGGAUGUAGAUUUCAUAAUUGAAAUUAUGUUAAAUGUGAAUUGUUAGUGAUUACACUUCACUCAAUUAUAUCAAUCCUCUUCAAUAUGUAGAUGUAAGUUCGUUAUUAGUGCCAUUAAGGGUUGAUUAAUCCUCAUAUGCGUAGCAAUAAUUAUUAGUGCCAUGUAGUGUUGGUACUUAUAUAAACGCAUUUUAAACGAAUGUUAGUAUAUUCUUAGGGAUGUUAACAACACUACUCUCUAGUUUAGCCAGGUACCUACUUUGGUUUUUUCGUUCCCUCAUCAUAUGCUUUGCACAAUCGUAACUAUGAGCUAAAUACUAAUGGGUGAAUAAUGAAUGUUCUGCUGAGUAGUAUGUUAUUACCAAUCUUGGUAGAUUUACAAAGCAUAUGAGAGAAUUCGUCAGUAGAGUUAAUCAUCUGUAACAAUAAAUGUUAAUUAUUCAAGCUUGAUUUCUUGGCAAUGGCUUCCUUCGUUAGCGUCUACAACUACGUCUCUCUUCACUUUCCCACUUCCUCCGGUCUCUCUUUCUCUUUCUAAUCUCUACUGAGUUUCUUUCAAUCUGUCAAUUUAUAUAAUUUAUUCUUUGAUGUGAUAUUUGGUGCGUUUGAUUUGGUUUUGUGAAUGUCUUCCUGACUUUUCUUCUUUGGAUUCAAAUAAUAAGUUCAAUGGUUAUAUACAUAACAGAAUAGUGAUUUGCGAACAAGGCAAUUCAAAGCUUGAAAAUUUGUAUAUCAUGCUAAGCUGACUACCUUUUUUCCCCACUUUUUCGACUUUGAGGAAUUGCAGUAUUUUAGCCCAACUUGCUAAAAUUUUUGUUUAUUUUUAAAUGAAUUCUAUAUGAAUUUACUUGGAAAUGUUAUAUGAAUUUUGUAUAAACUUGAAUAAAACUUAUAUCUGCAGGUUGAAUGUGUCCUUUGCCAACUAUUUUUUGGUAUAAGAAAAAGAUUACAUUAUACACACACAAUGCAAUGUGUUACCUAUCUGUUUAUAUACAUGUUAUAUUAAUACAUAUAAUGUUACAUGUUAAACAAAGCAAUAGAUGCCAAGCCAAAAGUGAGAAUGGGAACGAAGAAUCCAUGUCAAAAUCUCGCAUUUGUUCAAAGUGGUCUUGAUGGAACAUGGAAUCCAUAUCACCAAGUGUACUAAUUCAAGGUUCAUUGUUUAAUUCUUAAAUUAAAAUUAAUUUUGUCUUGACUCCAGUUUCUUCAUGCCUUUCUUAACUUCACAUGCAUAGUUGAUAAAGAGCUUCAGGAGGGUCAUUACUAAACAUCUACAAAUUUGUUAAGCCUAAGGCUUCCAGUUAUCAAACUACAGGUAACUACGGAUUAGUAGAUGUUUAGUAAUGACCCUUCUGAAAUUAUGGGUAUAUUAUCGAUAGUAUUGAUCAAUCGAGUAUGCAUGAGAACUUAAGUAAUCAUUGCCAUAAAAAGUAGAAGUGAUGACUCACACCAGGAAUCAGUUAUCUCAUCAACAACUUUAUUUUUAUCUAAGAUCGAGUUUGAUACCUGUAGGUGUAUAUAGGUUAAAUCGAUUGUUAAGAUGGAAAUUUAAUCACUUUUCAAUGUCCGAUAUCUCCAUCUCCCUGUUCUAGAUUUUUACUUACUUGAAAUGAAUAGAUUCGAGGUGUUUCAUUUAGCAAAAUGAGCAGUGGAUAGUGCUAAUUUAAACCUAAAAGUGAAUAAAUUUAAACCUAAAAGUGCCUAAAUAUAAGAGUGCGCAUGUGAGCAGAAUUGAACCCAAUUCACACGUGAUGCAGAGCACAAGUAAAGUGCAGUAGAGGUAGGAUAGUAAAGGUAAUCACCUAUACCAAAAUUUGCCAAGAAUCCUCGUCGACAUGAAAGCUCAGCUAUUAAAACUUGGAGGGGCGAAAAACAAAGGUGAGUGGGCUUAAAAAUAAAGCUUUGUAAAAACUUUUUCGAAAACAUAACAACCCCUUACUGUAAAACAAGUAUAGUUUCUAAAAUAUACAUACUACGUAUAGUAUGAAAAUACUUACCGUAGCCUGCAAUAUCUCAAAAAUUCAAUAAGUCACAAUAUUUCUAUAAUAAACAUCUAACGUCCGGUAAUCACAUAAUCUCGCAUAAACAAAAGUACCAUAUCGAGUGCUCAUUGACAUAUGCUAACACACGAGUUCAUGCAGAGGUAUUAUAACAUGAAUAGGACUAGAUGUAAUAAUGAUUUACGUUCUAGUACUACAAUCACGUGAAAACCUGCGCUAUGCGCAUCACAUAUGAGUCCUAAUUGCCUAUAGCAAUCUAGGAUAGGACUGGCAGCUACAAUGGAUCCAAAGUGAGCGUACCGUGUGAUGUGAACAUACACGUGAAAGAUUGUCCCUGGCCUUGGGCAUGUACUAACAUCGAUGUAGCACACGAUGAGCAGAUAACAUAAAUAUAAUCAUGCCAUAGUGAUUCGAUAAUACUAGUCAACAUAAUGUUAUUCAUGACUGCAAAUAUAAUUAAAGCAUCCCGAAAUAGUACACAUAACUUUACAUAAUGAUUUCCUAAUUCUCAACAUUACGACAUUUCUUAUAAACGUUAAUUUAAUUAUGGAAAUCACAUAGAAACUUCGUUAUUAGAUGUAUAUAUGGAAAAUAAACAAAUACAUAUAUUAUAUAAAAGAACAGACCCACUAACAGAUACUUGUGAAGUCGUAGUUGUUCGAACAGAGAAGCCGGAGUCUCCGCUAGUAAUCGCACCUAAGCAUUAUAUUGGGACCCAUUAGUUAAACUCAAUUAAAACGAUUAAAUUUGAGAAAACGAAGUGUGAAUUUGGAAUCAGGGCGACGAAAUACGCUAAGAAGGGUCCCGAAAAUUUUUCGUAAAAUGUCAACGAAAAGUCAACCGAGACGCCGAGCCAGUCAACUAUGUUAAAUACGGUUGAUGUGAAAUAUUUCAACAGAAACUAUGAGGAGAAUUUAUAAGAUAGAUAUUUAAUAGACGACAUUGAUGUUUUAUGUUUCUGCGCUUCAAGUCCGCCAGCCCUUUUGCAUUUGUUGCCUAUUGCACAACUGAUGGAUGUUAAUAUUCAGUUUACAGGCAGUUCCUACAAAACCAGUUCCCUUGUAGUCUACGAUUCUCAUUCAUUCGCUCCGAUGAUUGGAACGAAAUGUUGUACAAAUUUCGUAGCUCUGGUUUUAGAAUUUUAGACAACUCUUGCUAUACACAUUACUCUUAAAUAUCUAAUUGUUGUACAAGUAUUCUUAGUUACUGAGGCAUAGGAAAGUUUCGAUUUCAUUUGAUUGAAAAAAGUGUCUCCAAUUAAUCGAAUGAAUAAGAAUCCUUUUAAAUGAACAUAGCUGCUUUCAUUCUAAUUUCAGAAUAUCCAAAUCCAUGACAACAUGCAGCACUCUACUAUCUUUAUUUACAUUACUUUCAUCUCCAUUUUUUUUGGUUAAAAAAACUCUACGGUACGAACAAACAUUAUUAUAACGUUAAACAGUACGAUAUAUAGAGUAUAGUCUUGAACUUCGACAACACAAUCAACUAAAAGCUAAAAAGAACAAAUACAUUCUUUCUUUUUAAAGAAACCUCGACGGCGAGGGAAAAUUUUAUUGAAUAGAAAAAAAAAGUUACACCUAGUCAGGGGGGGACAUAAACCUUACCCCUCAAUAUUUUAAACACAAACACAAAUACAUAACGUGAAACAAACUUAUAACUAAACAUAUAAAAAGAGAAGGAAAGAAACCACAACAGAGAAAACAAACAACAACAACAAAUGCAUAACAUUGUAACAAACUCAAUUUCUACGCCCCCACUAGUACUCUAAAUUUUCCUUAUAUAUCAUUUGUCUGAUCAUUCCAACAAUCUUAAGAAACAAGUCGGGCCUCCUUGUGAUCACAACAUCAGCAAGAACUAACCCCACGACCAACCCACUUCCACAUCCGGCCGAAACAAUUUUCCAACCAAAUUCAAAUAUUCCUGCUGAGCUAGAAUCACCUUCGUCUACGGUUGAAGGUGGACGUUGAGGGGCCGUAGAAUUUCCACAUUUCUUUGGCAAUGGAUCUCCACACAACCCUGGGUUUCCCUCAUAUGAAGUGAUAUUCAAUGAAGUAAGCUGGGUUCCUUGUGGUAUAGGACCUGUGAGAUUGUUGUGAGACACAUUGAAACUGCCAAGAAAAGUAAGUUGCUUUAGUUGUGGGGGGAUCUGUCCUGAGAGCAUGUUUUGCGAAAGGUCCAACGAUUCAAGGUUCAUCAAGUUUCCAAAGGAUGAUGGGAUAGAACCAGUGAGACUGUUGUGGGAAAGAUUCAGAGAAUGAAGCUCCUUAAGAUUCCCGAUGAAUUCUGGAAUCUUUCCUUCAAAUUUGUUGCUUGAUAUAUCAAAGGAUGCAAAUUCUUCUCGAAUCUUUGGAUAGUAUUGCUCCAAACCUUUCGUUGCUAUUGUGAGUGCGUAAUCACCUCUUCUAUCAAUCGUGAUCCCGCUGACAUCAUAAACUACGUCUGUAUACAUAUAGGCUGACUUGUUUAUAAUAAUAUCUGGAAAGAUAGAUGGAACCGCGCCAGUAAAAUUAUUGUAAGACAAAUCAAGAAUGCGUAACUUGGGGAAAUCGACAUUCAUUCUAGAUUUUCGAAUCACACCGUAGAAUCCAUUAUGGCGCAUUGCCAAAAGUUUUAACUCUAGAAGAGUCCCCAACCAAAUGGGAAAAACAUCAUUGAAUUGAUUGUUUGACAAAACAAGAUACUCAAGCCUCACACAAUUGACCAAUGACCUCGGCAAUUGCCCCUGCAAUUUGUUAUGACUCACGUCAAUCAUCCUCAAACUGUUUCCGUUGUUGUAUGUCUGAGGAAUAACUCCAUGAAAGGAGUUGUUUCCAAGAAGUAAAAGAAUCAGAUCAUCACUAAAGUUUCCGAGACAUUGAGGAAGCAUGCCACUCAACUUAUUUUUCGACAAGUCAAGCAACUGAAGAUUUUUCAUAUUGCAAAGCAAGGGUGAGAUUUCUCCAGUAAGGUUGUUGUCUGUAGCUGUAUAUUCUAGCAUGGUUGGUGGAGCUAUCGGUAGUGAUCCAUGAAACCUGUUGGACGAAAACUUGAAGCAUACCAUGUUCACCCAAGGAAGGACAGGUGGAAGUUGGUCUGAAAUGAAGUUUUGACUCAUGUCUAAGAAUACCAAAGUUUCUAUGCUUGUGUUCCACAUCCAUUUUGGUACUUGGCCCUGGAUUUUGUUUGCAGCAAUGUCGAAACGCGUCAACCCCUUUUGAUAUUGUAAGAAGGAUGGAAACUCACUUAUGUUGCAAGAACUCAAUCCAAGAAUGGUGAAUUGUUGAACUGUUGAAUUCACAAUUCUGGAUUCAGUGACAAAUUCUAAACUGUUCCAAUUGAAUGUGAGUUGGGAAAGAAAUUUUAGAUUUUGAAACAUUUGAAACUCCACUACACCACUCAGACUAUUCGAUGCUAGGUAAAGGAUCUGAAGGUUUGUGAGAUUUGAAAAUGACAAGGGAACUGAACCAUUUAAUCUAUUAUAAUUAAAAUCUAGGUACUCUAGUUUGCUAAAGUUUCCUAACCAAGAUGGGAUUGGACCAGUUAAUCGACUCGUACUAAUCCUAAAAGUAACCAGUUGGGUAAGGUUUGAGAAGGAAUCAGGAAUUGGACCUCCAAAUUUGUUGGCUGAAAUGUCUAGAUAAGUGAGCUUCCUAAGAUUCCCAAGUGAAGAUGGAACCAACCCUUCCGAAAAAUUGCAUUGAGCCACAUCCAACUUUUGCAGUGAAUCAAGGUUUCCAAUCGAAGAGGGUACGUUUCCGAAAAAACUGGUAAAUGAAACUUUCAGAAGCAUGAGAGGACUACUUCGAUUAAAUUCAGGAAAAUAUCCAGUCAGAUCUUGGUUGUAUCUCACAGUAAGAAUUUCUAGGUUUGGUAGCUGGAAAAUUCUCACCGGAAAUUCACCAAACAGGUGACAUUCCACGAGGGCUAGGGUUUUCAAAGAUGAUAAGUUAGCCAUUGAAUGAGGAAUUGCCGAAGAUAUGUUUACGAAACUGAGAGAAAGUACCUCGAGACUAGUUAAGUUAUGAACCAGGCUUCCAAGAUCUGAUGCCUCAAGUUUCAACAAGGGACGAUCCUCAUCUUCUGACAAAGGAUCUACAUUGCCAGAUAGAUCAAGGUAUGUCAACUUGGAUAACAGUGAAACUUCUGAAGGAACUUGACCAGAAAAGACAGAGAAAGAGAGGUCAAGAUGAGUAAGGCUUGGAAAAUUCCUAAUGCUAGUAGGAAUUUGAGAGUGAUUGAAGUUAUUAUCAGAGAGAUUUAACCUUUGAAGAUGAACGAGGCGGAAGAGGCUGCUAUUGCUGUUGAUAGAGCCGUAGAGAC